rnacentral:lncRNA from 1 species
UGACAAUGCCGUCCGGCGACGGUGUCAGGUGGGUACCGAUGAACCGCCCGCACGGCCCAUGCUCGUCGGCGGCGGCGACUACGGUCGUCGACGGCAUGCUCCUGUGGGACCAGCUACGCACCAGCUCAAUCCGGAGGAAGCUCUCCGGCGGCAGGGCCGGCGAUGGCCUGCCGGUCAUCCACUCCCGUGAAGCCAAAACUAGCAACAUCGACAGCAGUAUGACUGCGAAAAGCACGCUGGGGGGCAGCGGCGGGACAAGCUCCACGACAAUGGAAAGGACCAGCGAACACUUGUACUCCAAGGUGAGCCAAACGGUGGUGGUGGACACGAGCAGCGACAUUCCGUGGGUGCAGUGCCUCCCGUGCCCCGCCCCGCAGUGUCACCUCCAGAAGGACCAACUCUACGACCCCGCCAACUCCAGCACGUACGCACCUAUCCCCUGCGGCUCCCCUGCCUGCACGGAGCUCGGUAGCAGCCACAGCAGUGGCUGCUCCGCCGGCUCCGACCAAUGCAAGUACAUCCUCGACUACGGCGACGGCAGGGCCACCGCCGGGACAUACGUCACCGACACGCUGACCUUGUCGCCCACCAUCGCGGUCAAGGGCUUCCGGUUCGGGUGCAGCCACGCCGUGAGGGGCACCUUCAGUGACCAGACCGCCGGCGUCCUGGCCCUCGGCGGCGGCGCUGGGUCCCUCCUUGCGCAGACCGCGGAGACCUUCGGCAACGCCUUCUCCUACUGCGUCCCGCACCCGAGCUCCGAUGGAUUCCUCUCGCUGGGCGGGCCGGUGGGGAACUCGUCGCAGUUCACGAGCACGCCUCUNNNNNNNNNNCUCUGAUCAAGAACCAACACGCUCCGACGUUCUACAUCGUCCGCCUGGAGGCAAUCACCGUGGCCGGGAGGCGGCUCGACGUGCCGCCGGCUACGUUCGCCGGUGGUGCGGUGAUGGACUCAGGGGCGGUCGUCACGCAGCUGCCACCGUCGGCAUACGCAGCGCUGCGGGCAGCGUUCAGGAGCGCCAUGACGGCGUAUGGCCCGCUUGCGGAUCCCGUACGCAACCUUGACACGUGCUAUGACUUGACCCGCUUCCCCGAGGUCAAUGUCCCCAAGGUGUCCCUAGUGUUCGCAGGCGGUGCCACCUUGGAGCUCGAGCCGGCGUCCAUCAUGCUGGACGGCUGCCUGGCUUUCACGGCCUCCCCUGGCGGCCACGGCUCCAUCGGAUUCAUCGGCAACGUGCAGCAGCAGACCUACGAGGUUUUGUACGACGUCGGCAGCGGGAGCGUGGGAUUCCGCAGUGGCGCGUGCUGAUGUGGCAAGCUGCAGGCCAACCACGGCCACUUGUACGUGUGAUGCAUGAUUGGCCCCCUAAUAUAUAUCUGGGUCUACAAGCUAGCUUGCUCAUUGGGAUGGAGCUAGUUUGUGAGUAUAAAUAAAUGCAAGAAAGAAGAUUGAUGUAAUACUUAUAUAUGCAUGUAAUUUUAUAUAGUUUUAUAUAUGCAUGUAAUUUUGUUCAACGGUUGUAUGAUUGUAAACCUUAUAAUAUAACCUUACAGAUUGUCAAGGAAUUCAACCGAUAUAAUUACUCUACUUAUUGAUGUGCAAUAAUGUAAUAUGACUAUUAAGAAGCAUUCUGAUUGUGGAGGUGGUUUCGCACUUUUUACUACAACAAAGGUGUUUGAAGGAUUCCUCGGCAGAAACUAGAACGCACUCCUUCAAUAAUUGACGAGCUAAUUGGUUGUUGAACUUCAGACAAAGAUUGUUGGGCAUGAAAGCGGUCACCAGCGGGUUGAUUGGCCUCACCAGCUCAUACGUGUUCAUGAGGCGUGGUUUUUUUCUUUUCUUGAUUAAUAGUAUUUGUUUCUGGAUGCUUGCAUUGUUAGAUUUGGAAGCGUUCCUACUCCUCGAUGAGGAGCCGGGUUGGUUUAUAUUGAACGAGGCAGAACAGCCCUGCCGUGGCUUACAAGAAGAGGAAACUGAUCGCAAGGAUUGGGUUGUAAGGAGGACUCCUAAACAGCUACGCGAGGGAGAGAGAUAGAAUAGAGUUGAGAUUACAAUGCGGAGAUAAACAUGAAUUCUAACACCCUCCCUUAAUCUCAACUAUUCUAUGUUUAGAUUCCUCUUGAACUCAUCAAAUGGUUUUGCUGGUAGUGCCUUGGUGAACCCAUCAGCCACUUGAUCUUUGGAAGGGAUGAACCGUAUCUCAAGUUUCUUUGCUGCAACCCUUUCAGGCACAAAGUGAAAAUCAAUCUCUAUAUGCUUGGUUCUUGCAUGAAACACUGGGUUUGCAGACAAGUAUGUUGGUCCCAAAUUAUCACACCAUAAACAUGAGAUGCGAUUCUGCUUGACCCCCAUUUCAUCCAGUAGUGAUUCAAUCCAAAUGAUUUCUGCAGUGGCAUUAGCUAAGGAUUUAUACUCAGCCUCUGUAUUUGAACUUGAUACAGUGGCUUGUUUCCUACCACUUUAAGAAACAAGAUUAGGCCCAAAGAACACUGCAAAGCCUCCGGUUGAUUUUCUAUCAUCACUGCAACCUGCCCAAUCAGCAUCAGAGAAUGCACUCACAAGAGUAGAAUUAGAGCGUCUAAAAUGCAGUCCUACUCCCAUAGUAUGUUUGACAUAUCUUACAGUUCUCUUAAUAGCUGUCCAAUGUGCAGUAGUGGGUGCAUGCAGAUAUUGACAAACUUUGUUAACAGCAAAUGAGAUAUCUGGGCGAGUAAGAGUCAAGUACUGUAAUGCUCCAAUAGUACUUCUAUACUUUGUGCUAUCUUCCUCAUAAAGUGGCUCACCUUCAUAUGCUGAAAGUUUCUCCGAGGAGGACAAUGUGUAGGUACAGGUUUGCAGUUUUUCAUCCCCAUACGAGAUAGAAGCUUGGUAACAUAUUUCUCUUGUUUUAGUACCAUGCCAUCUUGAGUCAUCUUAACUUCAAUGCCUAGAAAGAAGUGCAAAUGUAACAUCCCAAAAUUCUAAAUUUUGGAAUGUUAUAUUAAAUAAUUAAUUAUGAUUGUUUGUUUGUUGUGUGAUUGAUUGUGUGAAAAUGAUUGGAAAUUGAAAACUUUUUGAAAGUUGAAUGAGAGGGAAUAAAAGGACUUUCUCGAAACUUUUCAUCUUGCAUUUUGAUCUUCCUGAAUUCAAAUUCAUUUCAUCACAAAACCCUAGAGUGAAGAUAAUAUGACUUCUUCCAUUUAAAGAAAUUAAAAAAGGGGUUUGAAAAUGAUUUGAAUUCCAUUUGAAACAUUUCGAAUUUAGAAACUUUAAGAGCAUCUCCAGCCGUUCGCCCCCCAGGACGCAUAAAAAUCGCCCCCAGGGGGCGAGCCGGCGAUACAAUCGGCGCUGGGAGCGGUUUCGCGCCCAGUCGUCGCCCCCAGCUCGCCCCAGGCGUCGAUAUUGGCCCACUUAUCCCAUUUCGGCGAAUAAAGGGCCCAUAUGGGCGACAAUAGGCCCAUAUUCGGCGUGGUUUGCCGUUGUUCGGCGUUCAAUUAUGCACAUAAAUUUUUUUAUCACAUAUUUCAUCACAGAAAUAUCAAAUACUUCAACAAAAUAGUACAACAACAAAUAGUUCAAUACAAUUUAUAUAGUUGAAGAAAUAAAAACUCAUAUUCCAUCACACGUCGCGCCCGACGUCGCCCUUGAGCCUCCAUAGAUGCUCUAUCAGAUCUUGCUGCACUUGAUGAUGCACCUGUGGGUCUCGGAUCUCCUGACGCAUACUGAGAUAGGCAGUCCAGGUUGCCGGUAGCUGGUGAUCAACUUCGGCUAGAGGACCCUGCCUGUAGUAUGGUUCAGUGUCAAACACUGGGUCUUCUUGCUCGCUCUCGAUGAUCAUGUUGUGCAAGAUGACACAACAAGUCAUAAUCUCCCACAUUUGAUCUUUCGACCAGGUCUGAGCAGGGUACCGGACAACAGCAAAUCGAGAUUGGAGCACACCAAAUGCCCUCUCGACAUCCUUCCUGCAAGCCUCCUGAACCUUCGCAAACCGGGCGUUCUUGCCUCCUGGCACAGGGUUUGAGAUUGUCUUCACAAAUGUCGACCAUCUCGGAUAGAUGCCAUCAGCUAGAUAGUACCUCUUAUUGUAGUGCCGCCCAUUGAUCUCGAAGUUCACCGGAGGAGAAUGACCUUCAACAAGCUUGGCAAAGAUAGGAGAGCACUGCAGCACGUUGAUGUCAUUGUGAGUUCCUAGCAUACCAAAGAAGGAGUGCCAAAUCCAGAGGUCCUGUGUGGCCACCGCCUCAAGUACCACACUGCAACCGUCUUUGGCGCCUUUGUACAUCCCCUGCCAAGCAAAUGGGCAAUUCUUCCAUUUCCAAUGCAUGCAGUCGACUCUUCCAAGCAUCCCAGGAAAUCCUCUUGCUGCAUUCUGUGCUAGGAUCCGAGAAGUGUCUUCCGCAUUGGGUGUUCUCAAGUAUUGCGGUCCAAACAUGGCCACCACUGUCCGAAAGAACUUGUAGAAACACUCUAUGCUGGUGGACUCAGCCAUGCGCCCAUAGUUGUCGAGUGAAUCACCGGGAGCUCCGUAUGCAAGCAUCCUCAUCGCUGUCGUGCACUUCUGAAUGGAGGUGAAUCCAAGGGCGCCGGUGCAAUCCAUCUUGCACUUGAAGUAUUUGUCGAACUACCGGAUGGAAUUCACAAUCUCGAGAAGAGCUUCCGGCUCAUCCGAUAACGGCGCCGAAAUGUUUUCUCGCCGUGAAGUGGAGCAUCGGCGAAGUAGUCGGAGUAGAGCAUGCAGUAGACUUCAAGACGAUGCCGGUUCAUUGCUUUCACACGCCCGGCGCCGAGCCACCUCGCUGCGGCUUUUUAUUGCUCGCCAGCAGCUGGGCGAGGGCGGCGAGCAACAUGAGAUGCUCUUCUUCCUGGACGUCGGCCUCGGCUUCCUCCUCCAGCAGCGCGGCGAGCGCUUCCUCGUCAUCCGAGUCCAUCGCCGAGGCAGGCAAAUCGCCGAACACCUUGCGCCCGGUGGGCGUGUACCCGCCGCUAAACUGCCCCUCCGCGGCCGGAAACGCCCAGCUGCUGUUGGAGGGGCUGCCGCGGCGAAGCUCUGCUAUUUUUUCGGCAGGGAAUGGCUAUCUAGCGGUGAAGGGCGGCGGGCGGCGCCUGGAUAUAGCUAGUGGCGGCCGAGGGCGCGGGGGUGGGAGGCGAGUCGGGGAAGAAAACCUUGACUUUUCCCCUGCCGGUGUGGGCCAGCCGCGCUUUUCCCUUGCGCCGGAGCUCCCAAUUGCCCCCAGUGCGCCGGGUUCGGCCUGUGACCGUCGAGCGGAAAAAAGGGCCGAACCGGCGAUUUUCGGCGUCCUGGGGGCGCGAGUGGGGAAUUUUUUUGGCACCGGCGGCGAAAAAGUGGCCUGGGGGGCCUGUUGGGGGCGCGGCCGGAGAUGCUCUAAGAAAUUCAAUGAGUUCAUGAGGGAAGAUAAAAUGACUUCUACAAAUCAAAGGAAGAGAGUUGGAAGUUUCAAAGGAAUAAUUCGAAGACACUUUGAAGUUAUUUGAAACUCAUUUUUCCAUUUGAAGUUGUUUGAAAUUCCAAAUUUCAAAUCCUCUUGGGAGUUAUUUAGUUUUAAUUCAAAUUAUUUUUCUCCUAAAAAUAAAUAGAUGGAAAUAAGGGUAAAAUGAUUCCCUUCAAUAGAAAAUUAGGAGAAAAUAUAUUUGAAAUCAUUUUGCUAUUUUAAAAACGAUUUUUAUUGAUUUUAAAUGUAAUAGUAGCACUGUUUGACUUUUAUGAAUUUUUAUAGAAUUUAGUUGAACUUGAAAAAUAAUUCAUCUUAUUGCUGCUAUUUUUCUGAGCAUUUUGGUAUAUAAUAUUCCUACGUAAUUUUUUAGUUAUUUUCCUAUGUUGAAGUUUUUGUUUCUGCAAAAAAAAACACGCGCCCGCCAGCCGGCCCAGGGUCUUCGGCCCAAGAGCCAGCCAGCACACCAAGCCGGCCCAGCAGCUCCCCAGGCCGCCCGAGGCCUUAUGCCUCGCUCGCCCACGCCCCUCUUCCCUCGCUCACUCUCUCCCACCGCCGCUGCCAGUGGGGCCCGCAACCCUUCGUCCCUAACCUACCGCUCCUCCCGUUGAGAUAGAGCACGCGUGUGCCGCCCGCAACUGCCGGCUGCUCCGCUUGGGAUAGAGCUCAUCCCCAGUGUCCGCAGCCUCUUCUCGCGCCUAUAAAUUCCCCCGACUCCCCUCGUUCGAUUUUGCCACUCCGCAACGACCCACGCCACUCAUAGCCGCCGCCUUCGUCGUUUGGAUCUCGCCCGCCGGAGCUACCUGGCCGGUCUGUUCCCCCGUCCGUAAGACUGCCUCGACCCGUUCUUCUUUGUCAAUUGACUCCCCGCGUCGAGGCGCAUCUGAUUGACAAAAAUUUGCCGCCUUGGUCGUACCAGAGACGACGCGCCGCGCUCUCGCCGGAGCACCGGAGCUCCGCCGCCUCCCUCCGCUCGUCGCUGGCCACCCCACCGCCGGCCAACCCCACCAGCAUGCCGCCCACGCCGCGCCCGACCUCCCCGACCCCUUCGUCGCCGCUGCCCGCUGAGGACCCCCGGAGACGCCGCCGUGUCCGCCGUCCGCCGCCUGACGCCAGUGCCGCCGCCCCUGUUCGCCGUCCUCGCUCGCUGUGAGCCGCUGACCCUUAGUCAUUUUUGUUGUUGUUGUAUUAGAUCGGGUAACCGUGGUUUUAUUAAACCGUACAGUUUAGUAAAAAACCGGUCUCCGGUUUUCUUUUUAUUUAGCCGCGGUAGCCGUUUUAUUUAUUCAGUGGCCGUCCGCCAUUUAGCCUGAGCCGCGAACGCUUCUCAGCAACCCGGAAGCCGCCACGUGGCCAGGGACCUGGUCACGAAUAAAACUUUCACAAUUAAGUCCCUGAGAUUUCAUUUUAGCCCCUAAACUUCGAAUGGUUGUAUCUUUUUAACCGUAACUGCAAAUUCGACGAAACCAGCGGAAAAAUGUUCGUGUCGAAUAGUUUUAUCCAGAGAACCAACUUUGAAAACUUUUGGACAAAUUCAAAUUUGAACUUUAUUCAGAUUUGAAUUCAAACUUCAACUGGCCAUAUCUGUUAAACCGUAGCUCCGAUUGGUGUGAUUCUUUUUGCAACGUGUCAUCGUAGCCAAACCCUACCACCUAGACCUUGUCACAAUCUGUCUAUGAUAGUUUUACUAUUAUGCCAUGUAUGGACUUUAGUACACAUCACAGUUUUGAACCCCAUGUCACAUGUUGUUUUGCACUUAGGAUAUUUCCAUGCUAGUUAACUGUGUUGAAUAUUCAUUUGGUUUUUCUGACACUUUGUGCUUUGCAUGUUCUUCUUGGUUCUCUGAAACGAUUGCUUAUGUGAGUGCAAUGUUUGACUUUAUAGAUUGUCAUCAGAGAGUGAAGAAUAGUUCUAUUAAGUAAAUUUCUGAGAGCGAUAUAAUCUUCAUCAACUAUUACCAGGCAAGUUCACAUUUGACCAUUUUUCCAAUUACCUAUGUUUAUAUUAUGCACUUAGUCCUUUUGUGGUAGUAUUGCAUGGUAGGUCUGAUCUAUACAUCCUUGUCACCACCGUGUAAGUUUAUUUUUGCCUCGCUAAAUGUAGACAUGGUUUGGGAAGCGAACAUGGCGAGACAUGAGUGACAAAGUAGUAAUCAGGACCAAGACUUGUAAAUGAACUACCUGGGCGGUAUUUGGUUUGAAUGGUGGCGAAGUACAGUGGGAGCAUGCAUGGUUAAUCCAUGGUGGUGCACCACUAGUGGUUGGCCGCUUAUGCUCAAAGAGAUCAAUCGUAUUCUCAUGUCUAGAAGCUUAAGUGUGCAGCCACAAGCCAAUAUGGGCUCUGGCUUAGUUGAGUAGUUAGUGUGACCCCUUCCGGGAUGGGCUAGCAGAUGUAGAAUGAUGUAGGUGUACCGGCCUAUCCAUGGGUUAAGGGGUGACAUUUUUGAAAGACUAUGUCUCGGUCAUCCUGUUCUCAAACGCCAGGCAGUGCGAGAACUCCAGGGGAGGCGAUCGAGUCUUGUGGGGAAAAGUGCGCAAACCUCUGUAGAGUGUUUUUUUUGAACUUGAUAGUGGGAGAGAACUCCCACUGUAUAUUUUCACAUAUCUAUGUAAAUGGGGUGUUUACAUAGACAUACCACUCACACACAUCCAGCUCCACUCUUGGUGGAACCACCAGGGGUGGGGAAACUACACCAUGGUCACUACUAUACACUUGUCUCUAAGUAUUUAAAGAGGGAAGAAUAAAACACAGUAUGUCUCAGCUAAGUGUGCCACAGUAUGAAAGCAGGGCAGCUCUACGUGUACCCUGAACUCUAUGUUGCAGAAGUCCCAAGUCCUCUUUGAAUCGUUGGAACCAAGAUGCAAUGCUUGGGGUUACACCUAUGAAGUGUUUAUUGUUUCUUUCCUUCCACAAACUCUAGGUAGCAGUGAAAAAUGCUUCAAUGAAGAAAGGAUUGGGCCAGUUGGGUUGUGCGUUUUGCAACGCAUCAAACCUAUUUUGAAAAUCAAUCCAGUGAACACCUAUCUUGGCCCAACACCUUUCGCUGAACUGGCAGGUGAAGAUCAUAUGCUCGAGAGUCUCAUCUGUAUUUUGCCCACAAAGGAGACAUGUGAAGUCAUUCCCAAUGUCAUAGUGUCUUCUUCUCAGCAUGUCACAUGUGUUCAACCUGUCGUGCAGCAGCAACCAUCCAAAUACUUUGAUUUUCAUUGUACAGUUUGAUUUCCAAAGGAGCGGGAAGCUGGGAUGAGCUGUUGCAUCACGGGAGAAGUUGUUAUAGUAGUCUUUUGGCUUGUACUCAGCUGUCCCCCAAGCAUAGAGCCAAACAUCAGAUAUUGUUGUGGAUGGGUGUAUGCGGAAUGCUGCAUGUUGGACAUCUUGCACCUCGUUGAGCGCACGAGCAGACAGCGGUAGGUGAAUGGUUUCAUGCAGUUCAGUGUUGGCCCAGAAGUCAGCGACCGUCAUGUCUUCCUGCAGAGCAAAUGAAAAGGCACGUGGGUGCGAUGUUUGUAGCACAUCAUUUGACCACAAGUCUUUCCAGAGCAGCGUAGUCGAGCCAUCAACUACUUGGACACGAGUGAUCCCUCGGUAGAUGGGCGUUAAUUUGAGAAUGUCUUUCCACCAGAAAGAACCGACUAGAUCAACCGCAUGAGGCACCUGGUUAGCAUACUGAUUAUCCCAAAGCAUAGUAACCCAUGGUACGUCCAGUUUGUUAUAGAACUUGUGGAGAAAUUUCAGCAGGAGGGCUUCGUUGUGGAUUUUAAUGUUGAUCACUCCUAACCCACCUUUACACUUGGGCUUGCACACUAGUUCCCAAGCUGCAAGCGAAUUACAUUUGUCACCUUGGUCGGUUUUCUUUGUCCAGAGACAUCUCCUUCUAAUCUUGUCAAGAAUUUCAAUUAGAUUCGGAGGGAACUUGAGCGUGCACAUGGCAAACACCAGAAGGGAUGUGACCGAUGCAUUGAGCCAGGAGAGGCGGCCCCCAUAGGACAUCAUAGCGAUCGUGGCAGUGAGACGACGCUCCAUUUUGCAAACUAGAGGCCUGAAUUCUUGAAUGGUUGGUCUUGUAGUGCCAAGUGGCAGGCCAAGGUAGGUGAAAGGCAUUGUACCUACAGUGCAGCCGAAAACGGCAGCAAGGCUAGAGGUUGCACCUGCGUCCAGGUUGAUUGGUAUGAGCGUCGACUUGUGAAAGUUAAUUUUGAGGCCAAUAGAGGAUGCAUAGUCAGAGAGAGUGUUCUUGACACGGGCAGCCUGUUGUGGGCAAGCAGGCAAGACAAGGAGGGUGUCGUCCGCAUAUUGGAUCACUGGGUAAUCAUUUUUCCCAUUGCAUGGAAAAGGCAGGCUGAUAUCUCCACGUCGAUAAGCAUCAUUGACCGUGGCUUGAAGUAGUUCAGCUGCCAGGACGAAAAUGAGGGGGGACAGAGGAUCACCUUGCCGCACACCGCAUCGACAAAGGAACUGUCGGCCUGGGACCCCAUUAAGAAGGACGGACGAGCGACCCGAGGAGAAGAGGCACUUGAUCCAGGAGAUCCACUUGUCAUUGAAACCCAUCUGCUGCAUAAUGCAAAUCAUUGGUUCAUGCGCGAUGGUAUCAAAUGCUUUGGCGAAAUCAAGUUUAAGAAUAAUGAUUGGCCGGCCCGAGUUUUGACAUUGAUAAAGAUAUUGAUAAGCCCAUGCCAGACAAUCCUGUAUAGUACGCCCUUUAAUGAACCCAUACUGAUUCCGGUGAAUGAGGGUGAAAAUGGCAAGUUGAAGUCUGUCUGCUAGCAGUUUGGUAAUCAACUUGAGGCAGCAGUUGAGCAAUGUAAUGGGUCUGAAAUCAUUGACUGUUUCUGGAGAGUUGGUCUUAGGUAUAAGUGUGAUAAGACCAUCAUUGAUACUAGUGACAUCUAACGUACCUUCAUAGAACUGAUCACAUAGGGUGUAAAAGUCAUGUCGAAUGAUGGGCCAGCAGGCUUUCAAAAACGCCCCACUAAAGCCAUCUGGGCCAGGUGCGCGGUCCGGAGGCAUACCUUUGACCACAUUAUCGAUUUCCUCAUGUGAAAAAGGCGUGGUAAGUUGGUCAAGAUUUGUAACGUGGGGGAUAAUGUUUGGAAGAUCAAAUUUCAUGUCUGAAUGGGAGACCGUACCCAGGCGGUUUUUGUAAGUUUGAAACAAGAGGGCCUCUUUUGCAGGAUGAUUGUCAACCAAUGUGCCAUCCUCAAGCUUGAGUGAGGAGAUAUUGUUUUGUCGAUAACGUUCCGUGGCCACUGCUUGGAAAAAUUUGGAGUUUUCAUCGCCAAACUUGAUCCAACGAAUAGUACAACGCUUCUUCUAAUAAAGUUUUUGAUAUUUGAGCAGUCUCAGCAAGUGUGACUUUAGGAUACGUCUGAAGUUCAUUUCUGGGAUUGAAAGGAUUCGUUUAUUCUCCAGCUCGUCUAAGUCUGCCAGGACAUGGUUAUAGUUCGUGAUGGCCACUAAUAGACGAGAAAUAUUCUUACUCCAGAUUUUGAUAGCAUGUGGAAUAGCUUUGAAUUUUCGGCAAAGGAUUGUGGCAGCAUUUGCGUUCCUAACUGGCCAUUCCCAAACCUCUCUAACUAUGUCCAUAAACCCUGAGUGUAAGGUCCAGUAAGAUUCAAAACGAAAGAGCUUGGAUCGGGGGAUUUUGGUCUCUAUGGUGACAACGCAAGGGAUGUGAUCAGAAACGGGCUUGCCAAGGGGUUUAAUGAGCGUCUUAGGAUAUGCAUUAGUCCAAUGCAAGGAUGUGAAGAACCAGCCAAUCUAUUCAAGCAAAGGAUCUGUCUGCAUAUUGCUCCAAGUGUAGGUUCUACCUUUCACCGAAAACUCAAUAAGUUGCUGCUGACGAAUGAUGUCAUUGAACGUAAUCAUGUCGUGAAUGUUACCCCCAGGUUUAUUACGAUUGUCCGGAGCUCUCAUGUAGUUAAAGUUGCCCAAAAGUAACCAGUGUUGGUUAUGGGGUGUUUGAACAUCGUACAACCAUUGCGUGAAAACUUCCCUGUCUGUACCAGUGCAAGGCCCGUACACGUUAACUAACGUCCAACGUUGAGAGGAUUAUGUGCUAACGAACUCGAUGGCUAGCGCAAAUGGAUCAGACGAGAGUACUAAACCAGAGAAAACCGAGCUUUUCCAGAUUGUAAGUAACCCCCCAGAGGCGCCGCGCGAAGGGACAAAAGCAAAACGAUCAAAUUGUCUAGGACAGCAAGUUUUAAUAGAAGCAAAAGUAACCUCAGGCAUCUUAGUCUCCUGAAGACAAACGAUAGCAAAACCACUGGUAGAGAUAGCAUUAUUCAGAGCCAGUCGCUUCUUCUCAGAAUUGAGCCCACGAAUAUUCCAUGAGAGCACAUCCCAGCAGCUCAACGAUGUCAUAUAGAACUCCAAUAUUAAGCAGAGGUGUGAGAGAGAUCCUCUCCCUGGUCAUCACUGUCAAUCGAAGAGGCAGAAGAUUCAGGCACGGCAGCAGUUUCAGCAAGCAGGGCUUCUUCAGAAAGUUCAGUAGCAGGUAUAGCACAUCUGUUAACUCCAAUGGAUUGCAGAGUAACUAUAGGAGUUGGGGGCGGGACCUCACCAGCAGAAGUAGCAGCAGAUGCUGAUGUGCCAAUAGACGGGAUGACAUGGGGCUUAACUUUGGAAUUGUUCUUGCGACUGUCAGAGAGGGGAGGAACCUUGAACCCAUCGUACGUGUUGGAGCAGAGACUGCGGCGCAAUUCAGUUGUGGAGAUAGGGGCAACAGCCCUGGUCCUACGGGGGCGCGGGCCAGUGGUGGCCAUAGAAGCAGUUGCCUCUGAGAUCAUAGAAGGUUCUGAAGGUGGAAUGUGCACGACUUGUUCUGUGUCCAUUGGGGCGUCUUCAGUGUUGGGCGGCAUGGCGGGCUCAAUGGCGUUUUCCACACUAGCAUGUUCAGAUAGGUCCUCAAUGAUCACAGCGAAGGUAGCCAAAGCAGAAGUAGAGCUUGAUUGCUGGGAAAAGGUCAGACCAGUAGAAUCCUGUGUGAUCAAGACAGACAACUGAACCUGGUUUGUUCUCAGACCAAACCCCUCUCUCCAAGGUCCAAAAGUUGCAAGCAUUGGACUAACAGCUUGGAAGAUGAAUGUGUUAAGAUUCAGGCGUGGGAUUGGGUCAUUCAGCAGCCUGGAAAGGAUCUCAUCUCCUUGAGCAGAUAAACCAAAUCUGACACCUUGAUCAUUGAUCUCCAGUGUGAUGUUAAGAGAUUCAGAGCUUGCACUGUCAGACAGCUGUAUAGCUGGAUCAGCCGGGAUGAGAAUGUCAGACUGGGUCGAGCUUGAACUGUCAGACUGGGUGAUCGAAUCAUUCCAAGCUUGGAGAGCAUUAUCAAUGACAUUAUUUUCAGGGACUAACCCAUGUUGCACAGUCAGACCCUGCGCAACAAGCCAGGCUUGGUAGUUCACCAAAUGGGGCGGCAUUUGCGGGAGUGGAGGAGCAGCGGGCGCCUCCCAAGUGCCCCAGCCAGUGUUGUCAUCCACUUCUUGAGCCUCAUUGUUGCCAGCUGCAGGUGCACCAUUCUAAACGAGCCAAUUGUGAACUUGCUGCUAAUAUAACUGUUCUGCAGUGAGUUCAGGGCCAAACUGCGGAUGUGGUUUGCCAUCGGGGGGUGGCAUUUCCUCAGAUGCAGCAGGUACAUCAGGGAGGAGGCCAUUCCAGUCGUUGUUGCGACGGAUGGUCACUACUAGUGUCUAACUGUCACGCGCACCACCCAGCUGCCAUACCACAAAGCUCAUGGGGAUGAGGCGUAGACUAAGUGCUCUUACUUUCAGAAGGAUGAAUCUGCGGUCCUGACGCGGAUUAUACCAGGAAACUAAGGAACCAUAUCCACCCAAGGCCUUAGUGAUGUAAUAGUCCGUUUGGUAGUCAUACGGAAAGCCGAAGAACAUAAUGCAAAUCUCAGGCCCAAACGGUGCAGCUCUACGAUAAAGAGCCACAUUGUGUGAAACGAAGGUGAUCAACAAAUCUUCAUCUUCAAGCUCAAGCGGUGUGUUGACAGCAUUACCUCUCAUAAAGGAAUCCACAAAACCGAAAAUCCCAACACCAAGGGGGUGAUCACUGACCUCUGUAGUAAAAAGCUGUGAUUCUUGAAGCAGAGUUGUGAUUCGAUGGCGGACGGUGGCCCGGCGAUGCAGGGGCACAGACUCACUGGCUUCUGCAAUGGCCAGGAACUCAUGGCUGAGUGGAGCAAUCGGGCCAACGACCAUGCCGCUGCGCACAAGACUAUCGGCCGGCCCUGGCUCAGCGGCAAAACCUGGCAGGAGGAAAGGCACAGGGUUCAGUGGGUAGUUCGCCAUUGUGGUGGAAGGGAUCAGAGGGGAGGACGGUGGUGCGGAGAUGGGAUGCAACUGCAAUGGCGCAAGCUGCAGCAAAGCGUCAGACUAUGGCGAUGGGACUGGACGGGAUGUGGCCCAUUGGGUUCUCGAGGCGGAAGCUGAAGCGUGAAUGGGGGCGGUAGAAGGCAAAGUUGCCUUUGCAACCUCUGUAGAGUGUUGAAACCUAAUCGAUUAACCAUGUCCCCGGUUACGGACAACUUGAGCAUCUAGUAGUGGAAAUGAUGGGAGAUCUCAUCACUCUUAAUUAAACAGUUGGUUUUUAAAUGAAACAUUGGGAAUGGAUUGAGUUGGGUUUGCCAACUCAUCCUAUGCUAUACUGUAGUGAUAGACUAAUGUCUUUUAUUCUAGGGAAAAACUAGCUUUAUGCAAAAACUAAACUUAGAGCUUUCCACCAGCCAAAUUGCAUGUACAAAUAGGUUCAUUAUUCUUAUGAUGUGACUUGCCAGUACAUUCAAUGUACUGACCUAUAGGGCUACAACGUCUUAUGUUGCAGGAAUUUCUACGACGAGUAAGAAUUAUGUUGUAGGGUUAUGGUCUACACUUAACUUGCCGUUGGCGUUGAUGGGACUCCACACUCGUUCGAUUGUUUCCAUUGAGAUUUAUGAGGUAUAUAUCAGUUUUACGUUAUUUAUACAUUUGAUUGAACUUUGAUAUAUACAUUGAUGUACUGUGUGUGCCAGCAUACCGAUCCAGGGAUGGCCCGGAUACACAGAGGCUUGACAGUUUGAGCUCGGGUCGCUACAGAGAUGGUAUGAGAGCACAUGUUGACUGUAGGACGUGACCCUAGAAACUGGAAAGCCCUUAGGAAAAGAUUUCUCUAAAAGUUUAUUUUCAAAAAGAUCCUUUACCUCUCUUCUUUUCUGAGCUUUAUCAAAUCUUCCCUUUUACCCCAAAUAGGUAGGCAAUAUCCCUUUUCCCUUUCACCACGAGGAGGAUCAACUGAUGAGACCACUCCGAGAAGGGCAAGAUAUCGGCCAACUGAUGGCCACUUCAAAGUAAAGAGGAUUUCAUCAUGCAUUAGAAUAGUUAAUGCUACGACAGUCGAAGACUCGAAGAAUUUGAAGACACUGAAGAAUUCCAAGAUUUAUAUGACCUUUAGAAGACCAAACCCUUGUUGUGUACUCACGUUAGAUGCGAUGAUUUGUGAGAUGUCAUAUUUGGUGUGUGUUUUCCGAUGCAACAAAUAAAAUUUAUUUUCAAAACUAUAUUGUUUGUAUUGUGUGUAUCUCUAUCUAUCCCUCUUAUCUCAUCCCAAAACCCUUGGACCCAAUAGAUGAUGAAUGAAGAUGGACUUGUAUUCUCUGGACCGAUCACUCAGUUAGAGGCAGAGCUAUGGAUUCAAAACAUGGAGAGUCACUUCGAGAGCAAUUUGGUUGCAAGGAAGUAUGAGGUUCAAUAUGCUCUUCAAUACUUUACAAAAAGUGCUACAACAUGGUGGAAAAUGCAUCAAGCCAUACAAGGAUGUAAUGGAGCAAAAACUUGGGAGGAAUUGAAGAAGACUCUAUUGGGAUCCCGUCUUAUCCGGAAGCACGGUGAUAAUCCGAUGAAGAAACCUUGUGCCUGCAAGAUAUGUGGAGAAAUAGGACACACCCAUGAAGAACACAAGGAUGGAUGCCCUCAUUAUGAAGGAAAUCACCCAGCGGAAGAGUGCCCAACUAGGCAGGUUACUUGUUACUUGUGUGAAGGAACUACGCACUACCCUGCCCAGUGUCAUAUUUACCCCAGGGUACAAGAAAUUACCAAGAACCAGAAGGAAGAAGUGAAAGAAGCCCUCAGGGAAAGUUUAAGAAAACUGGUGAUGAAAGAAGAUGUUGACGACCCUGAUGGAGAAAGCCUAAACAGAUUUUACUCCAAUGCUUGCUAUGCAUGUGGAGAAGAAGGACAUUUCUCACAAUAUUGCGUGAAGGAAAACCAAGAGUAUCUGGGAGACUUCCCGAUAGAAGAAGUGGGGUUUGAUAGACAAGAGAUAGAAGAAUUGAUCGGAACGAAGAAGUCGAGGAAGAGAAAGAGCAUGUAUCCCCAGAACAACCCAGUUUCUGCAGAAAAGGACCUGAGUCAUAUCACUUGUUACAGGUGCAAGGAUUUAGGUCAUUAUUCUAGCAAAUGCCCACCAAGGAAGCCAAGAACCCAAGGAGACAAGAUAACCACCAGGAACCCCUGGAUUUGUCUGACGCCAUUUGUCUACGCUGCAAAGGAGUAGGACAUUUUGUUAGAGAAUGUUCAGACCCGAGGAAAGCUAGAGCAGAGUAGUUGAGAUCUUGAUAUUGGAAUAAAGCAUGUAAUAAAUGUGGAACGCACUUUUAUUUUCGUGGGGGGUGUUGAUACGUCUCCAACGUAUCUAUAAUUUUUGAUUGCUCCAUGCUAUAUUAUCUACUGUUUUGGACUAUAUUGGGCUUUAUUUUCCACUUUUAUAUUAUUUUUGGGACUAACCUAUUAACCGGAGGCCCAGCCCAGAAUUACUGUUUUUUGCCUAUUUCAGUGUUUCGGAUAAACGGAAUAUCAAACGGAGUCCAAACAGAAUAAAAUCUUCGGGAACGUGAUUUUCUCACCAAACGUGAUCCAUGAGACUUGGACCCUGCCCUAAGGAACAAAAGAGGCGGUCACGAGGGUGGGGGGCGCCCCCCCUAGGGCGCGCCCCCCUGCCUCGUGGGCCCCUCGUUGCUCCUCGUGAAGGGUAACGUAGUAAUUUCAAAAAAUGUCCUACGCACAUGCAAGAUCAUGGUGAUGCAUAGCAACGAGAGUGGAGAGUGUGAUCUACGUACCCUUGUAGACCGACAACAGAAGCGUUAGCACAGCGCGGUUGAUGUAGUCGUACGUCUUCAUGGCCCGACCGAUCAAGCACCGAAACUACGACACCUCCGAGUUUUAGCACACAUUCAGCUCGAUGACGAUCCCCGGACUCCGAUCCAGCAAAGUGUCGGGGAAGAGUUCUGUCAGCACGACGGCGUGGUGACGAUCUUGAUGUACUAUCGUCGUAGGGCUUCGCCUAAGCACCGCUACAAUAUUAUCGAGGAUUAUGGUGGAAGGGGGCACCGCACACGGCUAAGAAUAUGAUCACGUGGAUCAACUCGUGCGUCUAGGGGUGCCCCCUGCCCCCAUAUAUAAAGGAUCAAGGGGAGGAGGCCGGCCGGCCCCUAUGGUGCGCCAAGGAGGAGUCCUCCUCCUAGUAGGAGUGGGACUCCUACUAGGAGGGGGAAAGAAGUGGGGAGGGAGAAGGAAAGGGGGGCGCCGCCCCCCCCCCUCUCCUAGUCCAAUUCGGACCAGGGGGAGGAGGCGCGCGGACCACCUUUGGCUGCCCCUCUCUCUCCACUAAGGCCCAUAUGGCCCAUUACUUCUCCCGGGAGGUUCCGGUAACACUCCGGCUCUCCGGUUUUCUCUGAAAUCACCCAGAACACUUCCGGUGUCCGAAUAUAGCCGUCCAAUAUAUCAAUCUUUAUGUCUCGACCAUUUCGAGACUCCUCGUCAUGUCCGUGAUCACAUCCGGGACUCCGAACUAACUUCGGUACAUCAAAACUCAUAAACUCAUAAUAUAACUGUCAUCGAAACCUUAAGCGUGCGGACCCUACGGGUUCGAGAACAAUGUAGACAUGACCGAGACACAUCUCUGGUCAAUAACCAAUAGCGGAACCUGGAUGCUCAUAUUGGCUCCUACAUAUUCUACGAAGAUCUUUAUCGGUCAGACCGCAUAACAACAUACGUUGUUCCCUUUGUCAUUGGUAUGUUACUUGCCCGAGAUUCGAUCGUCGGUAUCUCAAUACCUAGUUCAAUCUCGUUACCGACAAGUCUCUUUACUCGUUCCGUAAUACAUCAUCUCGCAACUAACUCAUUAGUUGCAAUGCUUGGAAGGCUUAUGUGAUGUGCAUUACCGAGAGGGCCCAGAGAUACCUCUCCGACAAUCGGAGUGACAAAUCCUAAUCUCGACAUACGCCAACCCAACAUGUACCUUUGGAGACACCUGUAGAGUACCUUUAUAAUCACCCAUUUACGUUGUGACGUUUGGUAGCACACAAAGUGUUCCUUCGACAAACGGGAGUUGCAUAAUCUCAUAGUCAUAGGAACAUGUAUAAGUCAUGAAGAAAGCAAUAGCAACAUACUAAACAAUCGGGUGCUAAGCUAAUGGAAUGGGUCAUGUCAAUCAGAUCAUUCACCUAAUGAUGUGAUCCCGUUAAUCAAAUAACAACUCUUUGUUCAUGGUUAGGAAACAUAACCAUCUUUGAUUAACGAGCUAGUCAAGUAGAGGCAUACUAGUGACACUCUGUUUGUCUAUGUACUCACACAUGUAUUAUGUUUCCGGUUAAUACAAUUCUAGCAUGAAUAAUAAACAUUUAUCAUGAUAUAAGGAAAUAAAUAAUAACUUUAUUAUUGCCUCUAGGGCAUAUUUCCUUCAGUCUCCCACUUGCACUAGAGUCAAUAAUCUAGAUUACACAGUAAUGAUUCUAACACCCAUGGAGCCUUGGUGCUGAUCAUGUUUUGCUCGUGGAAGAGGCUUAGUCAACGGGUCUGCAACAUUCAGAUCCGUAUGUAUCUUGCAAAUCUCUAUGUCUCCCACCUGGACUAGAUCCCGGAUGGAAUUGAAGCGUCUCUUGAUGUGCUUUGUUCUCUUGUGAAAUCUGGAUUCCUUUGCCAAGGCAAUUGCACCAGUAUUGUCACAAAAGAUUUUCAUUGGACCCGAUGCACUAGGUAUGACACCUAGAUCGGAUAUGAACUCCUUCAUCCAGACUCCUUCAUUUGCUGCUUCCGAAACAGCUAUGUACUCCGCUUCACAUGUAGAUCCCGCCACAACGGUUUGUUUAGAACUGCACCAACUGACAGCUCCACCAUUUAAUGUAAACACGUAUCCGGUUUGCGAUUUAGAAUCGUCCGGAUCAGUGUCAAAGCUUGCAUCAACGUAAACUUUUACGAUGAGCUCUUUGUCACCUCCAUAUAUGAAAAACAUAUCCUUAGUCCUUUUCAGGUAUUUCAGGAUGUUCUUGACCGCUGUCCAGUGAUCCACUCCUGGAUCACUUUGGUACCUCCGUGUUAAACUUAUAGCAAGGCACACAUCAGGUCUGGUACACAUCAUUCCAUACAUGAUAGAGCCUAUGGCUGAAGCAUAGGGAACAUCUUUCAUUUUCUCUCUAUCUUCUGCAGUGGUCGGGCAUUGAGUCUUACUCAACUUCACACCUUGUAACACAGGCAAGAACCCUUUCUUUGCUUGAUCCAUUUUGAACUUCUUCAAAAACUUUGUCAAGGUAUGUGCUUUGUGAAAGUCCAAUUAAGCGUCUUGAUCUAUCUCUAUAGAUCUUAAUGCCUAAUAUGUAAGCAGCUUCACCGAGUUCUUUCAUUGAAAAACUCUUAUUCAAGUAUCCCUUUAUGCUAUCCUGAAAUUCUAUAUCAUUUCCAAUUAGUAAUAUGUCAUCCACAUAUAAUAUCAGAAAUGCUACGGAGCUCCCACUCACUUUCUUGUAAAUACAGGCUUCUCCAAAAGUCUGUAUAAAACCAAAUGCUUUGAUCACACUAUCAAAGCGUUUAUUCCAACUCCGAGAGGCUUGCACCAGUCCAUAAAUGGAUCGCUGGAGCUUGCACACUUUGUUAGCUCCCUUUGGAUCGACAAAACCUUCUGGUUGCAUCAUAUACAACUCUUCUUCCAGAAAUCCAUUCAGGAAUGCAGUUUUGACAUCCAUCUGCCAAAUUUCAUAAUCAUAAAAUGCGGCAAUUGCUAACAUGAUUCGGAUAGACUUAAGCAUCGCUACAGGUGAGAAGGUCUCAUCGUAGUCAAUCCCUUGAACUUGCCGAAAACCUUUUGCGACAAGUCGAGCUUUGUAGACAGUAAUAUUACCGUCAGUGUCAGUCUUCUUCUUAAAGAUCCAUUUAUUCUCAAUUGCUUGCCGAUCAUCGGGCAAGUCAACCAAAGUCCAUACUUUGUUCUCAUACAUGGAUCCCAUCUCAGAUUUCAUGGCUUCAAGCCAUUUUGCGGAAUCUGGGCUCAUCGUCGCUUCUUCAUAGUUCGUAGGUUCAUCAUGAUCUAGUAGCAUGACUUCCAGAACAGGAUUACCGUACCACUCUGGUGCGGAUCUCACUCUGGUUGAUCUACGAGGUUUAGUAGUAUCUUGUUCUGAAGUUUCAUGAUCAUCAUCAUUAGCUUCCUCACUAACUGGUGUAGGUCUCACAGAAACAGUUUUCUAUGAUGCACUACUUUCCAAUAAGGGAGCAGGUACAGUUACCUUGUCAAGUUCUACUUUCCUCCCACUCACUUCUUUCGAGAGAAACUCCUUCUCUAGAAAGUUUCCGAACUUAGCAACAAAAGUCUUGCCUUCAGAUAUGUGAUAGAAGGUGUAUCCAAUAGUCUCCUUUGGAUAUCCUAUGAAGACACAUUUCUCCGAUUUGGGUUCGAGCUUAUCAGGUUGAAGCUUUUUCACAUAAGCAUCACAGCCCCAAACUUUCAGAAACGACAACUUUGGUUUCUUGCCAAACCAUAGUUCAUAAGGCGUCGUCUCAACGGAUUUUGAUGGUGCCCUAUUUAACAUGAAUGCGGCCGUCUCCAAAGCAUGACCCCAAAAUGAUAGCGGUAAAUCAGUAAGAGACAUCAUAGAUCACACCAUAUCUAGUAAAGUACGAUUACGACGUUCGGACACACCAUUACGCUGUGGUGUUCCGGGUGGCGUGAGUUGCGAAACUAUUCCGCAUUGUUUCAAAUGUACACCAAACUCGUAACUCAAAUAUUCUCCUCCACGAUCAGAUCGUAGAAACUUUAUUUUCUUGUUAUGAUGAUUUUCAACUUCACUCUGAAAUUCUUUGAACUUUUCGAACGUUUCAGAAUUAUGUUUCAUUAAGUAGAUAUACCCAUAUCUCCUUAAGUCACCUGUGAAGGUGAGAAAAUAACGAUAUCCGCCACGAGCCUCAAUAUUCAUCGGACCACAUACAUCUGUAUGUAUGAUUUCCAACAAAUCUGUUGCUCUCUCCAUAGUACCAGAGAACGGUGUUUUAGUCAUCUUGCCCAUGAGGCACAGUUCGCAAGUACCAAGUGAUUCAUAAUCAAGUGGUUCCAAAAGUCCAUCAGUAUGGAGUUUCUUCAUGCGCUUUAGACCGAUAUGACCUAAACGGCAGUGCCACAAAUAAGUUGCACUAUCAUUAUCAACUCUGCAUCUUUUGGCUUCAACACUAUGAAUAUGUGUGUCACUACUAUCGAGAUUCAAUAAAAAUAGACCACUCUUUAAGGGUGCAUGACCAUAAAAGAUAUUACUCAUAUAAAUAGAACAACCAUUAUUCUCAGAUUUAAAUGAAUAACCGUCUCGCAUCAAACAAGAUCCAGAUAUAAUGUUCAUGCUUAACGCUGGCACCAAAUAACAAUUAUUUAGGUCUAAUAUUAAUCCCGAAGGUAGAUGUAGAGGUAGCGUGCCGACUGCGAUCACAUCGACUUUGGAACCGUUUCCCACGCGCAUCGUCACCUCGUCCUUAGCCAAUCUUCGCUUAAUCCGUAGUCCCUGUUUCGAGCUGCAAAUAUUAGCAACAGAACCAGUAUCAAAUACCCAGGUGCUACUGCGAGCAUUGGUAAGGUACACAUCAAUAACAUGUAUAUCACAUAUACCUUUGUUCACCUUGCCAUCCUUCUUAUCCGCCAAAUACUUGGGGCAGUUCCGCUUCCAGUGACCAGUCUGCUUGCAGUAGAAGCACUCAGUUUCAGGCUUAGGUCCAGGUUUGGGUUUCUUCUCUUGAGUAGCAACUUGCUUGCUGUUCUUUUUGAAGUUCCCCUCCUUCUUCCCUUUGCCCUUUUUCUUGAAACUAGUGGUCUUGUUGACCAUCAACACUUGAUGCUCCUUCUUGAUUUCUACCUCCGCAGCUUUCAGCAUUGCGAAGAGCUCGGGAAUAGUCUUAUUCAUCCCUUGCAUAUUAUAGUUCAUCACGAAGCUCUUGUAGCUUGGUGGCAGUGAUUGGAGAAUUCUGUCAAUGAUGCAAUCAUCUGGAAGAUUAACUCCCAAUUGAAUCAAGUGAUUAUUAUACCCAAACAUUUUGAGUAUAUGUUCACUGACAGAACUGUUCUCCUCCAUCUUGCAGCUAUAGAACUUAUUGGAGACUUCAUAUCUCUCAAUCCGGGCAUUUGCUUGAAAUAUUAACUUCAACUCCUGGAACAUCUCAUAUGCUCCAUGACGUUCAAAACGUCGUUGAAGUCCCGAUUCUAAGCCGUAAAGCCUGGCACACUGAACUAUCGAGUAGUCAUCAGCUUUGCUCUGCCAGACGUUCAUAACAUCUGUUGUUGCUCCAGCAGCAGGCCUGGCACCCAGCGGUGCUUCUAGGACGUAAUUCUUCUGUGCAGCAAUGAGGAUAAUCCUCAAGUUACGGACCCAGUCCGUGUAAUUGCUACCAUCAUCUUUCAACUUUGCUUUCUCAAGGAACGCAUUAAAAUUCAAUGGAAUAAUAGCACGAGCCAUCUAUCUACAAUCAAGCAUAAACAAGCAAGAUACUAUCAGGUACUAAGUUUCAUGAUAAAUUUAGGUUCAAUUAAUUUACUUAAAGAACUCCCACUUAGAUAGACAUCCCUCUAAUCCUCUAAGUGAUUAUGUGAUCCAAAUCAACUAAACCAUGUCCCAUCAUCACGUGAGAUGGAGUAGUUUCAUUGGUGAACAUCACUAUGUUGAUCAUAUCUACUAUAUGAUUCACGAUCGACCUUUCGGUCUCCGUGUUCCGAGGCCAUAUCUGUAUAUGCUUGGCUCGUCAAGUAUAACCUGAGUAUUCCGCGUGUGCAACUGUUUUGCACCCGUUGUAUUUCAACGUAGAGCCUAUCACACCCGAUCAUCACGUGGUGUCUCAGCAUGAAGAACUUCCGCAACGGUGCAUACUCAGGGAGAACACUUCUUGAUACUUAGUGAGAGAUCAUCUUAUAAUGCUACCGUCAAACAAAGCAAGAUAAGAUGCAUAAAAGAUAAACAUCACAUGCAAUCAAUAUAAGUGAUAUGAUAUGGCCAUCAUCAUCUUGUGCUUGUGAUCUCCAUCUUUGAAGCACCGUCGUGAUCACCAUCGUCACCGGCGCGACACCUUGAUCUCCAUCGUAGCAUCGUUGUCAUCUCGCCAAUCUUAUGCUUCCACGACUAUCGCUACCGCUUAGUGAUAAAGUAAAGCAUUACAGCACGAUUGCAUUGCAUACAAUAAAGCGACAACCAUAUGGCUCCUGCCAGUUGCCGAUAACUCGGUUACAAAACAUGAUCAUCUCAUACAAUAAAAUUUAGCAUCAUGUCUUGACCAUAUCACAUCACAACAUGCCCUGCAAAAACAAGUUAGACGUCCUCUACUUUGUUGUUGCAAGUUUUACGUGGCUGCUACGGGCUUAAGCAAGAACCAAUCUUACCUACGCAUCAAAACCACAACGAUAGUUUGUCAAGUUGGUGUUGUUUUAACCUUCGCAAGGACCGGGCGUAUCCACACUCGGUUCAACUAAAGUAGGAGAAACUGUCACCCGCAAGCCACCUAUGUGCAAAGCACGUUGGGAGAACCGGUCUCGCGUAAGCGUGCGCAUAAUGUCGGUCCAGGCCGCUUCGUCCAACAAUACCGCCGAACCAAAGUAUGACAUGCUAGUAAGCAGUAUGACUUAUAUCGCCCACAACUCACUUGCGUUCUACUCGUGCAUAUAACAUCAACAUAUAAAACCUAGGCUCGGAUGCCACUGAAGGGUAACGUAGUAAUUUCAAAAAAUUUCCUACGCACACGCAAGAUCAUGGUGAUGCAUAGCAACGAGAGGGGAGAGUGUGAUCUACGUACCCUUGUAGACCGACAGCGGAAGCGAUAGCACAACGCGGUUGAUGUAGUCGUACGUCUUCACGGCCCGACCGAUCAAGCACCGAAACUACGGCACCUCCGAGUUUUAGCACACGUUCAGCUCGAUGACGAUCCCCGGACUCCGAUCCAGCAAAGUGUCGGGGAAGAGUUCCGUCAGCACGACGACGUGGUGACGAUCUUGAUGUACUAUCGUCGCCGGGCUUCGCCUAAGCACCGCUACAAUAUUAUCGAGGAUUAUGGUGGAAGGGGGCACCGCACACGGCUAAGAAUAUGAUCACGUGGAUCAACUUGUGUGUCUAGGGGUGCCCCCUGCCCCCGUAUAUAAAGGAUCAAGGGGAGGAGGCCGGCCGGCCCCUAUGGCGCGCCAAGGAGGAGUCCUCCUCCUAGUAGGAGUCCUACUCCUACUAGGAGGGGGAAAGAAGUGGGGAGGGAGAAGGAAAGGGGGGCGCCGCCCCCCUCUCCUAGUCCAAUUCGGACCAGGGGGAGGAGGCGCGCGGCCCACCUUUGGCUGCCCCUCUCUCUCUCCACUAAGGCCCAUAUGGCCCAUUACUUCUCCCGGGGGGGUUCCGGUAACCCUCCGGCUCUCCGGUUUUCUUUGAAAUCACCCGAAACACUUCCGGUGUCCGAAUAUAGCCGUCCAAUAUAUCAAUCUUUAUGUCUCGGCCAUUUUGAGACUCCUCGUCAUGUCUGUGAUCACAUCCAGGACUCCGAACUAACUUCGGUACAUCAAAACUCGUAAACUCAUAAUAUAACUGUCAUCGAAACCUUAAGCGUGCGGACCCUACGGGUUCGAGAACAAUGUAGACAUGACCGAGACACGUCUCCGGUCAAUAACCAAUAGCGGAACCUGGAUGCUCAUAUUGGCUCCUACAUAUUCUAUGAAGAUCUUUAUCGGUCAGACCGCAUAACAACAUACGUUGUUCCCUUUGUCAUCGGUAUGUUACUUGCCCGAGAUUCGAUCGUCGGUAUCUCAAUACCUAGUUGAAUCUCGUUACCGGCAAGUCUCUUUACUCAUUCCGUAAUACAUCAUCUCGCAACUAACUCAUUAGUUGCAAUGCUUGCAAGGCUUAUGUGAUGUGCAUUACCGAGAGGGCCCAGAGAUACCUCUCCGACAAUCGGAGUGACAAAUCCUAAUCUCGAAAUACGCCAACCCAACAUGUACCUUUGGAGACACCUGUAGAGUACCUUUAUAAUCACCCAUUUACGUUGUGAAGUUUGGUAGCACACAAAGUGUUCCUCCGACAAACGGGAGUUGCAUAAUCUCAUAGUCAUAGGAACAUGUAUAAGUCAUGAAGAAAGCAAUAGCAACAUACUAAACGAUCGUGUGCUAAGCUAAUGGAAUGGGUCAUGUCAAUCAGAUCAUUCACCUAAUGAUGUGAUCCCGUUAAUCAAAUAACAACUCUUUGUUCAUGGUUAGGAAACAUAACCAUCUUUGAUUGACGAGCUAGUCAAGUAGAGGCAUACUAGUGACACUCUGUUUGUCUAUGUAUUCACACAUGUAUUAUGUUUCCGGUUAAUACAAUUCUAGCAUGAAUAAUAAACAUUUAUCAUGAUAUAAGGAAAUAAAUAAUAACUUUAUUAUUGCCACUAGGGCAUAUUUCCUUCACCUCCGGCGUACUUCUUCCUCGUAUAUAUACACAUGUACCCCCAAACAAUCAGAAGAGGAGCCAAAAACCUAAUUCCACCGCCGCAACUUUCUGUAUCAGAAGAGAUCCCAUCUUGGGGCCUGUUCCGGAGCUCCGCCAGAAGAGGGCCGUCAUCACGGAGGGCUUCUACAUCAUCCUAGCCGCUCCGAUGAAGUGUGAGUUGUUUACCUAUGACCUUCGGGUCCAUAGUUAGUAGCUAGAUGGCUUCUUCUCUCUCUUUGAAUCUGAAUACAAAGUUCUCCCCCUCUCUUGUGGAGAUCUAUUCGAUGUAAUCUUCUUUUUGCGGUGUGUUUGUUGAGACCGAUGAAUUGUGGGUUUAUGAUCAAGUCUAUCUAUGAAUAAUAUUUGAAUCUUCUCUGAAUUCUUUAUGUAUGAUUGGUUAUCUAUGCAAGUCUCUUCGAAUUGUCCGUUUGGUUUGGCCAACUAGAUUGGUAGUUCUUGCCAUGGGAGAAGUGCUUAGCUUUGGGUUCGAUCUUGCGGUGUCCUUACCCAGUGACAGAAGGGGCAGCAAGGCACGUAUUGUAUCGUUGCCGUCGAGGAUAACAAGAUGGGGUUUAUUUCAUAUUGCAUGAAUUUAUCUCUCUACAUCAUGUCAUCUUGCUUAAGGCGUUACUCUGUUUUUAACUUAAUACUCUAGAUGCAUGCUGGAUAGCGGUCGAUGAGUGGAGUAAUAGUAGUAGAUGCAGAAUCAUUUCGAUCUACAUGUCACGGACGUGAUGCCUAUAUACAUGAUCAUGCCUAGAUAUUCUCAUAACUAUGCUCAAUUCUGUCAAUUGCUCCACAAUAAUUUGUUCACCCACCAUAGAAUACUUAUGCUCUUGAGAGAAGCCACUAGUGAAACCUAUGGCCCUCGGGUCUAUUCUCAUCAUAUCAAUCUCCAUCACUUUAAAUCUUGCUUUGUUUUUACUUUGCUUUUACUUUUUAAUUUGCAUCUUUAUACCAAAAAUACCAAAAAUAUUAUAUCUAUCAGAUCUCAUUCUCGUAAGUGACCGUGAAGGGCUUGACAACCCCUAAUCGCGUUGGUUGCGAGUAGCGAUCGCUUUGUGCAGGUACGAGGGACUUGAGCGUGGGCUCCUACUGGAUUGAUACCUUGGUUCUCAAAAACUAAGGGAAAUAUUUACGCUACUCUGCUGCAUCAUCCCUUCCUCUUCGGGGAAAACCAACGCAAGCUCAAGAUGUAGCAGGUGUUGAGUUGAGUUACCGAAUGGAAAUUGUAAUAGCUCAUGAAGCAGUAAAAAUUGAGGUGUUUGGAAUCUCAUAUGAAAUGUUAUGAGUUGUUUGUUGAUUGUGAGUGCCUCUCUCACUAUGUCACCCAGACAUAAACCUUGAACCCAUGGACAAGUUGACCCCAAAACCUUCACUAAAAAACCACAUUUCACCCAAGGAAAUACAUGCAUUAUCCUAAGUACCCCUUCUAUCUUAUACCUGCAGAUGGCAACCCUUUACGAGUCUUUUCUCAAGGGCCCGGAAACGAUCAUGACCCUAACUAGUGAUCAGGAUUACCCAAAGAUCCUCAAGGACAUGAUGAAGCAUAUUCAUCUUGAAGGAGAUGCAGUCUACAAGGGUUAUCCUUUCAUGGAGAAUGGAGUUGAACUUUGGUACAUGGAAGUACACCUCCACCGUGUGAAGGGAGUUUUCCCAAAGACUAUGGGGCAAUACUUUUUCAUUUCUCGAGUACCCCGAGCAACAUUCUUCGACUCUGUUCGUGAAGCUGCUACGGAAGCCAUAUGUCAGAUUGGAGAAAUACUUGAAGCCAGACUUCGUUAUACUCAGGAAUACCCGAGGGAGGUGCAUGCAGUGAUGAUGGAGAUGAAGCUCAUGGCCACCAUGAUGAAGCAAAAGGUCGAUGAUUUCAAGGACCACAUUGUACAAUUCCAGUGGUACUAAAUUAUCUUCAAGAAGGGCAAAUGAAUAAAGAUGGAAGUAAUGCUUGACCAUACCAAACUAUGUGGAUGGCAGCUUUUUGUAAUAGAGUACUUUUGAAAUUUGAGUUUUGAGUAGUGGUUAAGGAUGUAAUAAAGGAUUUAAUAUGAAGAGAAUUGUGGAUGAACCGGUGCAUUUUUUUGGCGAUACCUGUCUGUGUGAACACUUGACCAAUGGAAAAGGAAAUGUAUUCCAUAGAGUGAAGUUUGGACAAAUGAGUUGGAGUUUGGUUUUAGUUAUGAUGGUUACCCCAAGAGUAUGAAUGAAUGAAGUACUAUUGGAUUUAAAGGAGAUGUAAUGUUGGAAUAUGGAACAAUAGUAACUCCAAGGAUGAGUUAAAGAUAUACAAGUGUUGAAAUGGGCCAUAACCCACAGGACCCAGGAUUUGAUAAGGAAACAAGCACAAUCUUGUUGAAGAAAAUAAUUCUGAAAGAAGCCAUGAUUUCAUCAGCAUAUUCAUAGGAGGUUACAUAAACCCAGGAGUUGUGAAUAAACGAUAGAGGUUUUCUUUGGCUUGCAGAACCAAUGGAUUUAUUCGAACCCAGUUCAUGGAGAAGAGAAGUUCUGCAAUGCUUGUGAGGAUGCCCAAGGGCUAGAAUGCGUGAUUCACUAUCUGCGUAUGUGGUACUGAUUCAAGUACGACAUGGAUUGGACCCCAUACCGGAGACUUCUAUCAUGAGCUAUCAUAUGAUUGAUAGAAAAUCAGAGAGCCUUAAAACCCUAGAAGAGUGUCGACACGACAAGCCAAAAGCCUUAGAAUGGCAGGAUGAUGGAAACCCUGUACAGGCACCUAUUGCCAAUCGUAGGUUAUGCAGUGAGGUUCAACCCAGACCCAUUUCCUGUAGGAGGAACCAGAAAUUGUCGACCACCAUGAGGUUUUCGAUAGUUGUUUAGCAUUGGCGCCAGACCUGUCAAGUCUCAGAAGGAUCCUAUUUUGAUGCAAGGACUCCUGAUUUUGAGGAAAAGGCCAUGCCCUUACCAGAAGAGCAAAAGUGAAGGUGUUAUCUCGGAGAAUAUGAGAAGACCGACACCGUCAACGCAAAGGAUGGAGUACAUGAGUUUUGUUGGAACUGUAACCAUGCUUCUAAGGGUGGUAGCACCCCAUUCCUUGUGUUGAUGAAUGGAUUUUCAAGGAGAACCCCCAAACCUAACAUUCUUUCUAGCCUCUUCGAAUCUCGAGGACGAUAUUCAUUUUAAGGGUGGUAGUUUGUAACAUCCCAAAAUUCUAAAUUUUGGAAUGUUAUGUUAAAUAAUUAAUUCUGAUUGUUUGUUUGUCGUGUGAUUGAUUGUGUGAAAAUGAUUGGAAAUUGAAAACUUUUUGAAAGUAGAAUGAGAGGGAAUAAAAGGACUUUCCCGAAACUUUUCAUCUUGCAUUUUGAUCUUCCUGAAUUCAAAUUCAUUACAUCAUAAAACCCUAGAGUGAAGAUAAUAUGACUUCUUCCAUUUAAAGAAAUGAAAAAAGGGGAUUGAAAAUGAUUUGAAUUCCAUUUGAAACAUUUUAAAUUUAGAAACUUUAAGCAACUCAAUGAGUUCAUGAGGGAAGAUAAAAUGACUUCUUCAAAUCGAUGGAAGAGAGUUGGAAGUUUCAAAGGAAUAAUUUGAAGUCACUUUGAAGUUAUUUGAAACUCAUUUUUCCAUUUGAAGUUGUUUGAAAUUCCAAAUUUCAAAUCCUCUUGGGAGUUAUUUAGUUUUAAUUCAAAUUAUUUUUCCCCUAAAAAUAAAUAGAUGGGAAUAAGGGUAAAAUGAUUCCCUUCAAUAGAAAAUUAGGAGAAAUAUAUCUGAAAUCAUUUUGCUAUUUAAAAAAUGAUUUUUAUUGAUUUUAAAUGCCAUAGUAGCACUGUUUGAAUUUUAUGAAUUUUUAUGGAAUUUAGUUGAACUUGAAAAAUAAUUCAUCUUAUUGCUGCUAUUUUUCUGAGCAUUUUCGUAUAUAAUAUUCCUACGUAAUUUUUUUAGUUAUUUUCCUAUGUUGAAGUUUUUGUUUCUGCAAAAAAAAACACGCGCCCGCCAGCCGGCCCAGGGCCUUCGGCCCAAGAGCCAGCUAGCGCACCGAGCCGGCCCAGCAGCGCCCCAGGCCGCCCCAGGCCUUACGCCUCGCUCGCCCGCGCCCCUCUUCCCUCGCUCGAUCUCUCCCACUGCCGCUGCCAGUGGGGCCCGCAACCCUCCGUCCCUAACCUCCCGCUCCUCCCGUUCAGUUAGGGCACGCGCGUGCCGCCCGCAACUGCCGGCAGCUCCGCUCGGGAUAGAGCUCAUCCGCAGUCUCCGCAGCCUCUUCUCGCGCCUAUAAAUUCCCUCGACUCCCUUCGUUCGAUUCUGCCAUUCCGCAACGAUCCACGCCGCUGACAGCCGCCGCCUUCGUCGUUUGGAUCUUGCCCGCCGGAGCUACCUCGCCGGUCCGUUCCGCCGCCCGUAAGACUUCCUCGACCCCGUUCUUCUUUUUCAAUUGACUCCCCGCGUCGAGGCGCAUCUGAUUGACAAAAUUUUGCCGCCUAGGUCGUACCAGAGACGCCGCCCCGACGCGUCGCGCUCUUGCCGAAGCACCGGAGCUCCGCCGCCUCCCUCCGCUCGUCGCUGGCCACCCCACCACCCGCCGACCCCACCAGCACGCCGCCCACGCCGCGCCUGACCUCCCUGACCCCUUCGUCGCCGCUGAGGACCACCAGAGACGCCGCCCUGUCCGCCGUCCGCCGCCUGACGCCAGCGGCGCCGCCCCUGUUCGCCGUCCUCGCUCGCUAUGAGCCGCUGAUCCUCGCUCAUUUUUUGUUGUUGUUGUAUUAGAUCGGGUAACCGUGGUUUUAUUAAACCGUGCGGUUUAGUAAAAAAAGGUCUCCGGUUUUCUUUUUAUUUAGCCACGGUAGCCGUUUUAUUUAUUCAGUGGCCGUCCGCAGUUUAGCCUGAGCCGCGAACGCUGCUCAGCCACCUGGAAGCCGCCACGUGGCCAGGGAUCUGGUCGUGAAUAAAACUUUCAUAGUCAAGUCCCCGAGUUUUCAAUUUAGCCCCUAAACUUCGAAUGGUUGUAUCUUUUUAACCGUAACUCCAAAUUCGACGAAACCAGUGGCAAAAUGUUCGUCUCGAAUAGUUUUAUCCAGAGAACCAACUUUGAAAACUUCUGGCCAAAUUCAAAUUUGAACUUUAUUCAGAUUUGAAUUCAAACUUCAACUGGCCAUAUCUCUUAAACCGUAGAUCCGAUUGGUGUGAUUCUUUUUGCAACGUGUCAUCAUAGCCAAACCCUACCACCUGGACCUUGUCACAAUACUUUUCACACAACUAGAAUCUGUCUAUGAUAGUUUUACUAUUAUGCCAUGCAUGCACUUUAGUACACAUCACAGUUUUGAACCCCAUGUCACAAGUUGUUUUGCACUUAGGAUAUUUCCAUGCUAGUUAACUGUGUUGAAUGUUCAUUUGGUUUUUCUGAGACUUUGGGCUUUGCAUGUUCUUCUUGGUUAUCUGAAAUGAUUGCUGAGAGUGACGAAUAGUUCUAUGAAGUAAAUUUCUGAGAGUGGUAUAAUCUUCAUCAACUAUUACCAGGCAACUUCACAUUUGACCAUUUUUCCAAUUACCUAUGUUUAUAUUAUGCACUUAGUCCUUUUGUGGUAGGAUUGCAUGGUAGGAUUUAUUGUUUCCAGAUGGCUAUGCCGUUACCUAGUAGUUCAUUUGAGGUAGGUAUGAUCUAUACAUCCUUGUCACCACCGUGUAAGUUUAUUUUUGCCUCUCUAAAUGUAGACGUGGUUUGGGAAGCGAAAAUGGCGAGACAUGAGUGACAAAGUAGUAAUCAAGACCAAGACAUGUAAAUGAACUACCUGGGCGGUAUUUGGUUUGAAUGGUGGCGAAGUACAGUGAGAGCAUGCAUGGUUAAUCCAUGGUGGUGCACCACUAGUGGUUGGCCGCUCAGGCUCAAAGAGAUGAAUCGUAUUCUCAUGUCUAGAAGCUUAUGUGUGCAGCCACAAGCCAAUAUGGGCUCUAGCUUAGUUGAGUAGUUAGUGUGACCUCUUCCGGGAUGGGCUAGCAGAUGUAGAAUGAUGUAGGUGUACCGGCCUAUCCGUGGGUUAAGGGGAACAUUUUCGAAAGACUAUGUCUCGGUCAUCCUGUUCUCAAACGCCAGGUAGUGCGAGAACUCCAGGGGAGGCGAUCGAGUCUUGUGGGGAAAAGUGCGCAAACCUCUGCAGUGUUAAAACCUAAUCGAUUAGCCGUGUCACCGGUUACGGAAAACUUGAGAAUCUAGUAGUGGAAAUGCUGGGAGAUCUCAUCACUCUUAAUUAAACAAUUGGGUUUUAAAUGAAACUUUGGGAAUGGAUUGAGUUGGGUUUGCCAACUCAUCCUAUGCUAUACUAUAGUGAUAGACUAAUAUCUUUUAUUCUAGGGAAAAACUAGCUUUAUGCAAAAACUAAACUUAGGGCUUUCCACCAGCCAAAUUGCAUGUACAAAUAGGUUCAUUAUUCUUAUGAUGUGACUUACCAGUACAUUCAAUUUACUGACCUACAAGGCUGCAACGUCUUAUGUUGCAGGAAUUUCUAUGACGAGUAAGAAUUACGUGGUAGGGUUACGGUCUACACUCAACUUGCCGUUGGCGUUGAUGGGACUCCGCACCCAUUCAAUUGUUUUCGCUGAGAUUUAUGAGGCAUAUAUCAGUUUUACGUUAUUUAUACAUGUGAUUGAACUUUGAUAUAUACAUUGAUGUACUGUGUGUGCCAGCAUACCGAUCUAGGGAUGGCACGGAUACACAGAGGCUUGACCAUUUGAGGUCGGGUUGCUACAGCAAAUAACCUAGAUCUUUCAAGGCAAACUCUGAGCUCAAAUCAUGCAGAAUGGCAUUAGCAACACUUUGUGAUGAACUUGCAACUAUGAUGCAUCCACAUAUAUGAGAACAAUGAUAACUACUUUUCCCUUGUUAUAAAUGAACAAAGAUGUAUCAGCUUUGGAAGCACUAAAACCAAGACAUUUCAAUUGAGAGCUCAACCUGGAGUACCAUGCUUUAGGUGCUUGUUUCAAGCUAUAGAGUGCUUUGUCAAGCUUGCACACAUAAUGUGGUGUUUUCUUACUCUCAUAUCCUGGUGGUUGUCUCAUGAAUACCUCCUCUUCCAGAACACCAUGUAAAAACGCGUUCUGUACAUCUAGCUAUCUCAAGCUCCAUCCCUUGGAUACAGCAAUAGCUAACACAAAUCUUAUAGUUGCAGCUUUUACAACCGGACUGAAGGUAUCCUCAUAGUCUAUGCCAUAGCAUUGUUUAAAGCCCUUUGCAACUAGACGUGCCUUAUAUCUAUCAAUGGAGCCAUCUGCUUUCUUUUUAAUUCUAUACACCCACUUGCAAUCAAUAAUAUUUUUACUUCUCUGAUCAGGCACAAGAUGCCAAGUUUUGUUCCUCAUAAGUGCAGAAUAUUCCUCAUCCAUUGCUUUCUUCCAUUUAGGGUCACCAAGUGCAUCAUUCAGUGUCAUUGGUUCCCCUGAAAUACAUAGCAUGCCAUACCGUAUAGUACCAUCAGUUCGUAUUUUGGGAUUAUGGAUACCUUUUUGUAACCUUGUCAUAACUCGCAAGGGAGCUUCUUGUUGCAUGUGUACAGGAACAAGAUCCAUUGGCGCAGAAGAUCCGCCUCUUGCUACUUAAUCUGCUGGUGAUGCAGAAGAUCCAUCGGAUACUGGCGCGGAAGAUCCAGUGGACCUUGGUGUGGCCCCCCUGCCACUGGACGCCCAGGAAACCACAGGGCUUGCAGCAUAGACGAUCCGCUGCCAGGUUGCAUGUGCGCGGGACGCGAGGAGGAGCCGACCGCGCGACUGGUCCCACUAGGCCCGCUGUCGGGUGACGCGUCGGCAUGGGAGUGGCCCUCCCAGGAAUAUGGGCCGCUGCCGCCUUGUACGCGAUCCAAGAAAGAUCUGUGCGCAUGAUCCGAGGCCUGCAAGAGAGCAUGAGUACCAAGGAAUUCAACUGAUAUGAUUACUCUACUUAUUGAUGUGCAAUAAUGUAAUAUGACUAUUAAGAAGCAUUCUGACUGUGGAGGUGGUUUCACACUUCUUACUACAACAAAGGUGAUUGAAGGAUUCCUCGGCAGAAACUAGAACGCACACCUUCAAUAAUUGACGAGCUAAUUGGUUGUUGAACUUCAUGUUGAAGAUAUCUCAUGUAGGCCCAGGCCGGCGCAUAUAGUUAGUUGAGGAGUUGGUUAGAUUAGAGAUAGACUAUCAUCUAAUUAAACUUUUGUAUCUCUAUCUCCUAAUCUCUUGUACUCCAAAUUAUGUAUGCGUACAUGGGAUAAGCCUCAUCUCAAUCAAUAAAUACCCACGGCCCUCUCUCAUGGAGGGUAGAACGCUUCCGAUAUAUUUCCUAUAUGGUCAUCAGAGCUUUCUCUUCCUUCUCGUCCAAAAACCAGAAAACCUAGAUUGUCGUCCUUCCCACCAUGUCGUCCUCCUCCAACCCCCUGACUCUCUCUGGUCUUGGUUCCCAAAUCAGCGAGAAGCUCACCCCCGAGAACUACCUGCUGUGGAAGGCACAUAUCCUCCAGCACUUCCUUGGUGCCGGGCUCUAUGGCUAUCUAGACGACACUAUCGUCGAACCAGAGAAGCUCAUGGUCGCGAAGGACAAUGAUGGAAAGGAUCAAGCGAUCCCUAAUCCGGCGCAUGAUGCUUGGGUGCGGCAGGACCAACAGGUCCUUGGCCACAUCAUCAACAAUCUCUCGAAGGAGGUGCUGGUCUCGGUCGUCUCCAUUGGCGUGAGCUCUCUGGACAUCGAUGCGUAACAUGUUUGCUUCACAAUCUCAUUACCGCAUUAAUAAUAUCCGGAUUUCCCUGUCCAGUGCCCAAAAGGGCAAUCAGCGUCGGCAUACUUUGCUCGGAUGCGCAGAUAUGUUGAUGAACUUGCUGCUACUGGGAGACCUCUGCAAGAGGAUGAGCUCACCUCCUUCCUCCUGGCUGGGAUGGACCUCGACUACAACCCCCUUAUCUCAGCCCUCGAUGCCCGGACGGAUCCUAUCACCAUCGAUGACCUGUACUCACAGGUCUACAACUUCGACCAGUGGGUGUCGCUGCUCACGGGAGGCGUGGGCUUCAAGUCCUCUGCAAACUCUGCCCAGCAUGGUGGGCCACCUCCAUCUCGAGGCUUUGGAAAGCCGAGGGAUCAGAAGAAGCAAGGUGGUGGCGGCGGCUACAAGACGAAACAAGGUGGCGGUGGUCAUCCCUACUACAUCAACACCAAGGGAGCUCGCUCUGGUGCCCCUGGAGGGCCAGGAGGUCUAGGAGGCCCCGAUGGUCCUCCACCCGCCAACAACCACAAGGGGAAUGACCCCAUCCAGUGCCAGAUAUGCAUCAAGUUCGGGCACAGCACCAAGGACUGCUGGUAUCAUUUUGAUGAUGAUGCCCUUGAAUAAAAAGUUGUUGCUGCCACCUAGUAUGGGGUGGAUACAAAGUGUUAUGUUGACAGCGAUGCAACCGUUCAUCUCAUCGGCGAACUAGAGAAGUUGACAGUCCGCGACAAGUAUCGUGGGCAGGGUGAAAUCCAUGGCGCAAACGGAUCAGGUAUGAGGAUAGAUCAUGUUGGUCAUUCAGUUUUUCAAACCCCUAGCCGUCCCAUCCAUCUUAAAAGAAUUUACAUUAUCCUCACGCCCAAACCAAUCUUCUUUCUGUACAUCAUAUUGCCUUGGAAAAUCAAGUAUUUCUUGAAUUUCACCCCUUCUACUUUUCGAUCAAGGACCAGGCAACGAGGAGAAUCCUCUACAUAUGUAGAUGCGUUGGUAGGCUCUAUCCAUUGAUUCCUCGCUUUAGGAGUUCAAAUAAACAAGUUCUUGGUCUCACCAAAUUAUCUUCGGCAAGGUGUCACGAUCGAUUUGGGCAUCCUUCUUUUUCUAUAGUUCAGCAAGUGCUUAGGAAAAAUAAGCUCCCUUUUGUUGGUGAGCCUAGUAGUGAAAAAAAAUUGUGAUUCAUGUCAACGAGAAAAAAGUCAUCAACACCCUUACCCUGUGUCAACUAGCAUUUCUUCCAAACCAUUAGAACUAUUUUUUUCUGAUGUAUGGGGCAAGCAGCUCUUUCUAUUGGGAGACACAAGUAUUAUGUAAACUUUAUUGAUGAUUAUAGUAAGCAUACUUGGAUCUACCUUAUCAAGCAUAAAUCUGAUGUGUUUCAAGUAUUCCAAAAUUUCCAAGCACUUGUUGAAUGAAAAUUCUCUAGCAAAAUAAUCUCUGUCCAAUCGGACUGGGGUGGCGAGUAUGAAAAAUUAAACUCAUUCUUUCAAAAACUGGGAAUUUCCCAUCAUGUCUCUUCUCCCCAUGCGCACCAACAGAAUGGUUCUGCAGAACGCAAGCAUAGACAUAUUGUCAAAGUUGGUCUUUCUCCUUGCUAAUGCAUCCAUGCCAUCGAAGUUUUGGGAUGAAGAAUUCAUCACUGCUACACAUCUCAUUAAUAUGUUGCUAAGCAGGGUUAUCAAUUUUGAAACACCCACCAUGUUGGGGAACACAAUAUUUUAAAAAAAUUCCCACGAUCACACAAGAUUUAUCUAGGAGAUGCAUAGCAACGAGAGGGGAGAGUGUGUCCAUGUAUCCUCGUAGACCGAAAGCGGAGGCAUUUAGUAACGCGGUUGAUGUAGUCGAACGUCUUUGGGAUCCAACCGAUCAAGUACCGAAUGCACAACACCUCCGCGAUCUGCACACGUUCAGCUCGGUGACGUCCCUCGUACUCUUGAUCCAGUUGAGGCCGAGGGUGAGUUGCGUCAGCAUGAUGGUGUGCUGAUGGUUAUGAUGAAGUUACCAACGCAAGGAUUCGCCUAACCACUACGACAAUAUGACCGAGGUGGAAAACUAUGGAGGGGGGAACCGCAACGGUUAAAGAUCAACUUGUGUGUCUAUGAGGUGCCCCCUCCCCCAUAUAUAAAGGAGGGGAGGAGGAGGAGGGCCGGCCUCAAGGGGCGCGCCCAAGGGGGGAUUCUUACUCCUAGUAGGGGUAGGUUUCCCCUUUCCUAGUCCAAGUAGUAGAAGAAGGAAGGAGAGGAAGAAGAGAAGGAAAGGGGGGCCGCCCCCCUUAGCCCUAGUCCAAUUUGGUUUGGGCUACGGGAGGCGCGCGCCACCUCUUGGCCUACCUCCUCUCUUCCACCACUAGGCCCAUAAGGCCCAAUAACUUCCCGACGGGGGUUUCGGUAACCCCCAGUACUCCGAAACUUAUCUGAAACGACCCGAACCAUCCCAGUGUCCAAAUGUAACCUUCCAAUAUAUGAAUCUUUAUGUCUCAACAAUUUCGAGACUCCUCGUCAUGUCCAUCAUUAUCCUCGAACGUUAAGCGUACGGACCCUACGGGUUCGAGAACUAUGUAGACAUGACCGAGACUCAUCUCCCAUCAAUAAACAAUAGCGGAACCUAGAUGCUCAUAUUGGUUCCUACAUAUUCUACGAAGAUCUUUAUCAGUGAAACCGCAUAACAACAUACGUUGUUGCCUUUGUCAUCGGUAUGUUACUUGCCCGAGAUUCAAUCGUCGGUAUCAUCAUACCUAGUUCAAUCUCGUUACCGGCAAGUCUCUUUACUCGUUCCGUAAUGCUCAUCCCGUGACUAACUCAUUAGUCACAUUGCUUGCAACGCUCAUAGUGAUGUGCAUUACCGAGAGGGCCCAGAUAUACCUCUCCGAUACAUAGAGUGACAAAUGCUAAUCUCUAUCUAUGCCAACUCAACGAACACCAUCGGAGACACCUGUAGAGCAUCUUUAUAAUCGCCCAGUUACGUUGUGAUGUUUGAUAGGACACAAGGUGUUCCUCCGGUAUUCGGGACUUGCAUAAUCUCAUAGUCUGAGGACCAUGUAUAAGUCAUGAGAAAAAUAAUAGCAAUAAACUAAAUGAUCAUAGUGCUAAGCUAACGGAUAGGUCUUGUCCAUCACAUCUAAAUGGUUUUUUCUUUUCUUGAUUACUGCUCCCUUCGUCCCAUAAUAUAAGACAUUUUUUGACAUUACACUAGAGUCAAAAAACGUCUUACAUUAUAGGACGGAGGGAGUAGUAUUUGUUUUUGGAUACUUGCAGGUGUUGGAAGAGAACUACUAGCUUUUUGUCCAAGUCGCUGCUCACAAAUGUGUGACGCCCACCCUCACACGUGAGCCAGCGCAGCCGGAGGCGGCGCACUACCAACGAAACCUAACAAAUUAACUGGCCACACGUGCCAGCCGGUUCCCACGGGUGCGAUGCAUGCCCCCACUUGCAAGCCAGAGGGAGGCCCUACGGACGAGCCGGCAUAGGUGUACAUGAGGCACGCACUAUCUGUUGCGACCGGACCAGCUCGGCGCAUUGCCAGCGGAUGCCGACGGCAAAAUUUCGUGUUUUGACCCUUUUCUGAAACCUAUUAAAGAUCUGACCCUAGGUAGCAGAAGACAUCCUUCAAAUUGAUCACAAUCUUCUUACCCCAACUGAGACCGAGGCUUUCAAGAUGAUUGAGUUAUCCCUUAUACAAAACAAGUAUGUCACACAUGAAAAUAUUUUGUUGAAGGAGCAUAUCAUCGCACUCAAGGGCAUUAUCCGCAAGUUGGAGGACCUCCUACGCUCGAUGUGCGACUAUCCAUCAUCAACAACUCCACCUUCUUCGCAAACAAAGAAGAACUGAGUAUCUGGUAUGGGCACUCCGCUUGGCAACUGCCAAGCUUAGGGGAGUGCCCCGGUAUCGUAUCACCAUCACUUCUAUCUUUACCGUUUUCCUUAGUUCGAUCCUUUUGAUAAUAUUUUGAUCUAGUAGAAUAAAACUUCUUAUUAUGAUCUAGUUGUGAGUUUUGCUUUAUGAUCCUUCUAUGUAAUCAAGUCCGUGAGCUAUAUAUAAUAAAGAUUAGUGUUGAGUCAAGGACUUGAUUAUUUUGCCAUAAUAUUGAGUGAAUAAAAGAAAAGAGAAGAAAUAAAAAGAAACAAAGAGAACAUAUGGAUCUUAUGGAGAGUAAUGAGCUCACAUAGAAAGAGUAUGAUGAAUAAAAGUUGUUGAGAGUUGACAAACAUAGUUUCGGUCAUCGUUGCAAUUAAUAGGAAGUAAUAAAAAAAAAGAGGUCUUCACAUAUAAAUACACUAUCUUGGACAUCUUUUAUGAUUGUGAGCACUCAUUAAAAUAUGACAUGCUAAAGAGUUGACGUUGGACAAGGAAGACAACGUAAUGGGUUAUGUUUUCUUACAUCUGAGAUAAAUUAUAUUGUCAUGGAUCAUCCAACAUGAUUGAGCUUGCUUUUCCCCCUCAUGCUAGCCAAAUUCUUUGCACCAAGUAGAGAUAUUACUUGUGCUUCCAAACACCCUUAAACCAAUAUUUCCAUGAGUGUCCACCAUACCUACCUAUGGAUUGAGUAAGAUCCCUCAAGUAAGUUGUCAUCGGUGCAAGCAAUAAAAAUUGCCCUCUAAAUAUGUAUGACUUAUUAGUGUGGGAGAAAAUAAGCUUUAUACGAUCGUAUGAUAUGGAAGAAAUAAAAGCGGCGGACUGCAUAAUAAAGGUCCAUAUCACAAGUGGCAAUAUAAAGUGACUUUCUUUCGCAUUAAGAUUUUGUGCAUCCAACCAUAAAAAUGCAUGACAACCUCUACAUCCCUCUGUGAAGGGCCUAUCUUUUUCUUUUAUCUCCUACCUUGCAUAAGAGUCAUGGUGAUCUUCACCCUUCCUUUUUACAUUUUAUCUUUUGGCAAGCACAACAUGUUGGAAAGAUGCUGGUAUAUAUGGCUAAUUGGAUGUGAAUUUUCAUGAACUAUUAUUGUUGACAUUACCCUUGAGGUACAACGUUGGGAGGCAAAACUAUAAGCCCCUAUCUUUCUCUGUGUCCGAUUAAAACUCCAUACCCAUAAGUAUUGCGUGAGUGUUAGCAAUUGUGGAAGACUAUAUGAUAGUUGAGUAUGUGUACUUGCUGAAAAGCUCUUGUAUUGACUCUUUCCUAUGUUAUGAUAAAUUGCAAUUGCUCCAAUGACUGAGAUUAUAGUUUGUUAGUUUUCAAUGAAGUUUGUGAUUCAUACUUGAAAUUGUGAUUGAAUUGUUACUCUAGCAUAAGAGAUCAUAUGACAAGAAUUAUAUAAGUUGUUGUUUUAAGAAUGAUCAUAAUGCCCUCAUGUACGUAUUUUAUUUUUAUCGACACCUCUAUCUCUAAACAUGUGGACAUAUUUUUCGAUUUCGGCUUUCGCUUGAGGACAAGCGAGGUCUAAGCUUGGGGGAGUUGAUAUGUCCAUUUUGCAUCAUGCUUUUAUAUUGAUAUUUAUUGCAUUAUGGGAUGUUAUUACACAUUAUGUCACAAUACUUAUGCCUUUUCUCUCUUAUUUUACAUGGUUUACAUAAAAAGGGAGAAUGCCGGCAGCUGGAAUUCUGGGCUGGAAAAGGAGCAAAUAUUAGAGACCUAUAGUACACAGCUCCAAAAGUCCUGAAACAUCACGGAAGUCAUUUUUAGAAUAUAUAAAAAAUAUUGAGCGCAAGAAGUUCCAGAGGGAGGCCACACCCUGGCCACGAGGGUGGGGGCCAGGCUUACCCCCUGGGUGCGCCCCUGCCUCGUGGGCCACCUGGUGGCCCUCCGAUGCCCAUCUUCUGCUAUAUGGAGUCCUUCGAUGAGAAAAAAAUGAUAAGCAAGCUUUCGGGAUGAGACUCCGCCGCCACUAGGCGGAACCUUGGCGGAACCAAUCUAGGGCUCUGGCAUAGCUAUUCUGCCAGGGAAACUUCUCUCUGGGAGGGGGAAAUCAUUGCCAUCGUCAUCACCAAUGAUCUUCUCAUUGGGAGGGGGUCAAUCUCCAUCAACAUCUUCACCAGCACCAUCUCCUCUCAAACCCUAGUUCAUCUCUUGUAUCCAAUUCUUGUCUCUAAGUCUGGGAUUGGUACCCGUGGGUUGCUAGUAGUGUUGAUUACUCCUUGUAGUUUAUGCUAGUUGGUUUAUUUGGUGGAAGAUCAUAUGUUCAGAUCCUAUAUGCAUAUUAAUACCCCUCUGAUUAUGAACAUGAAUAUGCUUUGUGAGUAGUUACGUUUGUUCCUGAGGACAUAGGGGAAGUCCUGCUAUUAGUAGUCAUGUGAAUUUGGUAUUCGUUCGAUAUUUUGAUGAGAUGUAUGUUAUCUCUCCUCUAGUGGUGUUAUCACUACAAAAAAAGACACAUCCGUGACAUUUUGGGCCGAACAAUUUUUUUUUCUGUCAUACAUGUGACACUUCUAUGACGAUAAUUGUGACAAAACCCGGUAUCAUCAUAGAUGUGGUGGGAUCCUACUUCUAUGACAAAAAAUCAUGACAGAAAAUGGGCUUUUCGUCCUGGGCGGGCCGGAGACGCAGCUGCAUGACAUUCUUUGGGCCGUCCAUGACGGAAAAAACCAUGGUAGAAGCGAGGGGGAGGAAAAUUUCGGGAAGUUCCCGGUUACGGUGGGAGGUCGGGGGCCAAGCGAUGCGCGUUUCUCUCGUACACGUACGCACGUGUGUGCGAGGCGUUGGCUCUAACUGAACCCGAGCGAUUGCACUGCAGGCUAGGCGUUACUGAACUCGAGCGAUCGAUCAAUGGCUGUUAACUGAACCCGAUCGAGCGAUUCCUUUGCUACUGCUGCUAACUGAAUCCGAUCGAUNNNNNNNNNNNNNNNNNNNNNNNNNNNNNNNNNNNNNNNNNNNNNNNNNNNNNNNNNNNNNNNNNNNNNNNNNNNNNNNNNNNNNNNNNNNNNNNNNNNNNNNNNNNNNNNNNNNNNNNNNNNNNNNNNNNNNNNNNNNNNNNNNNNNNNNNNNNNNNNNNNNNNNNNNNNNNNNNNNNNNNNNNNNNNNNNNNNNNNNNNNNNNNNNNNNNNNNNNNNNNNNNNNNNNNNNNNNNNNNNNNNNNNNNNNNNNNNNNNNNNNNNNNNNNNNNNNNNNNNNNNNNNNNNNNNNNNNNNNNNNNNNNNNNNNNNNNNNNNNNNNNNNNNNNNNNNNNNNNNNNNNNNNNNNNNNNNNNNNNNNNNNNNNNNNNNNNNNNNNNNNNNNNNNNNNNNNNNNNNNNNNNNNNNNNNNNNNNNNNNNNNNNNNNNNNNNNNNNNNNNNNNNNNNNNNNNNNNNNNNNNNNNNNNNNNNNNNNNNNNNNNNNNNNNNNNNNNNNNNNNNNNNNNNNNNNNNNNNNNNNNNNNNNNNNNNNNNNNNNNNNNNNNNNNNNNNNNNNNNNNNNNNNNNNNNNNNNNNNNNNNNNNNNNNNNNNNNNNNNNNNNNNNNNNNNNNNNNNNNNNNNNNNNNNNNNNNNNNNNNNNNNNNNNNNNNNNNNNNNNNNNNNNNNNNNNNNNNNNNNNNNNNNNNNNNNNNNNNNNNNNNNNNNNNNNNNNGACGGUGGAGAUGAACAGUAUCCCGUGGAGUCCCGUUUUGCGGUACGCCACACCCCUCCCGGUAAACAGGAACCCCGUUUCGACCGGAGUGCUCCAACACAAGUCAGUUUCCUCCAUUUUGCGGUACGGCACACCCCUCCCGAUCAACAGGACCCCCGUUUCAACCGUAGGAGGUCCGUUUCCUCCGUUUUGCGGUACGCCACAUCCCUCCCGAUGAACAGGAUCCCGUUUCGAACAUGGCCGGUCGAACACAAGGCCGUUUCCUCCAUUCUGCGGUACGCCAGGCCUCGUUUCCAUCGCCUGUUCCAUCCAAGCCCUCCCGAUGAACACAACGCAUUCCGUUGCCUUCCAAUGAACACGACGCAUUUUGUUGCCUCCCCAUGAACACGACACAUUUCGUUCCCUCCCCAUGAACACGACGACGAUGCUGUUUCUCCGUUCCGACCCAGCCUUGUACACGAGCCCUCGUCGUACGUAUGCGCGAGUAGGCGUUCGAGACCCCGCCCGUAUGUACACAUACGUGGCCGUAUUUUCUUUCUUGCACCCUGACCGCUGUACGUACGUGUACAUGCUACGUGCGCGCCUCUACUACGACACAUGCGCGCCUCUACAUCGACCAGUAUAUAUGUACGUACACGUUCGCAACCGGAAUGACAACGCUACGUACGCUUCGACCAGGUAGGUCCCGACUGCCAGGCACUUCCUUGCGUGCGAAGAUGUAGCUGGUGGGUCCCAGGAGUCAAGGCACUACUAGGGAAAAGCCUAUACACAGAAUCUUACCAGCAGCGCGCUUUAAAAUCAGGCGCUGCUACUAAGUAGCAGUAGCGCGGGUUUUUAACCCUCGCUACUACUAAGUUGAUAGCAGUAACGCUGGUUUUUUACCCUCGCUACUACUAAGCGGUCUCUACCGUGCCCCCGGGACAUGCCAUAGUAGUAGCGUGGGUUUUUAACCCUCGCUACUACUAAGUUGAUAGCAGUAGCGUUGAUUUUUACCCCUCGCUACUACUAAGCGGUCUCUAACGUGCCCCUGGGCCAUGCCAUAGUAGUAGCGAGGGUUAUAAACCCGCGCUACUACUAAGUUUUUACCCCUCGCUACUACUAAGAGGUCUCAACCGUGCCCCUCCGGGNNNNNNNNNNNNNNNNNNNNNNNNNNNNNNNNNNNNNNNNNNNNNNNNNNNNNNNNNNNNNNNNNNNNNNNNNNNNNNNNNNNNNNNNNNNNNNNNNNNNNNNNNNNNNNNNNNNNNNNNNNNNNNNNNNNNNNNNNNNNNNNNNNNNNNNNNNNNNNNNNNNNNNNNNNNNNNNNNNNNNNNNNNNNNNNNNNNNNNNNNNNNNNNNNNNNNNNNNNNNNNNNNNNNNNNNNNNNNNNNNNNNNNNNNNNNNNNNNNNNNNNNNNNNNNNNNNNNNNNNNNNNNNNNNNNNNNNNNNNNNNNNNNNNNNNNNNNNNNNNNNNNNNNNNNNNNNNNNNNNNNNNNNNNNNNNNNNNNNNNNNNNNNNNNNNNNNNNNNNNNNNNNNNNNNNNNNNNNNNNNNNNNNNNNNNNNNNNNNNNNNNNNNNNNNNNNNNNNNNNNNNNNNNAAUGAUAAAAACUUCAAAAAUUAAAAUCCUUCGAGAUGUAGUUAUGUUACUAUAUCUACUAGUUAGGAAAAUUUAAAAACUUAAAUUUGGACAUGUUUUGCAAAAAGUGUAGGAAAAAAGUUAAACGGCUAUAACUUUUGCAUACGAUGUUAGAAAAAACGUAUAAUAUAUCAAAAUGUUUCAAAAAUUAAAAUCCUUCGAGAUGUAGUUAUGUUACUACAUCUACUAGUUAGGAAAAUUUAAAAACUUAAAUUUGGACAUGUUUUGCAAAAAGUGUAGGGAAAAUGUAAAACGGCUAUAACUUUUGCAUGCGAUGUCAGAAAAAAACGUAUAAUAUAUCAAAAUGUUCAGCACGAAAAUCCGCAUACGAUGGAGACAGCUACGGCCUGUUUGCAAAUUUUUAGAAUCCUCAAAUUCUAAAAGGAAAAAAAGUGAUGCUCAAAUUUCAGUUUUUUUUAAUUUUGGUCAAAUCUGGUCAAACUGUGGCCAAACUACUUAUUCAAGAAGUAUUAGUGUUACUAAAUAAUUAUUUCAGUUUUUGGAAUUUUGGUCAAAUCUGGUCAAACUGUGGUCAACCUUUGGUCAAAAUGUGGUCAAACUCCUUAUUCAAGAAAUAUUAGUGUUACUAAAUAAUUAUUAUUUUUUAGAACAACAGUUUUAAACUCAAACAGCGAAAUGUGUGACUUCAUGCUCAAGCUAAACUCCCGAGGGUUAAUAGGAUUGACAUCUUACUAUUGUCAGAAAAACAACAAGUGCAGACCUGGAAUCGAGGGAGAAUAGAACCCGGAAGUUAAGCGUGCUCAGGCUGGAGUAGUGAGAGGAUGGGUGACCGUCCAGGAAGUUAGAUGAUUUGGAAUGAUGAGGGGUGAUUAGAGAUUAAAUUGAGCAGCGAUGAGGGUGAUUAGAGAUUAGAGGUUAAAAUAAUUCAGAAAUUUGAAAAUUCGCGCAAAAAAUUCGAUCCGCGGGUUAGUAGUAGCGCGGGUUUUUAACCACACUACUACUAAUGGACGUAGUAGUAGCGCGGGUGGCACCCGCGCUGCUGCUAUACGUUAGCUAUAGCGCCUUAUUAGUAGCGCCGGCCCCCGCGCUGCUAAUAGUCCCAAAACCCGCGCUGCUGCUAGGCUUUUCCCUAGUAGUGAGGGGGCGAAUCGUUUUCUUUCGUUUUGCCCGAACGCACUUCCUUGCGUCCGAAGGUGUAGCUGGUGGGUCCCAGCAGUCAGGGGGGAAACGUUUUUUUCAUGAAAUACGGUGGCCUGUCUGGUGGUCCCCGCUGUCCGGUGGAGGAAUAAUUAUUUUGCACAUAAUAAGGAGGCACUUCCUUGCUGCGGCCGUGGACCCAGGUGUCAGCCUCUCCACGUACAGUCCACGUCCGAUGGAAGUCGUUCCUUGACCACGUUGACCACGCCGCGCCGAGAGCACCAGGGCAGUCGACGACGGCGAGGCCUAGGAAGGGGACGACGGGGAGCCAGGGAAGACGCGGCAGAGGAAGCUUGUGCGGAGAGGAGUACGAGGGUUCACUGGUUCGGCUACGGUGUGAGGCUGCCGUCGCCGCAGGGCCUGGCCAGCGGUGGGAAGAGUAGGGGGCGGUGAGGCCUCCGCGGCAGCACAGCCGGCCAUGGGAGGCAGGAGCAUGUGGCACGACCGGCGCGGCUUUGGGCGGCUGGAGCAAGAAGACCAGAGGUUGAAGAAGCACUACGGCUGUUGGAUGGACAUCGUACGGUGCGGCUUGAGCCAUGUAGAGCGAUUGCGAUGGAGCCAGGGUUUUUGGUUGGGUGCGGCCGUUCGACCCGGAAAUAGACUUUAUAUAUAUAUAUAUAUAUAUAUAUAUAUAUAUAUAUAUAUAUAUAUAUAUAUAUAUAUAUAUAUAUAUAUAUAUAUAUAUAUAUAGCGUGUCAAUUAUAUAAAUGUAGAGAUACAUGAACAGACUGGUGCUUUAUGCUUUGGCUGUCAGUCACGGUUAGUAUAUGUGCAAGAAAAUAUUCCAAGUGUUUGAGGGAACUAACCAAAUGAACCACGAAAUCAGUGGCCCGCAAGAACCGAUAAUAAUUCUGUCGACUAAAACUGCUUUCUAGACAAGUCAGUGUAUGAUUACACUUAUUUAUAUUUUGUACAAUCAAGCUUUACAUUCACGGAUUUGUUUCUAAACGCCUGGGUCAUUAAUUUAGUUUGUUGUCAAAUCAAUUACCUCCCACGGAUUUGUUUCCACAGCCGGUCAAAAUAUACAGAAUAUCAUAGUUUUGCAACUGGGCAUAAUCUGAUAUAUAUAUGCAAGGAGGAUCUGUUACAUUUUUCAGGAAGUAGGUAGUCCGUCACUGUCUAGAAUGUGGUUCUUAAAGUUGUAUUCUUCUUUUUGGAUGGCCCUAAGAGCAAUUUCAAUGAGGCGACCCAUUUCGUCCGCCGUCUUUCGUUUGGAUCGGCACGGACACAAAAGCUGACCCAAUGCACCGACCUAAAUGGAUGCGCGUCCGAUUUUGUUCGUCUGCUGACCCAUUCCCGGCCCAUUUUUGAGCCGAAUUUGCAUCGGCGCAGACACAAGGCGGACGCACGCGCGCUCGCCCUCUCUCCUUCCCGGGCCCAUUGGUCGGUGGCACAUUGGCCUCUCCACAUCCAACAGCACACCGUCACCGCCUGCUUCGUCACCAACGCCGCCAGCCAUUUUUUCCGAUAGAACAAGAAUACAUAGAUAGUUCUAGCGUACACAGGUAAAAGAAAAGACUAACUACUCGUCGUCGCUUUCCGACUCUGACUCGGUAAUGUCCUCCUCCGACGUAUGAAUGUAGGCGUCAGCAUACAGCUCGUCCUUGAAGUACCACCCCGAUGUUUCGGGUAGCUUCAGUUUCAAUUAAGCGGCUUGCUUCCGCGCACGCUUGUCCUCCCGAUAGGCGGCUCGCUCCGUCCUCCUCGCCUCCCUCUCCGUCCUCCUUUGCUUGUAGAACUGGCGCUCGUCGACGAUGUCCUGCGGGAAGCGGUCGCGCCACACCACCAUGGCUUCCACGUCCAUCUCGGCGAUGGCGAGGCGACACUGCUGCCUCCGGUGGACAUAACGAUCCUUAUCGGUGAAAAGCCGCAGGAGAGACGCUAGAUCCUGCGCCCGCUGGCUCGACACGUCAGGAAAAUUCAUCUCCCCACGAGGCCUCAGGAGGCGCUAGGCCGCCACGUCGUGCGCGCGGGCCGCCUCCUCUGCGGUGUCGAAGGUGCCGAAGAUAAGGCGUUUAUCGCCAAAACAGAUCUCGGAGGAGAAGGCAUCGGAGCGGCGCUCACGGACUCCGCGAAAAUCUGAUGCGCCCAGGCGGCGAAUAAACAUCGUGGCGCAGAGGCGGCGAGGCUAGUGAGGCGACGAGUGGGCGACGGACAAAGUGUGGAGGGAGCGCCUUCUUAUAACGAGUGCCGGCCGCGGCACGCGCGAACCUUUCCCGCGCGCUGGAGCGCCAAAACCAGCGCGCGCUAGCCCGAUUUUCGUCCGCGCGCGCGAACCUUUCCCGCGCGCUGGAGCGCCAAAACCAGGACGACGACAUGGCCGCUGGCAUGAUCUACAGCGCGUGCAUUCAUGGAAUGGGCCGGCGCAUUGGGUGCACUACCGACUCAAAUGAAAAAUUAGACGGACAACUGGUGGGCGGCCGAUCCAAACGGACAAAAAACGGACAGAAGCGUCAUUCAUUUGGGUCGAUCCGUUGGAGUUGCUCUAAGUGUUCUUUUCUUCGUUGGACUAAGUCCUGGCGGUAAGUGCUUUCUGACAACAGCGACGAUGAACUAUGACGACAAUGAUGAACGAAGCAGACUAGUGUGAUCCUGGCAAAAUACCUUGUACACCGAGUGGCACAGCGGUACAAAGCUAACUUCCGAUCCCUAAUCGAUCGUUUGCUGGACGUGAACUAGUACUGUUAUGCACUAGUACUUCUAGCCGGACAGGGACACGCAACAAUAGUCAUAGUUGUUGAAAUUUGCCUGUCUUUCUUCAUCUGUUCAGACUUUUGAAUGAGUUAGAUGGUGUAUGAAUUCAAUACGGCAUCCGAUUUAAGAGGUUUAAAGUUCAAAACCGUGCCUAUGCAGUAAUUAAAAAAGAAAUUUUCUACCUACAUAAAUCCCACGUCGGAAGACUAAAUAAGUCUAGACGUGGUGGGUGGGGGGGAGGGGGGGUUAAAUAUAUUGGCAGUCUUUCUCCAUCAGUCAGACUUUUGGAUGAGUUGGUUGGUGUACUAGACUGAAUUUAAAGUCUUCUGCUUUCCUUAUCUUCUUCGUUGCACCAUCAGUAACUGUGUCUCUGAUGGGUCAGCAUCUAGGGCGGUGUCUGUGUCCCCUUAUGAUGACUUCCUUGUCUCUCCUCUAUUUUUUGCGGGUAUUGUUCAUUGCUUCGACUCACGGUACAAACUUUACAGCAGUGCUUACAUGUAUAUAUAGCUGCUAGUCUCUAGGAAAUACUCCCUCCAUUCCCAAAACUUGUCUUUCUAGGCAUUUUCAAAUGGACACAACGUACGGAUGCAUGUAGACAUAUUUUAUAUUAUAGAUUCACUCAUUUUGCUUCGUAUGUAGUUAUUUGUUGAAAUCUUUAGAAAGACAAAUAUUUGGGAACGAAGGGAAUAUCAAACUAAAUUGGUCCCUGCAAAAAAAAAAAUCAUACUAAAUCAGUGACUAGUACUAAUCCUACUCGGCUACAUGUAAGUUGUGUUUAACUGCAGCAUCACCCUCUAAGCACGACGUGGUCACUUCACAGCUUGAACGACAAUUCUACUUCACGUCUUCAAGAACUACUCACAAUACAAAAGCAUUGCUUAGGAUGUCCGAUAGAUGAUUAUCGGUGCAAAUAUAGUAGACAUUAAUCUUACCGUCUUCCGUGCAUUCCGUUAUGCAGUGAUCAUUUGUGGAGUACCUGUCCACCGGCGGCCGGGGUCCGUGGAAACUUGCCGUCGGGCACUCAGCGCGACAGAUCUGCCACCAUGGACCUCUCGGCCACAAACUGGUCAAGUUCCACAACAGGGACAGCCGACAAGACCACUUCCUUGUGAGAGCGUUCGCCGCCCCUGGCUUUUUCUUUCUGUCGCCGGCACCGAUGGUCCUUUCAUUCUGUGCUCCGCUGCGGCAGUGGACUAGUGUAUCAACGAAGGAAGGAAUAUGGUUACUACCCAUGUGUGGCUGCUGUACUGUUGUGAAGAAUCUACAAAAAUAGUUCACUACAGUUAGUCUUUUGUGCCGAUCGCUGCGCUUGGUCUUUUUAAUUAGUUCACAUAACUUUCAUUUUAUGUAUCAAAUAGUUAACUUUUGGGCUGCAGUUAUUCUCUACACCAAUGGUGUAACGGGUCAUCUAAUAUAUGAGUUAAGGAAGGGUUAUGGCUACUACCCACGCAAGGGGGCCCGAACUGUAGUAAACUUGUGCCCCGUGUUCUUUCAAUGGCAUGUGGUGACUCUCCACUACCGAAUAAAUCACAUGCGACUAUUGUACUAUUGUGAAGAAUCUACAAAAAUAUCCUCAACAACAUUCUCCCGUGUCGUCGCGGCCACGCCCACUUUCUCUUGGGUAGACAUAUUUGUGAUGGUUGGUCGAUGUUAUCAUAUUUUUGGGAACAUUUUCAUCUCUUGAGCUCUAGCACACUUAUACACCUAACUAAUGUGCCCUAUUGCAGAUCACCCAAAGGCCGAAAGAUACGCAAUUAUGCACGCAUGAUUGAAAGAGUGACUAAGCUUAUGGCAAUUGGUCACAUACGAUCUGCUGAGAUACAUCCCACAAAUCAAGCAUGAAAAAGAAAAAGAAAAGGUUGUAAAUCAUCGAUAUUUUUCCUUCUUUUAUCUCCCUACCAUUGUUCUAUUCUUAAAGGCCCUGAUGGGAUUGCGAGUAGUAUCUCUGAUGGGACCUUGUUUCUUUGUUCCCGGUACUAAUGUUAAUAGUUUAUUGAUAUUUAUACAUAAAGCAGAAGAACCUAGCUAGCUAGCUUACUACUUUAGCCUUUCUUUAUGUAUCUUAGUCUAAUCAUGGAACUUGUGCCUCAAUUCUAUAUUUAGAGACAUAUUAGCAAAGAGAUGCUCUACGCUUUGGAUGUCACUCACGGUUAGUAUAUGUUCAACGAAAUAUUUAUAUGUUAUUUCCCAGUAUUGAUCAAAAUAAACACAUGGACCAAGAAAACAGUGGCCUGCAGAAAACGGUAUAACUGCUUUCUAGAAAACUGAGUAUUUGGUUACUUGCUAUAUUUUUUGUACAUCAAACAUUUUUACUUGCUUUAGUUAGUUGUCAACAAAUUACAUAGCACGGAUUUGUUUUCACAACCUCUUAAAAUACAUAGAACAUCUUAGUUCGGCAAUCCUGCCUAAUCGGGUAAAUAAGCAGGAAAAUAUCUAUUACGUUUUCCGUACAGGAGCCAGUCCAUCCCUGUCUAGAAUGUGAUUCUGAAAGUUGUAUUCUUUGUUGGAAGCCUGUGAGAGUUUUUCCUUAGCUCUAAAAGGUUAGCCCAAUNNNNNNNNNNNNNNNNNNNNNNNNNNNNNNNNNNNNNNNNNNNNNNNNNNNNNNNNNNNNNNNNNNNNNNNNNNNNNNNNNNNNNNNNNNNNNNNNNNNNNNNNNNNNNNNNNNNNNNNNNNNNNNNNNNNNNNNNNNNNNNNNNNNNNNNNNNNNNNNNNNNNNNNNNNNNNNNNNNNNNNNNNNNNNNNNNNNNNNNNNNNNNNNNNNNNNUCAGAUUUUUAUUAUUUAGACAUCAUGAUGGUAUAGGAUGAUAAAGAGAAAUAAAGUGGACGUGAAAUUUCUUUGUAUGAUAUUGGCGUGAAUUUAGUGCAUAUUAUAUAGCAAUUCAACAACGGUGAUUUUGACCAUUGGAUCUUCAUCUAAUUAACGGAUGUAUUCAUGUUUUCUUUUAAUAGAUUUUGAGCUGCCAAUUAAACUGCAGAAAUCAUGCAUCAACCAUCCCAUCGAUGUUAGAACUAUUAGUUAUCUUAUUAUCAGGAUUCGGCCAAUAUGUUUGUCACACACACAUAAGCGACAAGGGUAUGUAUCAAGCUUUGUUGGUUUAUCACGUACGCCACAAGCGUGCCACUAGGAACAAGUGCACAUGUUCUUUUAUAGGAUUUACAGACCAACGCGUGUUUAAUCGUGUAAUGCAUAUAUAGGGUUAGGGUUCGAGACGAGGUGUUUGUGAAGACAUUCACUCGUUCCUGGGAUUUGGAAUGUCGAGAAAACCGACAGCCCCUUGUGCUUCCAGAUGGUGCAGGGAAUAAAACUGGAGCAGCAGAGGCAGAUUUAAAUGUAUUUAUUUCCAUCAUCCAUGGUUCUACAUGUAAAUAUCAAUUUUUCCCACAGAAAAGUGUAAAUGUAUACAUAUGAAUUGAUUUCCAUGGCGAAUGUACAUGUACCAAAAUUCUAGCUAGCUUCCCCUAGAAAAACAUUUUAGCAAGGUAGUCAGAAGCUUCCUUAAGAAAGAACAGAAAAGAAAAGAAAAGAAAAGAAAUGGUACGUGAUUCGUGCCCUUUGUUUGUUGAAGGAAGUAGUUUAUAGUAGUAUAACAGUGCAUGCAUGGCUACCGCUUGGUCCGUCCAUGCGUACGUAGUUUUCCUAUAUAUAGAGAGAGAUUAGAGAGCGGAGGACCAACACAAGUCAUAAGCGGCCAUCGAUCUAUCCCAGGCCACACGUAGUAGCACAACAAUCAUGACGAUUUCCGCUAUGCCGCUGCUAUUGCUUCUUCUUGUCAGCUUGUCUGUAGGUUCUUGUGUGGGUGACCAUCAUCAGCUCCUCAACUUCAUGACAGUGAAAACAAGCUCCCUAAAGCAUAUCGCAGAAGGCGCCGUCUGCUCCGGACACAAGGGUGAGUAUCUAAGGGUACUGCAUGCAUGCAUAUGCAUACGUUAUUUAGUACAUACUCGCUCCGUUCGGAAUUACUUGUCGCAGAAAUAGAUGUAUUCGAAAUAUGUCUAGAUACAUCCAUUCCUGCGAUAAGUAAUUCCCGAUACAUCCAUUCCUGCGACAAGUAAUUCCGAACGGAGGAAGUACGUCAUAUAGUAGCUAGCUUAAUAUUGAGCUCAUUGAUGGAUAUGCAUGCGUGUUAACCUGUCGCCUUCGUCUGUCGACAAACAGUGACAAUGCCGUCCGGCGACGGUGUCAGGUGGGUACCGAUGAACCGCCCGCACGGCCCAUGCUCGUCGGCGGCGGCGACUACGGUCGUCGACGGCAUGCUCCUGUGGGACCAGCUACGCACCAGCUCAAUCCGGAGGAAGCUCUCCGGCGGCAGGGCCGGCGAUGGCCUGCCGGUCAUCCACUCCCGUGAAGCCAAAACUAGCAACAUCGACAGCAGUAUGACUGCGAAAAGCACGCUGGGGGGCAGCGGCGGGACAAGCUCCACGACAAUGGAAAGGACCAGCGAACACUUGUACUCCAAGGUGAGCCAAACGGUGGUGGUGGACACGAGCAGCGACAUUCCGUGGGUGCAGUGCCUCCCGUGCCCCGCCCCGCAGUGUCACCUCCAGAAGGACCAACUCUACGACCCCGCCAACUCCAGCACGUACGCACCUAUCCCCUGCGGCUCCCCUGCCUGCACGGAGCUCGGUAGCAGCCACAGCAGUGGCUGCUCCGCCGGCUCCGACCAAUGCAAGUACAUCCUCGACUACGGCGACGGCAGGGCCACCGCCGGGACAUACGUCACCGACACGCUGACCUUGUCGCCCACCAUCGCGGUCAAGGGCUUCCGGUUCGGGUGCAGCCACGCCGUGAGGGGCACCUUCAGUGACCAGACCGCCGGCGUCCUGGCCCUCGGCGGUGGCGCUGGGUCCCUCCUUGCGCAGACCGCGGAGACCUUCGGCAACGCCUUCUCCUACUGCGUCCCGCACCCGAGCUCCGAUGGAUUCCUCUCGCUGGGCGGGCCGGUGGGGAACUCGUCGCAGUUCACGAGCACGCCUCUGAUCAAGAACCAACACGCUCCGACGUUCUACAUCGUCCGCCUGGAGGCAAUCACCGUGGCCGGGAGGCGGCUCGACGUGCCGCCGGCUACGUUCGCCGGUGGUGCGGUGAUGGACUCAGGGGCGGUCGUCACGCAGCUGCCACCGUCGGCAUACGCAGCGCUGCGGGCAGCGUUCAGGAGCGCCAUGACGGCGUAUGGCCCGCUUGCGGAUCCCGUACGCAACCUUGACACGUGCUAUGACUUGACCCGCUUCCCCGAGGUCAAUGUCCCCAAGGUGUCCCUAGUGUUCGCAGGCGGUGCCACCUUGGAGCUCGAGCCGGCGUCCAUCAUGCUGGACGGCUGCCUGGCUUUCACGGCCUCCCCUGGCGGCCACGGCUCCAUCGGAUUCAUCGGCAACGUGCAGCAGCAGACCUACGAGGUUUUGUACGACGUCGGCAGCGGGAGCGUGGGAUUCCGCAGUGGCGCGUGCUGAUGUGGCAAGCUGCAGGCCAACCACGGCCACUUGUACGUGUGAUGCAUGAUUGGCCCCCUAAUAUAUAUCUGGGUCUACAAGCUAGCUUGCUCAUUGGGAUGGAGCUAGUUUGUGAGUAUAAAUAAAUGCAAGAAAGAAGAUUGAUGUAAUACUUAUAUAUGCAUGUAAUUUUAUAUAGUUUUAUAUAUGCAUGUAAUUUUGUUCAACGGUUGUAUGAUUGUAAACCUUAUAAUAUAACCUUACAGAUUGUCAAGGAAUUCAACCGAUAUAAUUACUCUACUUAUUGAUGUGCAAUAAUGUAAUAUGACUAUUAAGAAGCAUUCUGAUUGUGGAGGUGGUUUCGCACUUUUUACUACAACAAAGGUGUUUGAAGGAUUCCUCGGCAGAAACUAGAACGCACUCCUUCAAUAAUUGACGAGCUAAUUGGUUGUUGAACUUCAGACAAAGAUUGUUGGGCAUGAAAGCGGUCACCAGCGGGUUGAUUGGCCUCACCAGCUCAUACGUGUUCAUGAGGCGUGGUUUUUUUCUUUUCUUGAUUAAUAGUAUUUGUUUCUGGAUGCUUGCAUUGUUAGAUUUGGAAGCGUUCCUACUCCUCGAUGAGGAGCCGGGUUGGUUUAUAUUGAACGAGGCAGAACAGCCCUGCCGUGGCUUACAAGAAGAGGAAACUGAUCGCAAGGAUUGGGUUGUAAGGAGGACUCCUAAACAGCUACGCGAGGGAGAGAGAUAGAAUAGAGUUGAGAUUACAAUGCGGAGAUAAACAUGAAUUCUAACACCCUCCCUUAAUCUCAACUAUUCUAUGUUUAGAUUCCUCUUGAACUCAUCAAAUGGUUUUGCUGGUAGUGCCUUGGUGAACCCAUCAGCCACUUGAUCUUUGGAAGGGAUGAACCGUAUCUCAAGUUUCUUUGCUGCAACCCUUUCAGGCACAAAGUGAAAAUCAAUCUCUAUAUGCUUGGUUCUUGCAUGAAACACUGGGUUUGCAGACAAGUAUGUUGGUCCCAAAUUAUCACACCAUAAACAUGAGAUGCGAUUCUGCUUGACCCCCAUUUCAUCCAGUAGUGAUUCAAUCCAAAUGAUUUCUGCAGUGGCAUUAGCUAAGGAUUUAUACUCAGCCUCUGUAUUUGAACUUGAUACAGUGGCUUGUUUCCUACCACUUUAAGAAACAAGAUUAGGCCCAAAGAACACUGCAAAGCCUCCGGUUGAUUUUCUAUCAUCACUGCAACCUGCCCAAUCAGCAUCAGAGAAUGCACUCACAAGAGUAGAAUUAGAGCGUCUAAAAUGCAGUCCUACUCCCAUAGUAUGUUUGACAUAUCUUACAGUUCUCUUAAUAGCUGUCCAAUGUGCAGUAGUGGAUGCAUGCAGAUAUUGACAAACUUUGUUAACAGCAAAUGAGAUAUCUGGGCGAGUAAGAGUCAAGUACUGUAAUGCUCCAACAGUACUUCUAUACUUUGUGCUAUCUUCCUCAUAAAGUGGCUCACCUUCAUAUGCUGAAAGUUUCUCCGAGGAGGACAAUGUGUAGGUACAGGUUUGCAGUUUUUCAUCCCCAUACGAGAUAGAAGCUUGGUAACAUAUUUCUCUUGUUUUAGUACCAUGCCAUCUUGAGUCAUCUUAACUUCAAUGCCUAGAAAGAAGUGCAAAUGUAACAUCCCAAAAUUCUAAAUUUUGGAAUGUUAUAUUAAAUAAUUAAUUAUGAUUGUUUGUUUGUUGUGUGAUUGAUUGUGUGAAAAUGAUUGGAAAUUGAAAACUUUUUGAAAGUUGAAUGAGAGGGAAUAAAAGGACUUUCUCGAAACUUUUCAUCUUGCAUUUUGAUCUUCCUGAAUUCAAAUUCAUUUCAUCACAAAACCCUAGAGUGAAGAUAUUAUGACUUCUUCCAUUUAAAGAAAUUAAAAAAGGGGUUUGAAAAUGAUUUGAAUUCCAUUUGAAACAUUUCGAAUUUAGAAACUUUAAGAGCAUCUCCAGCCGUUCGCCCCCCAGGACGCAUAAAAAUCGCCCCCAGGGGGCGAGCCGGCGAUAUAAUCGGCGCUGGGAGCGGUUUCGCGCCCAGUCGUCGCCCCCAGGCGUCGAUAUUGGCCCACUUAUCCCAUUUCGGCGAAUAAAGGGCCCAUAUGGGCGACAAUAGGCCCAUAUUCCGCGUGGUUUGCCGUUGUUCGGCGUUCAGUUGUCACACCCUAGCUAGUCAUGCAUUAGAGUGUUGCAUCAUGUUUACUCUUUCAUCAGAAACUUGAAAUGGGGAUGACAGAACCCCCAGUCCCCUCUGAAACCAACUAGGGUUACUAAAAUAAUUUUUCAAUGAACCUGAAAUGCCCUUCUAAAAUGCCCAUCAUUUUUGCCUUGGUUCAGAACCUUUGCCAAAAGUGGUGCACAUUUUCCUAGGCCAUCCUAGGGUUUUUGAAUUAAGUCAUAAGUAUUUGAAUUUGGGCAUUUAAAAUUAUAUAAAAUAUUUAAAUGCUCAAAUAUCUCCAAACUAAAAUGUUUCAUGUUGGAAAUAAUCCAACUAUGGACCAGGAGUAGUUUGGUGAUUUUUGGAGUUGCCUAGGUAUUUUAUUUAAUUCAACAAAGUUGCAGAUAUAUUAAAUAAAAACAGAAAACAGAAAAAUAAAUAAAAGGAGUAGACUUACCUGGACCUACCUGCCCAGCCCAGCCGGCCCAGCACUGUGCUGGCCCGUGCCAGCCAGCUGCUUCCCCUUGCCAGAGCAGGCAGGGAGGUGAGCAUGGCGCGCCCGAGCUCGCCACGCACCACCCAGCCUCUCUGCAUCGCCCUGGUCGCCGUUGCGCCGCGUGGAUCGUCUUCUGGUCGUCGCCCCGACCUCGCCGACACCCCAUUCAUUCUCCCCCGGCUCUCCCUCGCUCUCUCCCCCGCCCGACCGAACACCACCGUCGCCGCCGUUCGCCAUAGCCACCGUCUCCGACCACCCCUCGCUCCCCCGACCAGCUCAGAAGCUCCGCCACAACUCCCUCUUCCUCCCCACCGCUCCACAGCUCCCCGGAAGCCCUGCAUUGCCGCCACGUCGCCGUUCCCCUCUUCGGGCUCCGACCACCGCCGCCGUCGAAUUCGCCGUCUCCAGCGCGUCCCCGAGCCCGCUUCGACGCCCACUGCAACCGCGGUGAGCUACGCCACCGUUUCCCCCUCUCCUUCCCCUCGUUCCCUCACCGUAGCUUCCUCCCCACCACGGCCGAACCUCCGCCGUCGCCGAGCUCGCCGUCGACGCAGCUCCGGUGACCAUUUGGUCACCCCGGCGAGUCCAACGGGUUCACAGAACCCCGUAGAGCAUCCCUAGCGCCUCGCCUUGCUCGACUUCGAGCUCCAGCACCGUUCCCGGACUGCUCAACUCACCCAUCCUUCGGGAAAGAUAGUCAAUGUCUUGACCCGAAUAGCCAAGCGACAAUUAUACUCUCUUAACGCCAGCCCCUUGCCAGACCUUGAGGACGUGCCGGUAGUCUGUGACUUCCCGGAUGUCUUUCCAGAAGAAUUGCCAGGUGUUCCACCUGACAGGGAUGUUGAGUUCGUAAUAGACCUCAUCCCCGGAACCGUUCCGAUUGCUAGAAGACCUUAUAAGAUGGCACCCCUAGAACUAGCCGAGCUUAAGAAACAACUCGAUGAAUCCUUGAAAAAGGGUUUCAUCCGCCCUAGUUCAUCUCCGUGGGCUUGCCCCGUCCUAUUCGUCAAGAAGAAGGAUGGUACGGACCGAAUGGUUGUAGAUUACCGACCUGUCAACUUGGUCACAAUCAAGAACAAAUACCCGCUUCCCAGGAUCAACGAUCUGUAUGAUCAGCUCGCUGGAUCCUCAGUCUUCUCCAAGAUGGAUUUGAGGUUGGGAUACCAUCAAAUCAAAAUCAGAAACGGGGACAUUCCUAAAACGGCCUUUGUUACUCGUUAUGGCCAAUACGAGUACACCGUCAUGUCCUUCGGUUUAACCAACGCUCCAGCCACCUUUUCUCGGUUAAUGAACUCAAUCUUCAUGGAGUAUUUGGACAAAUUCGUCAUAGUUUAUCUCGAUGAUAUACUCAUCUACUCCAAGAACGAGGAAGAACAUGCCGAACAUUUAAGGCUAGUGUUGAAGAAACUUCGAGAGCAUCGCCUUUAUGCCAAAUUUUCUAAAUGUGAAUUCUGGUUAUCAGAAGUGACCUAUCUGGGUCAUGUAAUAUCUGGUAAAGGUAUUGCUGUUAACCCUGAGCGAGUUCAAGCCGUCCUUGAUUGGACUCCACCCGAAUCGGUCAAGCAAGUUCGGAGUUUUCUAGGCUUAGCGAGCUAUUGUCGUCGCUUUGUCGAGAACUUCUCCAAAGUUGCUAAACCUCUAACCGAACUCCUCAAGAAAGAUAAGAAGUUCGAAUGGACUCCACAAUGUGAGCACAGCUUUCAGGAACUGAAAAGACGCCUGACUUCUGCUCCCGUGCUGGUACCGCCAGACUUCUCCAAGGACUUCGUUAUCUACUGCGACACCUCGCGACAAGGACUAGGUUGCAUUCUCAUGCAAGAUCGACACGUAAUUGCUUACGCUUCACGGCAAUUGCACCCACAUGAGGAGAAUUAUCCUACUCAUGAUCUAGAGCUUGCAGCCGUAGUCUAUGCACUUAAGACCUGGCGACAUUACCUCCUCGGUAAUCGUUGCGAAAUAUUCACUGAUCACCAAAGUCUGAAGUAUAUUUUCACCCAACCGGAUUUGAAUCUCAGGCAGAGAUGUUGGGUUGAAUUGAUCACAGACUUCGACUUAGGAAUAACCUACACCCCAGGGAAAGCCAACGUCAUGGCUGAUGCGCUAAGUCGUAAAUCUUAUUGUAACAACCUGAUGUUACAACAAAGUCAACCGCUUCUCCAUGAGGAAUUUCGGAAGCUUAACCUUCACAUUGUACCUCAAGGUUUUCUUUCCACCUUGGUGGCAAAACCUACCCUUACGGAUCAAAUUAUCAAAGCACAGAAGGUAGAUCCGGGAAUCUCCCGCAUCAAGAGAAACAUUCAGAAAGGAAUUGCGAAUUGCUUCUCCAUUAAUGAUCAAGGGGUCGUAUACUUCGGGGAUCGACUAGUGGUUCCCAAAGUGCGAAACCUGAGGCGAUUGAUCCUUAAGGAAGCUCAUGAAUCUCCUCUCACCAUUCAUCCCGGUAGUACUAAGAUGUAUCAGGACCUACGCCAGAGGUUCUGGUGGACUAGGAUGAAGAGAGAAAUUGCUCAGUAUAUUGCUAAUUGCGACGUCUGUCAUCGUGUAAAAGCAGAGCAUCAACGGCCUGCUGGCACCCUUCAACCCUUAGCUAUUCCUGAAUGGAAAUGGGAUAAAAUUGGUAUGGAUUUCAUUACCGGGUUUCCCAGGACCAAGAGAGGGAAUAAUGCUAUUUUCGUCGUGGUCGAUCGUCUCUCCGAAGUAGCUCAUUUCUUACCUGUUCGUGAGAGUAUAACCGCUAGUCAGCUGGCAGAUUUGUACAUCUCCCGAAUAGUGUCUCUACAUGGUGUUCCUUUGGAAAUUAACUCGGAUCGAGGAAGUCUUUUCACCUCUCGAUUUUGGGAAAGUUUCCAAAAUGCUAUGGGAACUCGUCUCUUCUUUAGCACCGCUUUCCACCCUCAGUCGAGUGGUCAAGUGGAACGCGUCAACCAAAUUCUAGAAGACAUGCUUCGAGCCUCUGUUAUCUCUUUCGGAAUGGACUGGGAGAAGUGCCUUCCAUUUGCCGAAUUCGCUUACAACAACAGCUAUCAAUCUAGCUUGGGUAAAGCCCCUUUUGAAGUUCUCUAUGGACGACGAUGUCGAACACCCCUUAACUGAUCAGAGACCGGGGAAAGACAAUUCUUUGGCCCGGAUAUGAUUCAGGAAGCAGAAGAACAAGUUCGUAUCGUUCGUGAAAAGUUGAAAACAGCCCAAUCUCGUCAAAAGAGUCAAUAUGACCGAAAACAUAAGGCUAUGACUUUCGAGGUUGACGAGAAGGCUUAUCUUCGGGUCACCCCUCUGAAGGGAACCCAUCGUUUCGGUAUCAAAGGCAAAUUGGCUCCUCGUUACAUUGGACCUUUUCGCAUUCUUGCCAAACGAGGAGAAGUUGCCUACCAGUUGGAACUACCUCCGCACCUCUCCAGAGUUCACGAUGUCUUCCACGUUUCUCAACUCAGGCGUUGCUUCUCGGAUCCUAUCCGUGAAGUGGACCACGAAACGCUUGAUCUCCAAGAUGAUCUUACAUAUCGAGAGUACCCCAUUCGUAUCCUCGAUCAAGCCGAACGUACCACGCGACGUCAUAAUAUCAAGUUUCUCAAGGUUCAAUGGUUGCACCAUUCUGAGGAUGAAGCAACUUGGGAAAGGGAGGAUCGUCUUCGACUCGAGUAUCCCGCCUUCUUCUCGGAGAAACCCAAAUCUCGGGACGAGAUUCUUUUGAGUGGGGGUGAGUUGUCACACCCUAGCUAGUCAUGCAUUAGAGUGUUGCAUCAUGUUUACUCUUUCAUCAGAAACUUGAAAUGGGGAUGACAGAACCCCCAGUCCCCUCUGAAACCAACUAGGGUUUACUAAAAUAAUUUUCAAUGAACCUGAAAUGCCCUUCUAAAAUGCCCAUCAUUUUUGCCUUGGUUCAGAACCUCUGUCAAAAGUGGUGCACAUUUUCCUAGGCCAUCCUAGGGUUUUUGAAUUAAGUCAUAAGUAUUUGAAUUUGGGCAUUUAAAAUUAUAUAAAAUAUUUAAAUGCUCAAAUAUCUCCAAACUAAAAUGUUUCAUGUUGGAAAUAAUCCAACUAUGGACCAGGAGUAGUUUGGUGAUUUUUGGAGUUGCCUAGGUAUUUUAUUUAAUUCAACAAAGUUGCAGAUAUAUUAAAUAAAAACAGAAAACAGAAAAAUAAAUAAAAGGAGUAGACUUACCUGGACCUACCUGCCCAGCCCAGCCGGCCCAGCACUGUGCUGGCCCGUGCCAGCCAGCUGCUUCCCCUUGCCAGAGCAGGCAGGGAGGUGAGCAUGGCGCGCCCGAGCUCGCCACGCACCACCCAGCCUCUCUGCAUCGCCCUGGUCGCCGUUGCGCCGCGUGGAUCAUCUUCUGGUCGUCGCCCCGACCUCGCCGACACCCCAUUCACUCUCCCCCGGCUCUCCCUCGCUCUCUCCCCCGCCCGACCGAACACCACCGUCGCCGCCGUUCGCCAUAGCCACCGUCUCCGACCACCCCUCGCUCCCCCGACCAGUUCAGAAGCUCCGCCACAACUCCCUCUUCCUCCCCACCGCUCCACAGCUCCCCGGAAGCCCUGCAUCGCCGCCACGUCGCCGUUCCCCUCUUCGGGCUCCGACCACCGCCCCCGUCGAAUUCGCCGUCUCCAGCGCGUCCCCGAGCCCGCUUCGACGCCCACUGCAACCGCGGUGAGCUACGCCACCGUUUCCCCCUCUCCUUCCCCUCGUUCCCUCACCGUAGCUUCCUCCCCACCACGGCCGAACCUCCGCCGUCGCCGAGCUCGCCGUCGACGCAGCUCCGGUGACCAUUUGGUCACCCCGGCGAGUCCAACGGGUUCACAGAACCCCGUAGAGCAUCCCUAGCGCCUCGCCUUGCUCGACUUCGAGCUCCAGCACCGUUCCCGUGCACGACCGAACCCCGGCGGCCGCAGCCGAGCUCGCCGCCGUCGACUCCGGCCACCCCGACCCCAACGGGCUCCGCCAAGAGCUGCGGGUUGUCCUCAGCUCCACUCAGGUGGCCUCCGCGAUCCAUUUGGUGGCCGAAACGACCAAAAUCACUUCCGCCGCCGCGUCGGGCUCGCCGGCGACUAAACGCCGGCAGCCGACACUGACUUUGACCACGGGUGGGCCCUGGUUGACUCCCCUGAGUCAAUGACAGGUGGGGCCCAGCCCUGUUAAUUAAACAGGAUUAGUUUUAAUUAAGUUUUAAUUAAAAUAAUCACCCUGACAUGCGGGACCCACUGUCAGGUUUGACCUGGACCAGUUCCGUUGACCUGCUGACGUCACACUGACGUCAGGCUGACGCAGUAAAUUAAUUUCUGGAUUUAAAUUAAAUCAGGAAAUUCCAGAAUAUUAUUUAAACUUCAAAAAUUCAUAACUUUUAUUCUGUAACUCCAAAUUGGACAAAUUAUAUAUGAAAAAUGAUCAGAAAAAUCCAAUCUAUCCAUCUGUACCAUUUUCAUGCAUGAUCAAACAAGUUAAGUUGAUGUUUUAAUCAGAACAAGAAAAGGCACUUUAAAAGGCCAUAUUUGAAUUUGAAAUCUGAAUCUUUGAUUCAAAUUUGUUCAAACCCUUCUGGUUUUUAGUUGCAUUAGCCCAACACACUCAUAUUGCCAUGUUUCAUGCAUGCAUCAUAUUGUUGCAUAUUGUUUGGUGAUGUUUGUGUAUCGAUGUCCUUUGCGACAGGAUCUGUCCCCGAGGAGUAUCGUGAUUACCCUAACGAAGAACCGUAUCCGUGCAACGAACCAUCAGGCAAGCAACCAACCAUUUGAUCAUAUCAAUACAAUCCCAUGUUCUCGCUCCUGCUCUCAUUUACUGCAUUAAGACAACGCGAUUCAAACUGCUGUGUGCUACGGUAGUUGAACCCAUUUCAUCUGCAUGACCUGUCAUUGCCACAGUAACUAGAUGAAACCCACUAGCAUGUGUAGGAGUUGAUUGAGCCAUAUGUAUGUGUUGUUCCUACCUUGCUAUGCCUGCUAUGCUUAGAGUCGUGUCAGGUCUGGUUCAUCUGGGUGAUGGGCUAGAGUGAAAUGAUUAUGUCGGUAAUGAGAGUGGUGUGGUGAACACGAUUUGGUAAAGGUAUCGAUGAGAGGCCAUGUAGGAGUACAUGGUGGGUUGUUUCAUUGAAGCCGACCUUAAGCACUGAGAUCUGUAUGUGUGAUUUAAGAUACAGCUACUACCAUGCAUUGGGCCCUGAAAUAUGACCCCGCUCGACUUCUUAUUCACCCUAGCUCUCUGUCUAGGAGUUGCAAGUAGUUUCUGGUGUUUGUAGCCUACUGGAGGCCGUGGACAGCGCUGACCGUAGGGGUGGGCUGUGAUGCGGUAGGUACGUGGCACGGUGUACCGAAUACCCGUUAGGUAUCUCGGGAACCCUGUUCACAUCGUUCGGGGCCGUAUGGGAAACCUCGGCCGGACUCCCUGCGGAUGGAACCUGAAUAGGCGAUAAACCUGGACUAGAGGCUUAAGUGUUUAGGUAGGUCGUGGUCUACACCCACGUCGGUUUUCGCUUGAAGUCUGCCGAGCACAUGUCGUGUGCAGACGCUAAGUGGUGGAAACAUGUAUGAAGAAGUACACCCCUGCAGGGUUAUCAUAAUCUAUUCGAAUAGCCGCGUCCGUGGUAAAGGACUACUUGGUUGCCUAUACAGUUCAUAGACAAGUAAAUGGAAACUACUAAAAGCCUCAAGAUAAGUGUGAGUGCCGAGGAUGGCUCUUCCGUAGGAAGACGGAGGUGAAUCCUCGGUAGUGUAUUGAAGUGGUGAGUAGUGGACUCGUGUGCGCAAAACUAUUUCAAGUUGGAGUAUCGUAGGUUAGCCUAGCCAAGAGUCAAAGCUGGCUUGCUGCAAUAACUCCACCAACCCUUCUUGAUACUAUGCAUGUAUGUAGGAUCUGAUGUAAGUCUUGCUGAGUACCUUUGUACUCAUGUUGCUAUAAUCUACAUUUUUUACAGAAGACGCUGCAACCCCUUCUGAUGGGUUCUAUGUAGACGUUGACAUCAACGAGUAGGCUAAAGACCCAGGUGGUGACCCUGAGCUUGUGAUGGACCACGUAGUAUAGCUAGGCUUUCCAAGCCUCUUUUAUUUUACUAGUUGUCUGUACCCAGACAAAGUACUUCCGCUGUUGGCUUGUAUGACUGUAUGAUUUGUAUGUUGGGUCGUGAGACCCGUACCUGUGUGUAUGAUAUGUAUGGCUCCCUGAGCCUUAAAUAAAGUACUUGUGUCAUAGAGUCAUGUUGUGAUGCUUCGUUGUAUUUGCACAUAUCGAGCAUAUUGUGUGUAUGAUUGAAAUGCUUGGUAUGUGUGGGAUCUGACUAUCUAGUUGUUUAUCUUUAGUAGCCUCUCUUACCGGGAAAUGUCUCCUAGUGUUACCGCUGAGCCAUGGUAGCUUGCUACUGCUCUGGAACACUUAGGCUGGCCGGCAUAUGUCCUUCUUCGUUCCUGUGUCUGUCCCUUCGGGGAAAUGUCACGCUUUGAGUACCGGAGUCCUGUUAGCCCGCUACAGCCCGGUUUACCGGAGUCCUGCUAGCCCAGUGCUACAGCCCGGACCCACUUGCUGAUGACCGACACGUUCGAAGCUGGGUCAUGGAUGCCUGUCCCUGUAAGUCUGUGCCACUUUGGGUUUACGACUAGUCAUGUCAGCCCGGGCUCUUUAUCAUAUGGAUGCUAGCGACACUAUCAUAUACGUGAGCCAAAAGGCGCAAACGGUCCCGGGAAAAGGUAAGACGACACCCGUGGGGAUACCGUGCGUGAGGCCGCAAAGUGAUAUGAGGUGUUACCAGCUAGAUCGAUGUGACAUCGAGUCGGGGUCCUGACAUCAAUUAUGCACAUAAAUUUUUUAUCACAUAUUUCAUCACAGAAAUAUCAAAUACUUCAACAAAAUAGUACAACAACAAAUAGUUCAAUACAAUUUAUAUAGUUGAAGAAAUAAAAACUCAUAUUCCAUCACACGUCGCGCCCGACGUCACCCUUGAGCCUCCAUAGAUGCUCUAUCAGAUCUUGCUGCACUUGAUGAUGCACCUGUGGGUCUCGGAUCUCCUGACGCAUACUGAGAUAGGCAGUCCAGGUUGCCGGUAGCUGGUGAUCAACUUCGGCUAGAUGACCCUGCCUAUAGUAUGGUUCAGUGUCAAACACUGGGUCUUCUUGCUCGUUCUCGAUGAUCAUGUUGUGCAAGAUGACACAGCAAGUCAUAAUCUCCCACAUUUGAUCUUUCGACCAGGUCUGAGCGGGGUACCGGACAACAGCAAAUCGAGAUUGGAGCAUACCAAAUGCCCUCUCGACAUCCUUCCUGUAAGCCUCCUGAACCUUCGCAAACCAGCCGUUCUUGCCUCCUGGCACAGGGUUUGAGAUCGUCUUCACAAAUGUCGACCAUCUCGGAUAGAUGCCAUCAGCUAGAUAGUACCCCUUGUUGUAGUGCCGCCCAUUGAUCUCGAAGUUCACCGGAGGAGAAUGACCUUCAACAAGCUUGGCAAAGACAGGAGAGCACUGCAGCACGUUGAUGUCAUUGUGAGUUCCUGGCAUACCAAAGAAGGAGUGACAAAUGCAGAGGUCCUGUGUGGCCACCGCCUCAAGUACCACACUGCAACCGUCUUUGGCGCCUUUGUACAUCCCCUGCCAAGCAAAUGGGCAAUUCUUCCAUUUCCAAUGCAUGCAGUCGACUCUUCCAAGCAUCCCAGGAAAUCCUCUUGCUGCAUUCUGUGCUAGGAUCCGAGAAGUGUCUUCCGCAUUGGGUGUUCUCAAGUAUUGCGGUCCAAACACGGCCACCAUUGUCCGAAAGAACUUGUAGAAACACUCUAUGCUGGUGGACUCGGCCAUGUGCCCAUAGUCGUCGAGUGAAUCACCGGGAGCUCCGUAUGCAAGCAUCCUCAUCGCUGUCGUGCACUUCUGAAUGGAGGUGAAUCCAAGGGCGCCGGUGCAAUCCAUCUUGCACUUGAAGUAGUUGUCGAACUCCCGGAUGGAAUUCACAAUCCUGAGGAAGAGCUUUCGGCUCAUCCGAUAACCGCGCCGAAAUGUUUUCUCGCCGUGAAGUGGAGCAUCGGCGAAGUAGUCGGAGUAGAGCAUGCAGUAGCCUUCGAGACGAUGCCGGUUCAUUGCUUUCACCCGCCCCGGCGCCGAGCCACCUCGCUGCGGCUUUUCAUUGCUCGCCAGCAGCUGGGCAAGGGCGGCGAGCAACAUGAGAUGCUCUUCUUCCUGGACAUCGGCCUCGGCUUCCUCCUCCAACAGCGCGGCGAGCGCUUCCUCAUCAUCCGAGUCCAUCGCCGAGGCAGGCAAAUCGCCGAACACCUUGCGCCCGGUGGGCGUGUACCCGCCGCUAAACUGCCCCUCUGCGGCCGGAAACACCCAGCUGCUGUUGGAGGGGCUGCCGCGGUGAAGCUCUGCUAUUUUUUCGGCGGGGAAUGGCUAUCUAGCGGUGAAGGGCGGCAGGCGGCGUCAGGAUAUAGCUAGUGGCGGCCGAGGGCGCGGGGGUGGGAGGCGAGUCGGGGAAGAAAACCUUAACUUUUCCCCUGCUGGUGUGGGCCAGCCGCGCUUUUCCCUUGCGCCGGGGCUCCCAAUUGCCCCUAGUGCGCCGGGUUUGGCCUGUGACCGCCGAGCGGAAAAAAGGGCCGAACCGGCAAUUUUCGGCGUCCUGGGGGCGCGAGUGGGGAAUUUUUUUGGCGCCGGCGGCGAAAAAGUGGCCUGGGGGGCCUGUUGGGGGCGCGGCCGGAGAUGCUCUAAGCAAUUCAAUGAGUUCAUGAGGGAAGAUAAAAUGACUUCUUCAAAUCAAAGGAAGAGAGUUGGAAGUUUCAAAGGAAUAAUUUGAAGACACUUUGAAGUUAUUUGAAACUCAUUUUUCCAUUUGAAGUUGUUUGAAAUUCCAAAUUUCAAAUCCUCUUGGGAGUUAUUUAGGUUUAAUUCAAAUUAUUUUUCUCCAAAAAAUAAAUAGAUGGAAAUAAGGGUAAAAUGAUUCCCUUCAAUAGAAAAUUAGGAGAAAAUAUAUUUGAAAUCAUUUUGCUAUUUUAAAAACGAUUUUUAUUGAUUUUAAAUGCAAUAGUAGCACUAUUUGACUUUUAUGAAUUUUUAUGGAAUUUAGUUGAACUUGAAAAAUAAUUCAUCUUAUUGCUGCUAUUUUUCUGAGCAUUUUGGUAUAUAAUAUUCCUACGUAAUUUUUUUAGUUAUCUUCCUAUGUUGAAGGUUUUGUUUCUGCAAAAAAAAACACGCGCCCGCCAGCCAGCCCAGGGUCUUCGGCCCAAGAGCCAGCCAGCACACCAAGCCGGCCCAGCAGCGCCCCAGGCCGCUCGAGGCCUCUUGCCUCGUUCUCCCAGGCCCCUCUUCCCUCGCUCGCUCUCUCCCACCGCCGCUGCUAGUGGGGCCCGCAACCCUUCGUCCCUAACUUCCCGCUCCUCCCGUUGAUAUAGAGCACGUUGAUAUAGAGCACGCGUGUGCCGCCCGCAACUGCCGGCUGCUCUGCUCGGGAUAGAGCUCAUCCCCAGUGUCCGCAGCCUCUUCUCGCGCCUAUAAAUUCCCCCGACUCCCCUCGUUCGAUUUUGCCACUCCGCAACGACCCACGCCACUCACAGCCGCCGCCUUCGUCGUUUGGAUCUCGCCCGUCGGAGCUACCUGGCCGGUCCGUUCCCCCGUCCGUAAGACUGCCUCGACCCGUUCUUCUUUGUCAAUUGACUCCCCGCGUCAAGGCGCAUCUGAUUGACAAAAAAUUGCCGCCUUGGUCGUACCAGAGACGACGCCCCGACGCGCCGCGCUCUCGCCGGAGCACCGGAGCUCCGCCGCCUCCCUCCGCUCGUCGCUGGCCACCCCACCGCCCGCCGACCCCACCAGCACGCCGCCCACGCCGCGCCCGACCUCCCCGACCCCUUCGUCGCCGCUGCCCACUGAGGACCGCCGGAGACGCCCCCGUGUCCGCCGUCCGCCGCCUGACGCUAGCGCUGCCGCCCCUGUUCGCCGUCCUCGCUCGCUGUGAGCCGCUGACCCUCAGUCAUUUUUGUUGUUGUUGUAUUAGAUCGGGUAACCGUGGUUUUAUUAAACCGUGCAGUUUAGUAAAAAACCGGUCUCCGGUUUUCUUUUUAUUUAGCCGCGGUAGCCGUUUUAUUUAUUCAGUGGCCGUCCGCCGUUUAGCCUGAGCCGCGAACGCUUCUCAGCCACCCGGAAGCCGCCACGUGGCCAGGGACCUGGUCACGAAUAAAACUUUCACAAUUAAGACCCUUAGAUUUCAGUUUAGCCCCUAAACUUCGAAUGGUUGUAUCUUUUUAACCGUAACUGCAAAUUCGACGAAACCAGCAGCAAAAUGUUCAUGUCCAAUAGUUUUAUCCAGAGAACCAACUUUGAAAACUUUUGGACAAAUUCAAAUUUGAACUUUAUUCAGAUUUGAAUUCAAACUUCAACUGGCCAUAUCUCUUAAACCGUAGCUCCGAUUGGUGUGAUUCUUUUUGCAACGUGUCAUCGUAGCCAAACCCUACCACCUAGACCUUGUCACAAUCUGUCUAUGAUAGUUUUACUAUUAUGCCAUGUAUGGACUUUAGUACACAUCACAGUUUUGAACCCCAUGUCACAAGUUGUUUUGCACUUAGGAUAUUUCCAUGCUAGUUAACUGUGUUGAAUAUUCAUUUGGUUUUUCUGAGACUUUGUGCUUUGCAUGUUCUUCUUGGUUCUCUGAAACGAUUGCUUAUGUGAGUGCAAUGUUUGACUUUAUAGAUUUUCAUCGGAGAGUGAAGAAUAGUUCUAUUAAAUAAAUUUCUGAGAGCGAUAUAAUCUUCAUCAACUAUUACCAGGCAAGUUCACAUUUGACCAUUUUUCCAAUUACCUAUGUUUAUAUUAUGCACUUAGUCCUUUUGUGGUAGGAUUGCAUGGUAGGAUUUAUUGUUACCAGAUGGCUAUGCCGUUACCUAGUAGUUCAUUUAAGGUAGGUAUGAUCUAUACAUCCUUGUCACCACCGUGUAAGUUUAUUUUUGCCUCACUAAAUGUAGACGUGGUUUGGGAAGCGAACAUGGCGAGACAUGAGUGACAAAGUAGUAAUCAGGACCAAGACUUGUAAAUGAACUACCUGGGCGGUAUUUUGUUUGAAUGGUGGCGAAGUACAGUGGGAGCAUGCAUGGUUAAUCCAUGGUGGUGCACCACUAGUGGUUGGCCGCUUAGGCUCAAAGAGAUCAAUAGUAUUCUCAUGUCUAGAAGCUUAAGUGUGCAGCCACAAACCAAUAUGGGCUCUAGCUUAGUUGAGUAGUUAGUGUGACCCAUUCCGGGAUGGGCUAGCAGAUGUAGAAUGAUGUAGGUGUACCGGCCUAUCCAUGGGUUAAGGGGUGACAUUUUUGAAAGAGUAUGUCUCGGUCAUCCUGUUCUCAAACGCCAGGCAGUGCGAGAACUCCAGGGGAGGCGAUCGAGUCUUGUGGGGAAAAGUGCGCAAACCUCUGUAGAGUGUUUUUUUUGAACUUGACAGUGGGAGAGAACUCCCACUGUAUAUUUUCACAUAUCUAUAUAAAUGGGGUGUUUACAUAGACAUACCACUCACACACAUCCAGCUCCACUCUUGGUGGAACCACCAGGGGUGGGGCAACUACACCAUGGUCACUGCUAUACACUUGUCUCUAAGUAUUUAAAGAGGGAAGAAUAAAACACAGUAUGUCUCAGCUAAGUGUGCCACAGUAUGAAAGCAGGGCAGCUCUACGUGUACCCUGAACUCUAUGUUGCAGAAGUCCCAAGUCCUCUUUGAAUCGAUGGAACCAAGAUGCAAUGCUUGGGGUUACACCUCUGAAGUGUUUAUUGUUUCUUUCCUUCCACAAACUCCAGGUAGUAGUGAAAAAUGCUUCAAUGAAGAAAGGAUUGGGCCAGUUGGGUUGUGCGUUUUGCAACGCAUCAAACCUAUUUUGAAAAUCAAUCCAGUGAACACCUAUCUUGGCCCAACACCUUUCGCUGAACUGGCAGGUGAAGAUCAUAUGCUCGAGAGUCUCAUCUGCAUUUUGCCCACAAAGGAGACAUGUGAUGUCAUUCCCAAUGUCAUAGUGUCUUCUUCUCAGCAUGUCACAUGUGUUCAACCUGUCGUGCAGCAACAACCAUCCAAAUACUUUGAUUUUCAUCAUACAGUUUGAUUUCCAAAGGAGCGGGAAGAUGGGAUGAGCUGUUGCAUCACGGGAGAAGUUGUUAUAGUAGUCUUUUGGCUUGUACCCAGCUGCCCCCCAAGCAUAGAGCCAAACAUCAGAUAUUGUUGUGGAUGGGUGUAUGCGGAAUGCUGCAUGUUGGACAUCUUGCACCUCGUUGAGCGCACGAGCAGAUAGCGGUAGGUGAAAGGUUUCAUGCAGUUCAGUGUUGGCCCAGAAGUCAGCGACCGUCAUGUCUUCCUGCAGAGCAAAUGAAAAGGCACGCGGGUGCGAUGUUUGUAGCACAUCAUUUGACCACAAGUCUUUCCAGAGCAGCGUAGUCGAGCCAUCAACUACUUGGACACGAGUGAUCCCUCGGUAGAUGGGCGUUAAUUUGAGAAUGUCUUUCCACCAGAAAGAACCGACUAGAUCAACCGCAUGAGGCACCUGGUUAGCAUACUGAUUAUCCCAAAGCAUAGUAACCCAUGGUACGUCCAGUUUGUUAUAGAACUUGUGGAGAAAUUUUAGCAGGAGGGCUUCGUUGUAGAUUGUAAUGUUGAUCACUCCUAACCCACAUUUACACUUGGGCUUGCACACUAGUUCCCAAGCCGCAAGCGAAUUACAUUUGUCACCUUGGUCGGUUUUCUUUGUCCAGAGACAUCUCCUUCUAAUCUUGUCAAGAAUUUCAAUUAGAUUCGGAGGGAACUUGAGCGUGCACAUGGCAAACACCAGAAGGGAUGUGACCGAUGCAUUGAGCCAGGAGAGGCGGCCCCCAUAGGACAUCAUAGCGAUCGUGGCAGUGAGACGAUGCUCCAUUUUGCAAACUAGAGGCAUGAAUUCUUGAAUGGUUGGUCUUGUAGUGCCAAGUGGCAGGCCAAGGUAGGUGAAAGGCAUUGUACCUAUAGUGCAGCCAAAAAUGGCAGCAAGGCUAGAGGUUGCACUUGCGUCCAGGUUGAUUGGUAUGAGCGUCGACUUGUGAAAGUUAAUUUUGAGGCCAAUAGAGGAUGCAUAGUCAGAGAGAAUGUUCUUGACACGGGCAGCCUGUUGUGGGCAAGCAGGCAAGACAAGGAGGGUGUCGUCCGCAUAUUGGAUCACUGGGUAAUCAUUUUGCCCAUUGCAUGGAAAAGGCAGGCUGAUAUCUCCACGUCGAUAAGCAUCAUUGCCGUGGCUUGAAGUAGUUCAGCUGCCAGGACGAAAAUGAGGGGGGACAGAGGAUCACCUUGCCGCACACCGCAUCGACAAAGGAACUGUCGGCCUGGGACCCCAUUAAGAAGUUUGGACGAGCGACCCGAGGAGAAGAGGCACUUGAUCCAGGAGAUCCACUUGUCACUGAAACCCAUCUGCUGCAUAAUGCAAAUCAUUGGUUCAUGCGUGAUGGUAUCGAAUGCUUUGGCGAAAUCAAGUUUAAGAAUAAUGAUUGGCCGGCCCAAGUUUUGACAGUGAUAAAGAUAUUGAUAAUCUCAUGCCAGACAAUUCUGUAUAGUAUGCCCUUUAAUGAACCCAUACUGAUUCCGGUGAAUGAGGGUGAGAAUGACAAGUUGAAGUCUGUCUGCUAGCAGUUUGGUAAUCAACUUGAGGCAGCAGUUGAGCAAUGUAAUGAGUCUGAAAUCAUUGACUGUUUCUGGAGAGUUAGUCUUAGGUAUAAGUGUGAUAAGACCAUCAUUGAUACUUGUGACAUCUAACGUACCUGCAUAGAACUGAUCACAUAGGGUGUAAAAGUCAUGUCGAAUGAUGGGCCAGCAGGCUUUCAAAAACGCCCCACUAAAGCCAUCUGGGCCAGGUGCGUGGUCCGGAGGCAUACCUUUGACCACAUUAUCGAUUUCCUCAUGUGAAAAAGGCGUGGUAAGUUGGUCAAGAUUUGUAGCGCGGGGGAUAAUGUUUGGAAGAUCAAAUUUCAUGUCUGAAGGGGAGACCGUACCCAGGCGGUUUUUGUAAGUUUGAAACAAGAGGGCCUCUUUUGCAGGAUGAUUGUCGACCAAUGUGCCAUCCUCAAGCUUGAGUGAGGAGAUAUUGUUUUGUCGAUAACGUUCCCUGGCCACUGCUUGGAAAAACUUGGAGUUUUCAUCGCCAAACUUGAUCCAACGAAUAGUACAACGCUUCUUCCAAUAAAGUUUUUGAUAUUUGAGCAGUCUCAGCAAGUGUGACUUUAGGAUACGUUUGAAGUUCAUUUUUGGAAUUGAAAGGAUUCGUUUAUUCUGCCAGGACAUGGUUACAGUUCGUGAUGGCCACUAAUAGACGAGAAAUAUUCUUACUCCAGAUUUUGAGAGUGUGUCGAAGAGCUUUGAAUUUUCAGCAAAGGAUUGUGGCAGCAUUUGCGUUCCAAACUGGCCAUUCCCAAACCUCUCUAACUAUGUCCAUAAACCCUGGGUGUAAGGUCCAGUAGGAUUCAAAACGAAAGAGCUUGGAUCGGGGGAUUUUGGUCUCUAUGGUGACAACGCAAGGGAUGUGAUCAGAAACGGGCUUGCCAAGGGGUUUAACGAGCAUCUUAGGAUAUGCGUUACUCCAAUGCAAGGAUGUGGAGAACCAGUCAAUCUGUUCAAGCAAAGGAUCGGUCUGCAUAUUGCUCCAAGUGUAGGUUCUACCUUUUACCGGAAGCUCAAUCAGUUGCUGCUGACGAAUGAUGUCAUUGAACGUAAUCAUGUCGUGAAUGUUACCCCCAGGUUUAUUAUGAUUGUCUGGAGCUCUCAUGUAGUUAAAGUCGCCCAAAAGUAACCAGUCUUGGUUACGGGGUAUUUGAACAUCGUACAACCAUUGCGUGAAAACAUCCCUGUCUGUACCAGUGCAAGGCCCGUACACGUUAACUAACGUCCAAUGUUGAGAGGAUUGCGUGCUAACGAACUCGAUGGCUAGCGCAAAUGGAUCAGACGAGAGUACUGAACCAGAGAAAACCGAGCUUUUCCAGAUUGUAAGUAACCCCCAGAGGCGCCGCGCGAAGGGACAAAAGCAAAACGAUCAAAUUGUCUAGGACAGCAAGUUUUAAUAGAAGCAAAAGUAACCUCAGGCAUCUUAGUCUCCUAAGGACAAGCGAUAGCAAAACCACUGGUAGAGAUAGCAUUAUUCAGAGCCAGUCGCUUCUUCUCAGAAUUGAGCCCACGGAUAUUCCAUGAGAGCACAUUCCAGCAGCUCAACGACGUCAUAUAGAACUCCAAUAUUAAGCAGAGGUGUGAGAGAGAUCCUCUCCCUGGUCAUCACUAUUAAUCGAAGAGGCAAAAGAUUCGGGCACGGCAGCAGUUUCAGCAAGCAGGGCUUCUUUAGAAAGUUCAGUAGCAGGUAUAGCACAUCUGUUAACUCCAAUGGAUUGUAGAGUAACUAUAGGAGUUGGGGGCGGGACCUCACCAGCAGAAGUAGCAGCAGAUGCUGAUGUGCCAAUAGACGGGAUGACACGGGGCUUAACUUUGGAAUUGUUCUUGCGACUGUCAGAGAGGGGAGGAACCUUGACCCCAUCAUACGUGUUGGAGCGGAGACUGCGGCGCACUUCAGUUGUGGAGAUAGGGGCAGCAGCCCUGGUCCUACGGGGGCGCGGGCCAGUGGUGGCCAUAGAAGCAGUUGCCUCUGAGAUCACAGAAGGUUCUGAAGGUGGAAUGUGCACAACUUGUUCUGUGUCCAUUGGGGCGUCUUCAGUGUUGGGCGGCAUGGCGGGCUCAAUGGCGUUUUCCACACUAGCAUGUUCAGAUAGGUCCUCAAUGAUCACAGCGGAGGCAGCCAAAGCAGAAGUAGAGCUUGAUUGCUGGGAAAAGGUCAGACUAGUAGAAUCCUGUGUGAUCAAGACAGACAACUGAACCUGGUUUGUUCUCAGACCAAACCCCUCUAUCCAAGGUCCAAAAGUUGCAAGCAUUGGGCUAACAGCUUGGAAGAUGAAUGUGUUAAGAUUCAGGCGUGGGAUUGGGUCAUUCAGCAGCCUGGAAAGGAUCUCAUCUCCUUGAGCAGAUAAACCAAAUCUGACACCUUGAUCAUUGAUCUCCAGUGUGAUGUUAAGAGAUUCAAAGCUUGCACUGUCAGACAGCUGUAUAGCUGGAUCAGCCGGGAUGAGAAUGUCAGACUGGGUCAAGCUUGAACUGUCAAACUGGGUGAUCGAAUCAUUCCAAGCUUGGAGAGCAUUAUCAGUGACAUUGUUUUCAGGGACUAACCCAUGUUGCACAGUCAGACCCUGCGCAGCAAGCCAGGCUUGUUAGUUCACCAAAUGGAGCGGCAUUUGCGGGAGUGGAGGAGCAGCGGGCGCCUCCCAAGUGCCCCAUCCAGUGUUGUCAUCCACUUGUUGAGCCUCAUUGUUGCCAGCUGCGGGUGCACCAUUCUGAAUGAGCCAAUUGUGAACUUGCUGCUGAUAUAACUGUUCUGCAGUGAGUUCAGGGCCAAACUGUGGAUGUGGGUUGCCAUCGGGGGGUGGCAUUUCCUCAGGUGCAGCAGGUACAUCAGGGAGGAGGCCAUUCCAGUCGUUGCUGCGACGGAUGGUCACUACUACUGUCCAACUGUCGUGCGCACCACCCAGCUGCCAUACCACAAAGCUCUUGGGGAUGAGGCGCAGACUAAGUACUCUGACUUUUAGAAGGAUGAAUCUGCGGUCCUGACGCGGAUUAUACCAGGAAACUAAGGAACCAUAUCCACCCAAGGCCUUAGUGAUGUAAUAGUCCAUUUGGUAGUCAUACGGAAAGCCGAAGAACAUAAUCCAAAUCUCAGGCCCAAACGGUGCAGCUCUACGAUUAAGAGCCGCAUUGUGCGAAACGAAGGUGAUCAACAGAUCUUCAUCUUCAAGCUCAAGCGGUGUGUUGACAGCAUUAUCUCUCAUAAAGGAAUCCACAAAACCAAAAAUCCCAACACCAAGGGGGUGAUCCGAUGGCGGACGGUGGCCCGGCGAUGCAGGGGCAGAUACUCACUGGCUUCUGCAAUGGCCAGGAACUCAUGGCUGAGUGGAGCAAUCGGGCCAACGACCAUGCCGCUGCGCACAAGACUAUCGGCCGGCCCUGGCUCAGCGGCAAAACCCGGCGGGAGGAAAGGCACAGGGUUCAGUGGGUAGUUCGCCAUUGUGGUGGAAGGGAUCAGAGGGGAGGACGGUGGUGCGGAGAUGGGAUGCAACUGCAAUGGCGCAAGCUGCAGCAAAGCGUCAGACUGUGGCGAUGGGACUGGACGGGAUGUGGCCCAUUGGGUUCUCGAGGCGGAAGCUGAAGCGUGAAUGGGGGCGGUAGAAGGCAAAGUUGCCUUUGCAACCUCUGUAGAGUGUUAAAACCUAAUCGAUUAACCAUGUCCCCGGUUACGGACAACUUGAGCAUCUAGUAGUGGAAAUGAUGGGAGAUCUCAUCACUCUUAAUUAAACAGUUGGUUUUUAAAUGAAACAUUGGGAAUGGAUUGAGUUGGGUUUGCCAACUCAUCCUAUGCUAUACUGUAGUGAUAGACUAAUGUCUUUUAUUCUAGGGAAAAACUAGCUUUAUGCAAAAACUAAACUUAGAGUUUUCCACCAGCCAAAUUGCAUGUACAAAUAGGUUCAUUAUUCUUAUGAUGUGACUUGCCAGUACAUUCAAUGUACUGACCUAUAGGGCUGCAACGUCUUAUGUUGCAGGAAUUUCUACGACGAGUAAGAAUUAUGUUGUAGGGUUAUCGUCUACACUCAACUUGCCGUUGGCGUUGAUGGGACUCCACACCCGUUCGAUUGUUUCCACUGAGAUUUAUGAGGUAUAUAUCAGUUUUGCGUUAUUUAUACAUUUGAUUGAACUUUGAUAUAUACAUUGAUGUACUGUGUGUGCCAGCAUAUCAAUCCAGGGAUGGCCCGGAUACACAGAGGCUUGACAGUUUGAGCUCGGGUCGCUACAGAGAUGGUAUCAGAGCACAUGUUGACUAUAGGACGUGACCCUAGAAACUGGAAAGCCCUUAGGAAAAGAUUUCUCUAAAAGUUUAUUUUCAAAAAGAUCCUUUACCUCUCUUCAUUUCUGAGCUUUAUCAAAUCUUUCCUUUUACCCCAAAUAGGUAGGCAAUAUCCCUUUUCCCUUUCACCACGCGGAGGAUCAACUGAUGAGACCACUCCGAGAAGGGCAAGAUAUCGGCCAACUGAUGGCCACUUCAAAGUAAAGAGGAUUUCAUCAUGCAUUAGAACAGUUAAUGCUACGACAGUCGAAGACUCGAAGAAUUUGAAGACACUGAAGAAUUCCAAGAUUUAUAUGACCUUUAGAAGACCAAACCCUUGUUGUGUACUCACGUUAGAUGCGAUGAUUUGUGAGCUGUCAUAUUUGGUGUGUGUUUUCCAUUGCAACAAAUAAAACUUAUUUUCAAAAACUAUAUUGUUUGUAUUGUGUGUAUCUUUCUCUAUCCCUCUUAUCUCAUCCCAAAACCCUUGGACCCAAUAGAUGAUGAAUGAAGAUGGACUUGUAUUCUCUGGACCGAUCACUCGGUUAGAGGAAGAGCUAUGGAUUCAAAACAUGGAGAGUCACUUCGAGAGCAAUUUGGUUGCAAGGAAGUAUGAGGUUCAAUAUGCUCUUUAAUACUUUACAAAAAGUGCUACAACAUGGUGGAAAAUGCAUCAAGCCAUACAAGGAUGUAAUGGAGCAAAAACUUGGGAGGAAUUGAAGAAGACUCUGUUGGGAUCCCGUCUUAUCCGGAAGCACGGUGAUAAACUGAUGAAGAAACCUUGUGCCUGCAAGAUAUGUGGAGAAAUAGGACACACCCAUGAAGAACACAAGGAUGGAUGCCCUCAUUAUGAAGGAAAUCACCCAGCAGAAGAGUGCCCAACUAGGCAGGUUACUUGUUUCUUGUGUGAAGGAACUACGCACUACCCUGCCCAGUGUCAUAUUUACCCCAGGGUACAAGAAAUUACCAAGAACCAGAAGGAAGAAGUGAAAGAAGCCCUCAGGGAAAGUUUAAGAAAACUGGUGAUGAAAGAAGAUGUUGACGACCCUGAUGGAGAAAGCCUAAACAGAUUUUACUCCAAUGCUUGCUAUGCAUGUGGAGAAGAAGGACAUUUCUCACAAUAUUGCGUGAAGGAAAACCAAGAGUAUCUGGGAGACUUCCCGAUAGAAGAAGUGGGGUUUGAUCGACAAGAGAUAGAAGAAUUGAUCGGAACGAAGAAGUCGAGGAAGAGAAAGAGCAUGUAUCCCCAGAACAACCCAGUUUCUGCAGAAAAGGACCUGAGUCAUAUCACUUGUUACAGCUGCAAGGAUUUAGCUCAUUAUUCUAGCAAAUGCCCACCAAGGAAGCCAAGAACCCAAGGAACCAAGAUAACCACCAGGAACCCCUGGAUUUGUCUGACGCCAUUUGUUUACGCUGCAAAGGAGUAGGACAUUUUGUCAGAGAAUGUUCAGACCCGAGGAAAGCUUGAGCAGAGUAGUUGAGAUCUUGAUAUUGGAAUAAAGCAUGUAAUAAAUGUGGAACGCACUUUUAUUUUCGUGGGGGGUGUUGAUACGUCUCCAACGUAUCUAUAAUUUUUGAUUGCUCCAUGCUAUAUUAUCUACUGUUUUGGACUAUAUUGGGCUUUAUUUUCCACUUUUAUAUUAUUUUUGGGACUAACCUAUUAACCGGAGGCCCAGCCCAGAAUUACUGUUUUUUUGCCUAUUUCAGUGUUUUGGAUAAACGGAAUAUCAAACGGAGUCCAAACGGAAUAAAAUCUUCGGGAACGUGAUUUUCUCACCGAACGUGAUCCAUGAGACUUGGACCUUGCUCUAAGGAACAAAAGAGGCGGUCACGAGGGUGGGGGGUGCCCCCCCUAGGGCGCGCCCCCCUGCCUCGUGGGCCCCUCGUUGCUCCUCCGGCGUACUUCUUCCUCCUAUAUAUACACAUGUACCCCCAAACGAUCAGAAGAGGAGCCAAAAACCUAAUUCCACCGCCGCAACUUUCUGUAUCAGAAGAGAUCCCAUCUUGGGGCCUGUUCCGGAGCUCUGCCAGAAGAUGGCCGUCAUCACGGAGGGCUUCUACAUCCUCCUAGCCCCUCCGAUGAAGUGUGAGUUGUUUACCUCAGACCUUCGGGUCCAUAGUUAGUAGCUAGAUGGCUUCUUCUCUCUCUUUGAAUCUCAAUACAAAGUUCUCCCCCUCUCUUGUGGAGAUCUAUUCGAUGUAAUCUUCUUUUCGCGGUGUGUUUGUUGAGACCGAUGAAUUGUGGGUUUAUGAUCAAGUCUAUCUAUGAAUAAUAUUUGAAUCUUCUCUGAAUUCUUUUAUGUAUGAUUGGUUAUCUAUGCAACUCUAUUCGAAUUGUCCGUUUGGUUUGGCCAACUAGAUUGGUAGUUCUUGCCAUGGGAGAAGUGCUUAGCUUUGGGUUCGAUCUUGCGGUGUCCUUACCUAGUGACAGAAGGGGCAGCAAGGCACGUAUUGUAUCGUUGCCAUCGAGGAUAACAAGAUGGGGUUUAUUUCAUAUUGCAUGAAUUUAUCUCUCUACAUCAUGUCAUCUUGCUUAAGGCGUUACUCUGUUUUUAACUUAAUACUCUAGAUGCAUGCUGGAUAGCGGUCGAUGAGUGGAGUAAUAGUAGUAGAUGCAGAAUCGUUUCGAUCUACAUGUCACGGACGUGAUGCCUAUAUACAUGAUCAUGCCUAGAUAUUCUCAUAACUAUGCUCAAUUCUGUCAAUUGCUCAAUAGUAAUUUGUUCACCCACCGUAGAAUACUUAUGCUCUUGAGAGAAGCCACUAGUGAAACCUAUGGCCCCCGGGUCUAUUCUCAUCAUAUCAAUCUCCAUCACUUUAAAUCUUGCUUUGUUUUUACUUUGCUUUUACUUUUUAAUUUGCAUCUUUAUACCAAAAAUACCAAAAAUAUUAUAUCUAUCAGAUCUCAUUCUCGUAAGUGACCGUGAAGGGCUUGACAACCCCUAAUCGCGUUGGUUGCGAGUAGCUAUCGCUUUGUGCAGGUACGAGGGACUUGAGCGUGGGCUCCUACUGGAUUGAUACCUUGGUUCUCAAAAACUGAGGGAAAUACUUACGCUACUCUGCUGCAUCAUCCCUUCGUCUUCGGGGAAAACCAACGCUAGCUCAAGAUGUAGCAGGUGUUGAGUUGAGUUACCGAAUGGAAAUUGUAAUAGCUCAUGAAGAAAUAAAAAUUGAGUUGUUUGGAAUCUCAUAUGAAAUGUUAUGAGUUGUUUUUUGAUUGUGAGUGCCUUUCUCACUAUGUCACCCAGACAUAAACCUUGAACCCAUGGACAAGCUGACCCCAAAACCUUCACUAAAAAAACGACAUUUCACCCAAGGAAAUACAUGCAUUAUCCUAAGUACCCCUUCUAUCUUAUACCUGCAGAUGGCAACCCUUUACGAGUCUUUUCUCAAGGGCCCAGAAACGAUCAUGACCCUAACUAGUGAUCAGGAUUACCCAAAGAUCCUCAAGGACAUGAUGAAGCAUAUUCAUCUUGAAGGAGAUGCAGUCUACAAGGGUUAUCCUUUCAUGGAGAAUGGAGUUGAACUUUGGUACGUGGAGGUACACCUCCAUCGUGUGAAGGGAGUUUUCCCAAAGAGUAUGGGGCAAUACUUUUUCAUUUCUCGAGUACCCCGAGCAACAUUCUUCGACUCUGUUCGUGAAACUGCUAUGGAAGCCAUACGUCAGAUAGGAGAAAUACUUGAAGCCAGACUUCGUUAUACUCAGGAAUACCCGAGGGAGGUGCAUGCAAAGAUGAUGGAGAUGAAGCUCAUGGCCACCAUGAUGAAGCAAAAGGUCGAUGAUUUCAAGGACCACAUUGUACAAUUCCAGUGGGACUAAAUUAUCUUCAAGAAGGGCAAAUGAAUAAAGAUGGAAGUAAUGCUUGACCAUAGCAAACUAUGUGGAUGGCAGCUUUUUGUAAUAGAGUACUUUUGAAAUUUGAGUUUUGAGUAGUGGUUAAGGAUGUAAUAAAGGAUUUGAUAUGAAGAGAAUUAUGGAUGAACCAGUGCAUUUUUUGGCGAUACCUGUCUGUGCGAACACUUGACCAAUGGAAAAGGAAAUGUAUUCCAUAGAGUGAAGUUUGGACAAAUGAGUUGGAGUUUGGUUUUAGUUAUGAUGGUUACCCCAAGAGUAUGAAGGAAUGAAGUACUAUUGGAUUUAAAGGAGAUGUAAUGUUGGAAUAUGGAACAAUAGUAACUCCAAGGAUGAGUUAAAGAUAUACAAGUGUUGAAGUGGGCCAUAACCCACAGGACCCAGGAUUUGAUAAGGAAACAAGCACAAUCUUGUUGAAGAAAAUAAUUCUGAAAGAAGCCAUGAUUUCAUCAGCAUACGUUUCAUAGGAGGUUACAUAAACCCAGGAGUUGUGAAUAAACGAUAGAGGUUUUCUUUGGCUUGCAGAACCAAUGGAUUUAUCCGAACCCAGUUCGUGGAGAAGAGAAGUUUUGCAAUGCUUGUGAGGAUGCCCAAGGGCUAGAAUGCGUGAUUCACUAUCUACGUAUGUGGUAAUGAUUCAAGUACGACAUGGAUUGGCCCCCAUACCGGAGACUUCUAUCAUGAGCUAUCAUAUGAUUGAUAGAAAAUCAGAGAGCCUUAAAACCCUAGAAGAGUGUCGACACGACAAGCCAAAAGCCUUAGAAUGGCAGGAUGAUGGAAACCCUGUACAGGCACCUAUUGCCUACCGUAGGUUAUGCGGUGAGGUUCAACCCAGACCCAUUUCCUGUAGGAGGAACCAGAAAUUGUCGACCACCAUCAGGUUUUCGAUAGUUGUUUAGCAUUGGCGCCAGACCUGUCAAGUCUCAGAAGGAUCCUAUUUUGAUGCAAGGAAUCCUGAUAUUGAGGAAAAGGCCAUGCCCUUACCAGAAGAGCAAAAGUGAAGGGGUUAUCUCAGAGAAUAUGAGAAGACCGACACCGUCAACGCAAAGGAUGGAGUUCAUGAGUUUUAUUGGAACUGUAACCAUGCUUCUAAGGGUGGUAGCACCCCAUUCCUUGUGUUGAUGAAUGGAUUUUCAAGGAGAACCCCCAAACCUAACAUUCUUUCUAGCCUCUUCGAAUCUCGAGGACGAUAUUCAUUUUAAGGGUGGUAGUUUGUAACAUCCCAAAAUUCUAAAUUCUGGAAUGUUAUGUUAAAUAAUUAAUUAUGAUUGUUUGUUUGUUGUGUGAUUGAUUGUGUGAAAAUGAUUGGAAAUUGAAAACUUUUUGAAAGUAGAAUGAGAGGGAAUAAAAGGACUUUCCCGAAACUUUUCAUCUUGCAUUUUGAUCUUCCUGAAUUCAAAUUCAUUUCAUCAUAAAACCCUAGAGUGAAGAUAAUAUGACUUCUUCCAUUUAAAGAAAUGAAAAAAGGGGUUUGAAAAUGAUUUGAAUUCCAUUUGAAAAAUUUUAAAUUUUGAAACUUUAAGCAACUCAAUGAGUACAUGAGGGAAGAUAAAAUGACUUCUUCAGAUCGAUGGAAGAGAGUUGGAAGUUUCAAAGGAAUAAUUUGAAGUCACUUUGAAGUUAUUUGAAACUCAUUUUUCCAUUUGAAGUUGUUUGAAAUUCCAAAUUUCUAAUCCUCUUGGGAGUUAUUUAGUUUUAAUUCAAAUUAUUUUUCCCCUAAAAAUAAAUAGAUGGGAAUAAGGGUAAAUUGAUUCCCUUCAAUAGAAAAUUAGGAGAAAUAUAUCUGAAAUCAUUUUGCUAUUUUAAAAAUGAUUUUUAUUGAUUUUAAAUGCAAUAGUAGCACUGUUUGAAUUUUAUGAAUUUUUAUGGAAUUUAGUUGAACUUGAAAAAUAAUUCAUCUUAUUGCUACUAUUUUUCUGAGCAUUUUGGUAUAUAAUAUUCCUACGUAAAUUUUUUAGUUAUUUUCCUAUGUUGAAGUUUUUGUUUCUGCAAAAAAAAACAUGCGCCCGCCAGCCGGCCCAGGGCCUUCGGCCCAAGAGCCAGCCAGCGUACCGAGCCGGCCCAGCAGCGCCCCAGGCCGCCCGAGGCCUUACGCCUCGCUCGCGCGCGCCCCUCUUCCCUCGCUCGCUCUCUCCCACUACCGCUGCCAGUGGGGCCCGCAACCCUCCGUCCCUAACCUCCCGCUCCUCCCCUUCAGAUAGGGCACGCGCGUGCUGCCCGCAACUGCCGGCAGCUCCGCUCGGGAUAGAGCUCAUCCGCAGUCUCCGCAGCCUCUUCUUGAGCCUAUAAAUUCCCCCGACUCCCCUCGUUCGAUUCUGCCAUUCCGCAACGAUCCACGCCGCUCACAGCCGCCGCCUUCGUCGUUUGGAUCUUGCCCGCCGGAGCUACCUCGCCGGUCCGUUCCAUCGUCCGUAAGACUUCCUCGACCCCGUUCUUCUUUGUCAAUUGACUCCCCGCGUCGAGGCGCAUCUGAUUGACAAAAAUUUGCCGCCUAGGUCGUACCAGAGACGUCGCCCCGACGCGCCGUGCUCUUGCCGAAGCACCGGAGCUCCGCCGCCACCCUCCGCUCGUCGCUGGCCACCCCACCGCCCGCCGACCCCACCAGCACCCCGCCCACGCCGCGCCUGACCUCCCCGACCCCUUCGUCGCCGCUGAGGACCACCAGAGACGCCGCCCUGUCCGCCGUCCGCCGCCUGACGCCAACGGCACCGCACCUGUUCGCCGUCCUCGCUCGCUAUGAGCCGCUGAUCCUCGCUCAUUUUUUGUUGUUGUUGUUGUAUUAGAUCGGGUAACCGUGGUUUUAUUAAACCGUGCGGUUUAGUAAAAAACCGGUCUCCGGUUGUCUUUUUAUUUAGCCACGGUAGCCGUUUUAUUUAUUCAGUGGCCGUCCGCCGUUUAGCCUGAGCCGCGAACGCUGCUCAGCCACCCGGAAGCCGCCACGUGGCCAGGGACCUAGUCGUGAAUAAAACUUUCAUAGUCAAGUCCCUGAGUUUUCAAUUUAGCCCCUCAACUUCGAAUGGUUGUAUCUUUUUAACCGUAGCUCCAAAUUCGACGAAACCAGUGGCAAGAUGUUCGCCUCGAUUAGUUUUAUCCAGAGAACCAACUUUGAAAACUUUUGGCCAAAUUCAAAUUUGAAAUUUAUUCAGAUUUGAAUUCAAACUUCAACUGGCCAUAUCUCUUAAACCGUAGCUCCGAUUGGUGUGAUUCUUUUUGCAACGUGUCAUCAUAGCCAAACCCUACCACCUGGACCUUGUCACAAUACUUUUCACACAACUAGAAUCUGUCUAUGAUAGUUUUACUAUUAUGCCAUGCAUGCACUUUAGUACACAUCAUAGUUUUGAACCCCAUGUCACAAGUUGUUUUGCACUUAGGAUAUUUCCAUGCUAGUUAACUGUGUUGAAUGUUCAUUUGGUUUUUCUGAGACUUUGUGCUUUGCAUGUUCUUCUUGGUUCUCUGAAACGAUUGUUGAGAGUGACGAAUAGUUCUAUGAAGUAAAUUUCUGAGAGUGGUAUAAUCUUCAUCAACUAUUACCAGGCAAGUUCACAUUUGACCAUUUUUCCAAUUACCUAUGUUUAUAUUAUGCACUUAGUCCUUUUGUGGUAGGAUUGCAUGGUAGGAUUUAUUGUUACCAGAUGGCUAUGCCGUUACCUAGUAGUUCAUUUGAGGUAGGUAUGAUCUAUACAUCCUUGUCACCACCGUGUAAGUUUAUUUUUGCCUCGCUAAAUGUAGACGUGGUUUGGGAAGCGAACAUGGCGAGACAUGAGUGACAAACUAGUAAUCAAGACCAAGACUUGUAAAUGAACUACCUGGGCGGUAUUUGAUUUGAAUGGUGGUGAAGUACAGUGGGAGCAUGCAUGGUUAAUCCAUGGUGGUGCACCACUAGUGGUUGGCCGCUCAGGCUCAAAGAGAUGAAUCGUAUUCUCAUGUCUAGAAGCUUAUGUGUGCAGCCACAAGCCAAUAUGGGCUCUGGCUUAGUUGAGUAGUUAGUGUGACCCCUUCCGGGAUGGGCUAGCAGAUGUAGAAUGAUGUAGGUGUACCGGCCUAUCCAUGGGUUAAGGGGUGACAUUUUUGAAAGAGUAUGUCUCGGUCAUCCUGUUCUCAAACGCCAGGCAGUGCGAGAACUCCAGGGGAGGCGAUCGAGUCUUGUGGGGAAAAGUGCGCAAACCUCUGUAGAGUGUUUUUUUUGAACUUGACAGUGGGAGAGAACUCCCACUGUAUAUUUUCACAUAUCUAUAUAAAUGGGGUGUUUACAUAGACAUACCACUCACACACAUCCAGCUCCACUCUUGGUGGAACCACCAGGGGUGGGGCAACUACACCAUGGUCACUGCUAUACACUUGUCUCUAAGUAUUUAAAGAGGGAAGAAUAAAACACAGUAUGUCUCAGCUAAGUGUGCCACAAUAUGAAAGCAGGGCAGCUCUACGUGUACCCUGAACUCUAUGUUGCAGAAGUCCCAAGUUCUCUUUGAAUCGAUGGAACCAAGAUGCAAUGCUUGGGGUUACACCUCUGAAGUGUUUAUUGUUUCUUUCCUUCCACAAACUCCAGGUAGUAGUGAAAAAUGCUUCAAUGAAGAAAGGAUUGGGCCAGUUGGGUUGUGCGUUUUGCAACGCAUCAAACCUAUUUUGAAAAUCAAUCCAGUGAACACCUAUCUUGGCCCAACACCUUUCGCUGAACUGGCAGGUGAAGAUCAUAUGCUCGAGAGUCUCAUCUGCAUUUUGCCCACAAAGGAGACAUGUGAUGUCAUUCCCAAUGUCAUAGUGUCUUCUUCUCAGCAUGUCACAUGUGUUCAACCUGUCGUGCAGUAGCAACCAUCCAAAUACUUUGAUUUUCAUCAUACAGUUUGAUUUCCAAAGGAGCGGGAAGAUGGGAUGAGCUGUUGCAUCACGGGAGAAGUUGUUAUAGUAGUCUUUUGGCUUGUACCCAGCUGUCCCCCAAGCAUAGAGCCAAACAUCAGAUAUUGUUGUGGAUGGGUGUAUGCGGAAUGCUGCAUGUUGGACAUCUUGCACCUCGUUGAGCGCACGAGCAGACAGCGGUAGGUGAAAGGUUUCAUGCAGUUCAGUGUUGGCCCAGAAGUCAGCGACCGUCAUGUCUUCCUGCAGAGCAAAUGAAAAGGCACGCGGGUGCGAUGUUUGUAGCACAUCAUUUGACCACAAGUCUUUCCAGAGCAGCGUAGUCGAGCCAUCAACUACUUGGACACGAGUGAUCCCUCGGUAGAUGGGCGUUAAUUUGAGAAUGUCUUUCCACCAGAAAGAACCGACUAGAUCAACCGCAUGAGGCACCUGGUUAGCAUACUGAUUAUCCCAAAGCAUAGUAACCCAUGGUACGUCCAGUUUGUUAUAGAACUUGUGGAGAAAUUUUAGCAGGAGGGCUUCGUUGUAGAUUGUAAUGUUGAUCACUCCUAACCCACAUUUACACUUGGGCUUGCACACUAGUUCCCAAGCCGCAAGCGAAUUACAUUUGUCACCUUGGUCGGUUUUCUUUGUCCAGAGACAUCUCCUUCUAAUCUUGUCAAGAAUUUCAAUUAGAUUCGGAGGGAACUUGAGCGUGCACAUGGCAAACACCAGAAGGGAUGUGACCGAUGCAUUGAGCCAGGAGAGGCGGCCCCCAUAGGACAUCAUAGCGAUCGUGGCAGUGAGACGAUGCUCCAUUUUGCAAACUAGAGGCAUGAAUUCUUGAAUGGUUGGUCUUGUAGUGCCAAGUGGCAGGCCAAGGUAGGUGAAAGGCAUUGUACCUAUAGUGCAGCCAAAAUGGCAGCAAGGCUAGAGGUUGCACUUGCGUCCAGGUUGAUUGGUAUGAGCGUCGACUUGUGAAAGUUAAUUUUGAGGCCAAUAGAGGAUGCAUAGUCAGAGAGAAUGUUCUUGACACGGGCAGCCUGUUAUGGGCAAGCAGGCAAGACAAGGAGGGUGUCGUCCGCAUAUUGGAUCACUGGGUAAUCAUUUUGCCCAUUGCAUGGAAAAGGCAGGCUGAUAUCUCCAUGUCGAUAAGCAUCAUUGCCGUGGCUUGAAGUAGUUCAGCUGCCAGGACGAAAAUGAGGGGGGACAGAGGAUCACCUUGCCGCACACCGCAUCGACAAAGGAACUGUCGGCCUGGGACCCCAUUAAGAAGUUUGGACGAGCGACCCGAGGAGAAGAGGCACUUGAUCCAGGAGAUCCACUUGUCAUUGAAACCCAUCUGCUGCAUAAUGCAAAUCAUUGGUUCAUGCGUGAUGGUAUCGAAUGCUUUGGCGAAAUCAAGUUUAAGAAUAAUGAUUGGCCGGCCCAAGUUUUGACAGUGAUAAAGAUAUUGAUAAUCUCAUGCCAGACAAUUCUGUAUAGUAUGCCCUUUAAUGAACCCAUACUGAUUCCGGUGAAUGAGGGUGAGAAUGACAAGUUGAAGUCUGUCUGCUAGCAGUUUGGUAAUCAACUUGAGGCAGCAGUUGAGCAAUGUAAUGAGUCUGAAAUCAUUGACUGUUUCUGGAGAGUUAGUCUUAGGUAUAAGUGUGAUAAGACCAUCAUUGAUACUUGUGACAUCUAACGUACCUUCAUAGAACCGAUCACAUAGGGUGUAAAAGUCAUGUCGAAUGAUGGGCCAGCAGGCUUUCAAAAACGCCCCACUAAAGCCAUCUGGGCCAGGUGCGUGGUCCGGAGGCAUACCUUUGACCACAUUAUCGAUUUCCUCAUGUGAAAAAGGCGUGGUAAGUUGGUCAAGAUUUGUAGCGCAGGGGAUAAUGUUUGGAAGAUCAAAUUUCAUGUCUGAAGGGGAGACCGUACCCAGGCGGUUUUUGUAAGUUUGAAACAAGAGGGCCUCUUUUGCAGGAUGAUUGUCGACCAAUGUGCCAUCCUCAAGCUUGAGUGAGGAGAUAUUGUUUUGUCGAUAACGUUCCCUGGCCACUGCUUGGAAAAAUUUGGAGUUUUCAUCGCCAAACUUGAUCCAACGAAUAGUACAACGCUUCUUCCAAUAAAGUUUUUGAUAUUUGAGCAGUCUCAGCAAGUGUGACUUUAGGAUACGUUUGAAGUUCAUUUCUGGAAUUGAAAGGAUUCGUUUAUUCUGCCAGGACAUGGUUACAGUUCGUGAUGGCCACUAAUAGACGAGAAAUAUUCUUACUCCAGAUUUUGAGAGCGUGUCGAAGAGCUUUGAAUUUUCGGCAAGGGAUUGUGGCAGCAUUUGCGUUCCAAACUGGCCAUUCCCAAACCUCUCUAACUAUGUCCAUAAACCCUGGGUGUAAGGUCCAGUAGGAUUCAAAACGAAAGAGCUUGGAUCGGGGGAUUUUGGUCUCUAUGGUGACAAUGCAAGGGAUGUGAUCAGAAACGGGCUUGCCAAGGGGUUUAACGAGCAUCUUAGGAUAUGUGUUACUCCAAUGCAAGGAUGUGAAGAACCAGUCAAUCUGUUCAAGCAAAGGAUCGGUCUGCAUAUUGCUCCAAGUGUAGGUUCUACCUUUUACCGGAAGCUCAAUCAGUUGCUGCUGACGAAUGAUGUCAUUGAACGUAAUCAUGUCGUGAAUGUUACCCCCAGGUUUAUUAUGAUUGUCUGGAGCUCUCAUGUAGUUAAAGUCGCCCAAAAGUAACCAGUCUUGGUUACGGGGUAUUUGAACAUCGUACAACCAUUGCGUGAAAACAUCCCUGUCUGUACCAGUGCAAGGCCCGUACACGUUAACUAACGUCCAACGUUGAGAGGAUUGCAUGCUAACGAACUCGAUGGCUAGCGCAAAUGGAUCAGAUGAGAGUACUGAACCAGAGAAAACCGAGCUUUUCCAGAUUGUAAGUAACCCCCAGAGGCGCCGCGCGAAGGGACAAAAGCAAAACGAUCAAAUUGUCUAGGAUAGCAAGUUUUAAUAGAAGCAAAAGUAACCUCAGGCAUCUUAGUCUCCUGAAGACAAGUGAUAGCAAAACCACUGGUAGAGAUAGCAUUAUUCAGAGCCAGUCGCUUCUUCUCAGAAUUGAGCCCACGGAUAUUCCAUGAGAGCACAUUCCAGCAGCUCAACGACGUCAUAUAGAACUCCAAUAUUAAGCAGAGGUGUGAGAGAGAUCCUCUCCCUGGUCAUCACUGUCAAUCAAAGAGGCAGAAUAUUCGGGCACGACAGCAGUUUCAGCAAGCAGGGCUUCUUCAGAAAGUUCAGUAGCAGGUAUAGCACAUCUGUUAACUCCAAUGGAUUGUAGAGUAACUAUAGGAGUUGGGGGCGGGACCUCACCAGCAGAAGUAGCAGCAGAUGCUGAUGUGCCAAUAGACGGGAUGACACAGGGCUUAACUUUGGAAUUGUUCUUGCGACUGUCAGAGAGGGGAGGAACCUUGACCGCAUCAUACGUGUUGGAGCGGAGACUGCGACGCACUUCAGUUGUGGAGAUAGGGGCAGCAGCCCUGGUCCUACGGGGGCGCGGGCCAGUGGUGGCCAUAGAAGCAGUUGCCUCUGAGAUCACAGAAGGUUCUGAAGGUGGAAUGUGCACAACUUGUUCUGUGUCCAUUGGGGCGUCUUAAGUGUUGGGCGGCAUGGCGGGCUCAAUGGCGUUUUCCACACUAGCAUGUUCAGAUAGGUCCUCAAUGAUCACAGCGGAGGCAGCCAAAGCAGAAGUAGAGCUUGAUUGCUAGGAAAAGGUCAGACUAGUAGAAUCCUGUGUGAUCAAGACAGACAACUGGACCUGGUUUGUUCUCAGACCAAACCCCUCUCUCCAAGGUCCAAAAGUUGCAAGCAUUGGGCUAACAGCUUGGAAGAUGAAUGUGUUAAGAUUCAGGCGUGGGAUUGGGUCAUUCAGCAGCCUGGAAAGGAUCUCAUCUCCUUGAGCAGAUAAACCAAAUCUGACACCUUGAUCAUUGAUCUCCAGUGUGAUGUUAAGAGAUUCAAAGCUUGCACUGUCAGACAGCUGUAUAGCUGGAUCAGCCGGGAUGAGAAUGUCAGACUGGGUCGAGCUUGAACUGUCAGACUGGGUGAUCGAAUCAUUCCAAGCUUGGAGAGCAUUAUCAGUGACAUUGUUUUCAGGGACUAACCCAUGUUGCACAGUCAGACCCUGCGCAGCAAGCCAGGCUUGGUAGUUCACCAAAUGGAGCGGCAUUUGCGGGAGUGGAGGAGCAGCGGGCGCCUCCCAAGUGCCCCAUCCAGUGUUGUCAUCCACUUGUUGAGCCUCAUUGUUGCCAGCUGCGGGUGCACCAUUCUGAAUGAGCCAAUUGUGAACUUGCUGCUGAUAUAACUGUUCUGCAGUGAGUUCAGGGCCAAACUGUGGAUGUGGGUUGCCAUCGGGGGGUGGCAUUUCCUCAGGUGCAGCAGGUACAUCAGGGAGGAGGCCAUUCCAGUCGUUGCUGCGACGGAUGGUCACUACUACUGUCCAACUGUCGUGCGCACCACCCAGCUGCCAUACCACAAAGCUCUUGGGGAUGAGGCGCAGACUAAGUACUCUGACUUUUAGAAGGAUGAAUCUGCGGUCCUGACGCGGAUUAUACCAGGAAACUAAGGAACCAUAUCCACCCAAGGCCUUAGUGAUGUAAUAGUCCAUUUGGUAGUCAUACGGAAAGCCGAAGAACAUAAUCCAAAUCUCAGGCCCAAACGGUGCAGCUCUACGAUUAAGAGCCGCAUUGUGCGAAACGAAGGUGAUCAACAGAUCUUCAUCUUCAAGCUCAAGCGGUGUGUUGACAACAUUAUCUCUCAUAAAGGAAUCCACAAAACCGAAAAUCCCAACACCAAGGGGGUGAUCACUGACCUCUGUAGUAAAAAGCUGUGAUUCUUGAAACAGAGUUGUGAUCCGAUGGCGGACGGUGGCCCGGCGAUGCAGGGGCACAUACUCACUGGCUUCUGCAAUGGCCAGGAACUCAUGGCUGAGUGGAGCAAUCGAGCCAACGACCAUGCCGCUGUGCACAAGAUGAUCGGCCGGCCCUGGCUCACCCGCAAAACCCGGCGGGAGGAAAGGCACAGGGUUUAGUGGGUAGUUCGCCAUUGUGGUGGAAGGGAUCAGAGGGGAGGACGGUGGUGCAGUGAUGGGAUGUAACUGCAAUGGCGCAAGCUGCAGCAAAGCGUCAGACUGUGGCGAUGGGACUGGACGGGAUGUGGCCCGUUGGGUUCUCGAGGAGGAAGCUGAAGCGUGAAUGGGGGUAGGAGGCAAAGUUGCCUUUGCAACCUCUGUAGAGAGUUAAAACCUAAUCGAUUAGCCGUGUCCCCGGUUACAGACAACUUGAGCAUCUAGUAGUGGAAAUGAUGGGAGAUCUCAUCACUCUUAAUUAAACAGUUGGGUUUUAAAUGAAACAUUGGGAAUGGAUUGAGUUGUGUUUGCCAACUCAUACUAUGCUAUACUGUAGUGAUAGACUAAUAUCUUUUAUUCUAGGGAAAAACUAGCUUUAUGCAAAAACUAAACUUAGAGCUUUCCACCAGCCAAAUUGCAUGUACAAAUAGGUUCAUUAUUCUUAUGAUGUGACUUGCCAGUACAUUCAAUGUACUGACCUAUAGGGCUGCAACGUCUUAUGUUGCAGGAAUUUCUACGACGAGUAAGAAUUAUGUUGUAGGGUUAUGGUCUACACUCAACUUGCCGUUGGCGUUGAUGGGACUCCACACCCGUUCGAUUGUUUCCACUGAGAUUUAUGAGGUAUAUAUCAGUUUUGCAUUAUUUAUACAUUUGAUUGAACUUUGAUAUAUACAUUGAUGUACUGUGUGUGCCAGCAUAUCGAUCCAGGGAUGGCCCGGAUACACAGAGGCUUGACAGUUUGAGCUCGGGUCGCUACAGAGAUGGUAUCAGAGCACAUGUUGACUAUAGGACGUGACCCUAGAAACUGGAAAGCCCUUAGGAAAAGAUUUCUCUAAAAGUUUAUUUUCAAAAAGAUCCUUUACCUCUCUUCUUUUCUGAGCUUUAUCAAAUCUUUCCUUUUACCCCAAAUAGGUAGGCAAUAUCCCUUUUCCCUUUCACCACGCGGAGGAUCAACUGAUGAGACCACUCCAAGAAGGGCAAGAUAUCGGCCAACUGAUGGCCACUUCAAAGUAAAGAGGAUUUCAUCAUGCAUUAGAACAGUUAAUGCUACGACAGUCGAAGACUCGAAGAAUUUGAAGACACUGAAGAAUUCCAAGAUUUAUAUGACCUUUAGAAGACCAAACCCUUGUUGUGUACUCACGUUAGAUGCGAUGAUUUGUGAGCUGUCAUAUUUGGUGUGUGUUUUCCGAUGCAAUAAAUAAAACUUAUUUUCAAAACUAUAUUGUUUGUAUUUUGUGUAUCUUUCUCUAUCCCUCUUAUCUCAUCCCAAAACCCUUGGACCCAAUAGAUGAUGAAUGAAGAUGGACUUGUAUUCUCUGGACCGAUCACUCGGUUAGAGGAAGAGCUAUGGAUUCAAAACAUGGAGAGUCACUUCGAGAGCAAUUUGGUUGCAAGGAAGUAUGAGGUUCAAUAUGCUCUUUAAUACUUUACAAAAAGUGCUACAACAUGGUGGAAAAUGCAUCAAGCCAUACAAGGAUGUAAUGGAGCAAAAACUUGGGAGGAAUUGAAGAAGACUCUAUUGGGAUCCCGUCUUAUCCGGAAGCACGGUGAUAAACUGAUGAAGAAACCUUGUGCCUGCAAGAUAUGUGGAGAAAUAGGACACACCCAUGAAGAACACAAGGAUGGAUGCCCUCAUUAUGAAGGAAAUCACCCAGCAGAAGAGUGCCCAACUAGGCAGGUUACUUGUUUCUUGUGUGAAGGAACUACGCACUACCCUGCCCAGUGUCAUAUUUACCCCAGGGUACAAGAAAUUACCAAGAAGAAGUGGGGUUUGAUCGACAAGAGAUAGAAGAAUUGAUCGGAAUGAAGAAGUCGAGGAAGAGAAAGAGCAUGUAUCCCCAGAACAACCCAGUUUCUACAGAAAAGGACCUGAGUCAUAUCACUUGUUACAGCUGCAAGGAUUUAGCUCAUUAUUCUAGCAAAUGCCCACCAAGGAAGCCAAGAACCCAAGGAGCCAAGAUAACCACCAGGAACCCCUGGAUUUGUCUGACGCCAUUUGUUUACGCUGCAAAGGAGUAGGACAUUUUGUCAGAGAAUGUUCAGACCCGAGGAAAGCUUGAGCAGAGUAGUUGAGAUCUUGAUAUUGGAAUAAAGCAUGUAAUAAAUGUGGAACGCACUUUUAUUUUCGUGGGGGGUGUUGAUACGUCUCCAACGUAUCUAUAAUUUUUGAUUGCUCCAUGCUAUAUUAUCUACUGUUUUGGACUAUAUUGGGCUUUAUUUUCCACUUUUAUAUUAUUUUUGGGACUAACCUAUUAACCGGAGGCCCAGCCCAGAAUUACUGUUUUUUUGCCUAUUUCAGUGUUUUGGAUAAACGGAAUAUCAAACGGAGUCCAAACGGAAUAAAAUCUUCGGGAACGUGAUUUUCUCACCGAACGUGAUCCAUGAGACUUGGACCUUGCUCUAAGGAACAAAAGAGGCGGUCACGAGGGUGGGGGGUGCCCCCCCUAGGGCGCGCCCCCUGCCUCGUGGGCCCCUCGUUGCUCCUUCGGCGUACUUCUUCCUCCUAUAUAUACACAUGUACCCCCAAACGAUCAGAAGAGGAGCCAAAAACCUAAUUCCACCGCCGCAACUUUCUGUAUCAGAAGAGAUCCCAUCUUGGGGCCUGUUCCGGAGCUCUGCCAGAAGAGGGCCGUCAUCACGGAGGGCUUCUACAUCAUCCUAGCCCCUCUGAUGAAGUGUGAGUUGUUUACCUCAGACCUUCGGGUCCAUAGUUAGUAGCUAGAUGGCUUCUUCUCUCUCUUUGAAUCUCAAUACAAAGUUCUCCCCCUCUCUUGUGGAGAUCUAUUCGAUGUAAUCUUCUUUUUGCGGUGUGUUUGUUGAGACCGAUGAAUUGUGGGUUUAUGAUCAAGUCUAUCUAUGAAUAAUAUUUGAAUCUUCUCUGAAUUCUUUUAUGUAUGAUUGGUUAUCUAUGCAACUCUCUUCGAAUUGUCCGUUUGGUUUGGCCAACUAGAUUGGUAGUUCUUGCCAUGGGAGAACUGCUUAGCUUUGGGUUCGAUCUUGUGGUGUCCUUACCUAGUGACAGAAGGGGCAGCAAGGCACGUAUUGUAUCGUUGCCAUCGAGGAUAAAAAGAUGGGGUUUAUUUCAUAUUGCAUGAAUUUAUCUCUCUACAUCAUGUCAUCUUGCUUAAGGCGUUACUCUGUUUUUAACUUAAUACUCUAGAUGCAUGCUGGAUAGCGGUCGAUGAGUGGAGUAAUAGUAGUAGAUGCAGAAUCGUUUCGAUCUACAUGUCACGGACGUGAUGCCUAUAUACAUGAUCAUGCCUAGAUAUUCUCAUAACUAUGCUCAAUUCUGUCAAUUGCUCAAUAGUAAUUUGUUCACCCACCGUAGAAUACUUAUGCUCUUGAGAGAAGCCACUAGUGAAACCUAUGGCCCCCGGGUCUAUUCUCAUCAUAUCAAUCUCCAUCACUUUAAAUCUUGCUUUGUUUUUACUUUGCUUUUACUUUUUAAUUUGCAUCUUUAUACCAAAAAUACCAAAAAUAUUAUAUCUAUCAGAUCUCAUUCUCGUAAGUGACCGUGAAGGGCUUGACAACCCCUAAUCGCGUUGGUUGCGAGUAGCUAUCGCUUUGUGCAGGUACGAGGGACUUGAGCGUGGGCUCCUACUGGAUUGAUACCUUGGUUCUCAAAAACUGAGGGAAAUACUUACGCUACUGUGCUGCAUCAUCCCUUCGUCUUCGGGGAAAACCAACGCUAGCUCAAGAUGUAGCAGGUGUUGAGUUGAGUUACCGAAUGGAAAUUGUAAUAGCUCAUGAAGCAAUAAAAAUUGAGGUGUUUGGAAUCUCAUAUGAAAUGUUAUGAGUUGUUUGUUGAUUGUGAGUGCCUCUCUCACUAUGUCACCCAGACAUAAACCUUGAACCCAUGGACAAGCUGACCCCAAAACCUUCACUAAAAAAACGACAUUUCACCCAAGGAAAUACAUGCAUUAUCCUAAGUACCCCUUCUAUCUUAUACCUGCAGAUGGCAACCCUUUACGAGUCUUUUCUCAAGGGCCCAGAAACGAUCAUGACCCUAACUAGUGAUCAGGAUUACCCAAAGAUCCUCAAGGACAUGAUGAAGCAUAUUCAUCUUGAAGGAGAUGCAGUCUACAAGGGUUAUCCUUUCAUGGAGAAUGGAGUUGAACUUUGGUACGUGGAGGUACACCUCCACCGUGUGAAGGGAGUUUUCCCAAAGAGUAUGGGGCAAUACUUUUUCAUUUCUCGAGUACCCCGAGCAACAUUCUUCGACUCUGUUCGUGAAACUGCUAUGGAAGCCAUACGUCAGAUUGGAGAAAUACUUGAAGCCAGACUUCGUUAUACUCAGGAAUACCCGAGGGAGGUGCAUGCAGAGAUGAUGGAGAUGAAGCUCAUGGCCACCAUGAUGAAGCAAAAGGUCGAUGAUUUCAAGGACCACAUUGUACAAUUCCAGUGGGACUAAAUUAUCUUCAAGAAGGGCAAAUGAAUAAAGAUGGAAGUAAUGCUUGACCAUAGCAAACUAUGUGGAUGGCAGCUUUUUGUAAUAGAGUACUUUUGAAAUUUGAGUUUUGAGUAGUGGUUAAGGAUGUAAUAAAGGAUUUGAUAUGAAGAGAAUUAUGGAUGAACCAGUGCAUUUUUUGGCGAUACCUGUCUGUGCGAACACUUGACCAAUGGAAAAGGAAAUGUAUGCCAUAGAGUGAAGUUUGGACAAAUGAGUUGGAGUUUGGUUUUAGUUAUGAUGGUUACCCCAAGAGUAUGAAGGAAUGAAGUACUAUUGGAUUUAAAGGAGAUGUAAUGUUGGAAUAUGGAACAAUAGUAACUCCAAGGAUGAGUUAAAGAUAUACAAGUGUUGAAGUGGGCCAUAACCCACAGGACCCAGGAUUUGAUAAGGAAACAAGCACAAUCUUGUUGAAGAAAAUAAUUCUGAAAGAAGCCAUGAUUUCAUCAGCAUACGUUUCAUAGGAGGUUACAUAAACCCAGGAGUUGUGAAUAAACGAUAGAGGUUUUCUUUGGCUUGCAGAACCAAUGGAUUUAUCCGAACCCAGUUCGUGGAGAAGAGAAGUUCUGCAAUGCUUGUGAGGAUGCCCAAGGGCUAGAAUGCGUGAUUCACUAUCUGCGUAUGUGGUAAUGAUUCAAGUACGACAUGGAUUGGCCCCCAUACCGGAGACUUCUAUCAUGAGCUAUCAUAUGAUUGAUAGAAAAUCAGAGAGCCUUAAAACCCUAGAAGAGUGUCGACACGACAAGCCAAAAGCCUUAGAAUGGCAGGAUGAUGGAAACCCUGUACAAGCACCUAUUGCCAACCGUAGGUUAUGCGGUGAGGUUCAACCCAGACCCAUUUCCUGUAGGAGGAACCAGAAAUUGUCGACCACCAUGAGGUUUUCGAUAGUUGUUUAGCAUUGGCGCCAGACCUGUCAAGUCUCAGAAGGAUCCUAUUUUGAUGCAAGGAAUCCUGAUAUUGAUGAAAAGGCCAUGCCCUUACCAGAAGAGCAAAAGUGAAGGGGUUAUCUCAGAGAAUAUGAGAAGACCGACACCGUCAACGCAAAGGAUGGAGUUCAUGAGUUUUAUUGGAACUGUAACCAUGCUUCUAAGGGUGGUAGCACCCCAUUUCUUGUGUUGAUGAAUGGAUUUUCAAGGAGAACCCCCAAACCUAACAUUCUCUCUAGCCUCUUCGAAUCUCGAGGACGAUAUUCAUUUUAAGGGUGGUAGUUUGUAACAUCCCAAAAUUCUAAAAUUUGGAAUGUUAUGUUAAAUAAUUAAUUAUGAUUGUUUGUUUGUUGUGUGAUUGAUUGUGUGAAAAUGAUUGGAAAUUGAAAACUUUUUGAAAGUGGAAAGAGAGGGAAUAAAAGGACUUUCCCGAAACUUUUCAUCUUGCAUUUUGAUCUUCCUGAAUUCAAAUUCAUUUCAUCAUAAAACCCUAGAGUGAAGAUAAUAUAACUUCUUCCAUUUAAAGAAAUGAAAAAAGGGGUUUGAAAAUGAUUUGAAUUCCAUUUGAAAAAUUUUAAAUUUAGAAACUUUAAGCAACUCAAUGAGUACAUGAGGGAAGAUAAAAUGACUUCUUCAGAUCGAUGGAAGAGAGUUGGAAGUUUCAAAGGAAUAAUUUGAAGUCACUUUGAAGUUAUUUAAAACUCAUUUUUCCAUUUGAAGUUGUUUGAAAUUCCAAAUUUCUAAUCCUCUUGGGAGUUAUUUAGUUUUAAUUCAAAUUAUUUUUCCCCUAAAAAUAAAUAGAUGGGAAUAAGGGUAAAUUGAUUCCCUUCAAUAGAAAAUUAGGAGAAAUAUAUCUGAAAUCAUUUUCCUAUUUUAAAAAUGAUUUUUAUUGAUUUUAAAUGCAAUAGUAGCACUGUUUGAAUUUUAUGAAUUUUUAUGGAAUUUCGUUGAACUUGAAAAAUAAUUCAUCUUAUUGCUGCUAUUUUUCUGAGCAUUUUGGUAUAUAAUAUUCCUACAUAAUUUUUUUAGUUAUUUUCCUAUGUUGAAGUUUUUGUUUCUACAAAAAAAAACAUGCGCCCGCCAGCCGGCCCAGGGCCUUCGGCCCAAGAGCCAGCCAGCAUACCGAGCCGGCCCAGCAGCGCCCCAGGCCGCCCGAGGCCUUACGCCUCGCUCGCCCGCGCCCCUCUUCCCUCGCUCGCUCUCUCCCACUGCCGCUGCCAGUGGGGCCCGCAACCCUCCGUCCCUAACCUCCCGCUCCUCCCAUUCAGAUAGGGCACGCGCGUGCUGCCCGCAACUGCCGGCAGCUCCGCUCGGGAUAGAGCUCAUCCGCAGUCUCCGCAGCCUCUUCUUGCACCUAUAAAUUCCCCCGACUCCCCUCGUUCGAUUCUGCAAUUCCGCAACGAUCCACGCCGCUCACAGCCGCCGCCUUCGUCGUUUGGAUCUUGCCCGCCGGAGCUACCUUGCCGGUCCGUUCCAUCGUCCGUAAGACUUCCUCGACCCCGUUCUUCUUUGUCAAUUGACUCCCCGCGUCGAGGCGCAUCUGAUUGACAAAAAUUUGCCGCCUAGGUCGUACCAGAGACGUCGCCCCGACGCGCCGUGCUCUUGCCGAAGCACCGGAGCUCCGCCGCCACCCUCCGCUCGUCGCUGGCCACCCCACCGCCCGCCGACCCCACCAGCACGCCGCCCACGCCGCGCCUGACCUCCCCGACCCCUUCGUCGCCGCUGAGGACCACCAGAGACGCCGCCCUGUCCGCCGUCCGCCGCCUGACGCCAGCGGCACCGCACCUGUUCGCCGUCCUCGCUCGCUAUGAGCCGCUGAUCCUCGCUCAUUUUUUGUUGUUGUUGUUGUAUUAGAUCGGGUAACCGUGGUUUUAUUAAACCGUGCGGUUUAGUAAAAAACCGGUCUCCGGUUGUCUUUUUAUUUAGCCACGGUAGCCGUUUUAUUUAUUCAGUGGCCGUCCGCCGUUUAGCCUGAGCCGCGAACGCUGCUCAGCCACCCGGAAGCCGCCACGUGGCCAGGGACCUAGUCGUGAAUAAAACUUUCAUAGUUAAGUCCCUGAGUUUCCAAUUUAGCCCCUAAACUUCGAAUGGUUGUAUCUUUUUAACCGUAGCUCCAAAUUCGACGAAACCAGUGGCAAGAUGUUCGUCUUGAUUAGUUUUAUCCAGAGAACCAACUUUGAAAACUUUUGGCCAAAUUCAAAUUUGAACUUUAUUCAGAUUUGAAUUCAAACUUCAACUGGCCAUAUCUCUUAAACCGUAGCUCCGAUUGGUGUGAUUCUUUUUGCAACGUGUCAUCAUAGCCAAACCCUACCACCUGGACCUUGUCACAAUACUUUUCACACAACUAGAAUCUGUCUAUGAUAGUUUUACUAUUAUGCCAUGCAUGCACUUUAGUACACAUCAUAGUUUUGAACCCCAUGUCACAAGUUGUUUUGCACUUAGGAUAUUUCCAUGCUAGUUAACUGUGUUGAAUGUUCAUUUGGUUUUUCUGAGACUUUGUGCUUUGCAUGUUCUUCUUGGUUCUCUGAAAUGAUUGCUGAGAGUGACGAAUAGUUCUAUGAAGUAAAUUUCUGAGAGUGGUAUAAUCUUCAUCAACUAUUACCAGGCAAGUUCACAUUUGACCAUUUUUCCAAUUACCUAUGUUUAUAUUAUGCACUUAGUCCUUUUGUGGUAGGAUUGCAUGGUAGGAUUUAUUGUUACCAGAUGGCUAUGCCGUUACCUAGUAGUUCAUUUGAGGUAGGUAUGAUCUAUACAUCCUUGUCACCACCGUGUAAGUUUAUUUUUGCCUCGCUAAAUGUAGACGUGGUUUGGGAAGCGAACAUGGCGAGACAUGAGUGACAAAGUAGUAAUCAAGAUCAAGACUUGUAAAUGAACUACCUGGGCGGUAUUUGGUUUGAAUGGUGGCGAAGUACAGUGGGAGCAUGCAUGGUUAAUCCAUGGUGGUGCACCACUAGUGGUUGGCCGCUCAGGCUCAAAGAGAUGAAUCGUAUUCUCAUGUCUAGAAGCUUAUGUGUGCAGCCACAAGCCAAUAUGGGCUCUGGCUUAGUUGAGUAGUUAGUGUGACCCCUUCCGGGAUGGGCUAGCAGAUGUAGAAUGAUGUAGGUGUACCGGCCUAUCCCUGGGUUAAGGGGGAACAUUUUAGAAAGACUAUGUCUCGGUCAUCCUGUUCUCAAACGCCAGGCAGUGCGAGAACUCCAGGGGAGGCGAUCGAGUCUUGUGGGGAAAAGUGCGCAAACCUCUGCAGAGUGUUAAAAUCUAAUCGAUUAGCCGUGUCACCGGUUACGGACAACUUGAGAAUCUAGUAGUGGAAAUGCUGGGAGAUCUCAUCACUCUUAAUUAAACAGUUGGGUUUUAAAUGAAACUUUGGGAAUGGAUUGAGUUGGGUUUGCCAACUCAUCCUAUGCUAUACUAUAGUGAUAGACUAAUAUCUUUUAUUCUAGGGAAAAACUAGCUUUAUGCAAAAACUAAACUUAGGGCUUUCCACCAGCCAAAUUGCAUGUACAAAUAGGUUCAUUAUUCUUAUGAUGUGAAUUACCAGUACAUUCAAUGUACUGACCUACAGGGCUGCAACGUCUUAUGUUGCAGGAAUUUCUAAGACGAGUAAGAAUUACGUGGUAGGGUUACGGUCUACACUCAACUUGCCAUUGGCGUUGAUGGGACUCUGCGCCCAUUCGAUUGUUUCCCUGAGAUUUAUGAGGUAUAUAUCAGUUUUACGUUAUUUAUACAUGUGAUUGAACUUUGAUAUAUACAUUGAUGUACUGUGUGUGCCAGCAUACCGAUCCAGGGAUGGCACGGAUACACAGAGGCUUGACCGUUUGAGGUCGGGUUGCUACAGCAAAUCAGCUAGAUCUUUCAAGGCAAACUCUGAGAUCAAAUCAUGCAGAAUGGCAUUAGUAGCACUUUGUGAUGAACUUGCAACUAUGAUGCAUCCACAUAUAUGAGAACAAAGAUAACUACUUUUCCCUUGUUAUAAAUGAACAAAGAUGUAUCAGCUUGGAAGCACUAAAACCAAGACAUUUCAAUUGAGAGCUCAACCUGGAGUACCAUGCUUUAGGUGCUUGUUUCAAGCUAUAGAGUGCUUUGUCAAGCUUGCACACAUAAUGUGGUGUUUUCUUACUCUCAUAUCCUGGUGGUUGUCUCAUGAAUACCUCCUCUUCCAGAACACCAUGUAAAAACGCAUUCUGUACAUCUAGCUAUCUCAAGCUCGAUCCCUUGGAUACAGCACUAGCUAACACAAAUCUUAUAGUUGCAGCUUUUACAACCGGACUGAAGGUAUCCUCAUAGUCUAUGCCAUAGCGUUGUUUAAAGCCCUUUGCAACUAGACGUGCCUUAUAUCUGUCAAUGGAGCCAUCUGCUUUCUUUUUAAUUCUAUACACCCACUUGCAAUCAAUAAUAUUUUUACCUCUCUUAUCAGGCACAAGAUGCCAAGUUUUGUUCCUCAUAAGUGCAGAAUAUUCCUCAUCCAUUGCUUUCUUCCAUUUAGGGUCACCAAGUGCAUCAUUCAGUGUCAUUGCUUCCCCUGAAAUACAUAGCAUGCCAUACCGUAUAGUACCAUCAGUUUGUAUUUUGGGAUUAUGGAUACCUUUUUGUAACCUGGUCAUAACUCGCAAGGGAGCUUCUUGUUGCAUGUGUACAGGAACAAGAUCCAUUGGCGCAGAAGAUCCACCUCUUGCUACUGAAUCUGCUGGUGAUGCAGAAGAUCCAUCGGACACUGGCGCAGAAGAUCCACUGGACCUUGGUGUGGCCCCCCUGCCACUGGACGCCCAGGAAACCACAUGGCUUCCAGGCAUAGACGAUCCGCUGCCAGGUUGCAUGUGCGCGGGACGCGAGGAGGAGCCGACCGCGCGACUGGUCCCACUGGGCCCACUAUCGGGUGACGCGUCGGCGUGGGAGUGGCCCUCCCAGGAAUCUGGGCCGCUGCCACCUUGUACGCGAUCCAAGAAAGAUCUGUGCGCACGAUCCGAGGCCUGCAAGAGCGCAGGAGUACCAAGGAAUUCAACUGAUAUGAUUACUCUACUUAUUGAUGUGCAAUAAUGUAAUAUGACUAUUAAGAAGCAUUCUAACUGUGGAGGUGGUUUCACACUUCUUACUACAACAAAGGUGAUUGAAGGAUUCCUCGGCAGAAACUAGAACGCACACCUUCAAUAAUUGACGAGCUAAUUGGUUGUUGAACUUCAUGUUGAAGAUAUCUCAUGUAGGCCCAGGCCGGCGCAUAUAGUUAGUUGAGGAGUUGGUUAGCUUAGAGAUAGACUAUCAUCUAAUUAAACUUUUGUAUCUCUAUCUCCUAAUCUCUUGUACUCCAAGUUAUGUAUGCGUACAUGGGAUAAGCCUCAUCUCAAUCAAUAAAUACCCGCGGCCCUCUCUCGUGGAGGGUAGAACGCUUCCGAUAUAUUUCCUAUAUGGUCAUCAGAGCUUUCUCUUCUCGUCCAAAAACCAGAAAACCUAGAUUGCCAUCCUUCCCACCAUGUCAUCCUCCUCCAACCCCCCGACUCUCUCUGGUCUUGGUUACCAAAUCAGUGAGAAGCUCACCGCUGAGAACUACCUGCUGUGGAAGGCACAUAUCCUCCAGCACUUCCUUGGUGCCGGGCUCUAUGGCUAUCUAGACGACAACAUCGUCGAACCAGAGAAGCUCAUGGUCGCGAAGGACAAGGAUGGAAAGGAUCAAGCGGUCCCCAAUCCGGCGCAUGAUUCUUGGGUGCGGCAGGACCAACAGGUCCUUGGCCACAUCAUCAACAAUCUCUCGAUGGAGGUGCUGGUCUCGGUCGUCUCCAUUGGCGUGAGCUCUCUGGACAUCGAUGCGUAACAUGUUUGCUUCACAAUCUCAUUACCGCAUUAAUAAUAUCCAGAUUUCCCUGUCCAGUGCCUAAAAGGGCAAUCAGCGUCGGCAUACUUUGCUCGGAUGCGCAGAUAUGCUGAUGAACUUGCUGCUACCGGGAGACCUCUGCAAGAGGAUGAGCUCACCUCCUUCCUCCUGGCUGGGCUGGACCUCGACUACAACCCCCUUAUCUCAGCCCUCGACGACCGGACGGAUCCUAUCACCAUCGAUGACUUAUACUCACAGGUCUACAACUUUGAUCAGCGGGUGUCGCUGCUCAUGGGAGGCGUGGGCUUCAAGUCCUCUGCAAACUCUGCCCAGCAUGGUGGGCCACCUCCAUCUCGAGGCUUUGGAAAGCCGAGGGAUCAGAAGAAGCAAGGUGGUGGCGGCGGCUACAAGAAGAAACAAGGUGGCGGUGGGCAUCCCUACUACAUCAACACCAAGGGAGCUCGCUCUGGUGCCCCUGGAGGGCCAGGAGGUCUAGGAGGCCUCGAUGGUCCUCCACCCGCCAACAACCACAAGGGGAACGACCCCAUCCAGUGCCAGAUAUGCAUCAAGUUCGGGCACAGCACCAAGGACUGCUGGUAUCAUUUUGAUGAUGAUGCCCUUGAAUAAAAAGUUGUUGCUGCCACCCAGUAUGGGGUGGAUACAAAGUGGUAUGUUGACAGCGAUGCAACCGGUCAUCUCAUCGGCGAACUAGAGAAGUUGACAGUCCGCGACAAGUAUCGUGGGCAGGGUGAAAUCCAUGGCGCAAACAGAUCAGGUAUGAGGAUAGAUCAUGUUGGUCAUUCAGUUUUUCAAACCCCUAACCGUCCCAUCCAUCUUAAAAGAAUUUUACAUUAUCCUCAUGCCCAAACCAGUCUUCUUUCUGUAAAUCAUAUUGCCUUGGAAAAUCAAGUAUUUCUUGAAUUUCACCCCUUCUACUUUUCGAUCAAGGACCAGGCAACGAGGAGAAUCCUCUACAUAUGUAGAUGCAUUGGUGGGCUCUAUCCAUUGAUUCCUCGCUUUAGGAGUUCAAAUAAACAAGUUCUUGGUCUCACCAAAUUAUCUUCGGCAAGGUGGCACGAUCGAUUUGGGCAUCCUUCUUUUGCUAUAGUUCAACGAGUGCUUAGGAAAAAUAAGCUCCCUUUUGUUGGUGAGCCUAGUAGUGAAAAAAAUUGUGAUUCAUGUCAACGAGAAAAAAGUCAUCAACACCCUUCCCCUGUGUCAACUAGCGUUUCUUCCAAACCAUUAGAACUAUUUUUUUUCUGAUGUAUGGGGCAAGCAGCUCUUUCUGUUGGGAGACACAAGUAUUAUGUAAACUUUAUUGAUGAUUAUAGUAAGCAUACUUGGAUCUACCUUAUCAAGCAUAAAUCUGAUGUGUUUCAAGUAUUCCAAAAUUUCCAAGCACUUGUUGAACGAAAAUUCUCUAGCAAAAUAAUCUCUGUCCAAUCGGACUGGGGUGGCGAGUAUGAAAAAUUAAACUCGUUCUUUCAAAAACUGGGAAUUUCCCAUCAUGUCUCUUGUCCCCAUGCGCACCAACAGAAUGGUUCUGCAGAACGCAAGCAUAGACAUAUUGUCAAAGUUGGUCUUUCUCCUUGCUAAUGCAUCCAUGCCAUCGAAGUUUUGGGAUGAAGCAUUCAUCACUGCUACACAUCUCAUUAAUAUGUUGCUAAGCAGGGUUAUCAAUUUUGAAACACCCACCGUGUUGGGGAACGCAGUAUUUAAAAAAAAAUUCCUACGAUCACGCAAGAUUUAUCUAGGAGAUGCAUAGCAAGGAGAGGGGAGAGUGUGUCCACGUAUCCUCGUAGACCGAAAGCGGAGGCAUUUAGUAAUGCGGUUGAUGUAGUCGAACGUCUUUGCGAUCCAACCGAUCAAGUACCAAACGCACAGCACCUCCGCGAUCUGCACACGUUCAGCUCGGUGACGUCCCUCGUACUCUUGAUCCAGUUGAGGCCGAGGGUGAGUUGCGUCAGCAUGAUGGUGUGUUGAUGGUUAUGAUGAAGUUACCAAUGCAAGGAUUCGCCUAAGCACUACGACAAUAUGACCGAGGUGGAAAACUGUGGAGGGGGGCACCGCAACGGUUAAAGAUCAACUCUUGUGUCUAUGAGGUGUCCCCCUCCCCCAUAUAUAAAGGAGGGGAGGAGGAGGAGGGCCGGCCUCAAGGGGCGCUCCCAAGGGGGGGAUUCCUACUCCUAGUAGGAGUAGGUUUCCCCUUUCCUAGUCCAAGUAGGAGAAGAAGGAAGGAGAGGAAGAAGAGAAGGAAAGGGGGCCCGCCCCCCUUAGCCCUAGUCCAAUUCGGUUUGGGCUACGGGAGGCGCGCGCCACCUCUUGGCCUACCUCCUCUCUUCCACCACUAGGCCCAUAAGGCCCAAUAACUUCCCGACGGGGGUUUCGGUAACCCCCAGUACUCCGAAACUUAUCCGAAAUGACCCGAACCAUCCCAGUGUCCAAAUGUAACCUUCCAAUAUAUGAAUCUUUAUGUCUCGACAAUUUCGAGACUCCUCGUCAUGUCCAUCAUCUCAUCCGGGAUUCCUAAAAACCUUCGGUACAUCAAAUCACAUAACUCAUAAUACAUAUCAUCAUCGAACGUUAAGCAUACGGACCCUGCGGGUUCGAGAACUAUGUAGACAUGACCGAGACUCAUCUCCGAUCAAUAACCAAUAGCGGAACCUAGUUGCUCAUAUUGGUUCCUACAUAUUCUACGAAGAUCUUUAUCAGUCAAACCGCAUAACAACGUACAUUGUUGCCUUUGUCAUCGGUAUGUUACUUGCCCGAGAUUCGAUCGUCGGUAUCAUCAUACCUAGUUCAAUCUUGUUACCGGCAAGUCUCUUUACUCGUUCCGUAAUGCUCAUCCCGUGACUAACUCAUUAGUCACAUUGCUUGCAACGCUCAUAGUGAUGUGCAUUACCGAGAGGGCCCAGAUAUACAUCUCCGAUACACAGAGUGACAAAUGCUAAUCUCUAUCUAUGCCAACUCAACAAACACCAUCGGAGACACCUGUAGAGCAUCUUUAUAAUCACCCAGUUACGUUGUGACGUUUGAUAGGACACAAGGUGUUCCUCCGGUAUUCGGGACUUGCAUAAUCUCAUAGUCUGAGGACCAUGUAUAAGUCAUGAAAAAAUAAUAGCAAUAAACUAAAUGAUCAUACUGCUAAGCUAACGGAUAGGUCUUGUCCAUCACAUCUAAAUGGUUUUUUCUUUUCUUGAUUAAUACUCCCUCCGUCCCAUAAUAUAAGACAUUUUUUGACAUUACACUAGAGUCAAAAAACGUCUUACAUUAUAGGACAGAGGGAGUAGUAUUUGUUUUUGGAUGCUUGCAGGUGUUGGAAGAGAACUACUAGGUUGUUGUCCAAGUCACUUCUCACAAAUGUGUGACGCCUGCCCCCACGUGUGAGCCAGCGCAGCCGAAGGCGGCGCACUAACAACGAAACCUAACAAAUUAACUGGCCACACGUGCCAGCCGGUUCCCACGGGUGCGAUGCAUGCCCCCACUUGCAAGCCAGAGGGCGGCCCUACGGACGAGCCGGCAUAGGUGUACAUGAUGCACGCACUAUCUGUUGCGACCGGACCAGCUCGGCGCAUUGCCAGCGGAUGCCAACGGCAAAAUUUCGUGUUUUGACCCUUUUCUGAAACCUAUUAAAGAUCUGACCCUAGGCAGCAGAAGACAUCCUUCAAAUUGAUCACAAUCUUCUUACCCCAACUGAGACCGAGGCUUUCAAGAUGAUUGAGUUAUCCCGUAUACAAAACAAGUAUGUCACACGUGAAAAUAUUUUGUUGAAGGAGCAUAUCAUCGCACUCAAGGGCAUUAUCCGCAAGUUGGAGGACCUCCUACGCUCGAUGUGCGACUAUCCAUCAUCAACAACUCCACCUUCUUCAUAAACAAAGAAGAACUGAGUAUCUGGUAUGGGCACUCCACUUGGCAACUGCCAAGCUUGGGGGAGUGCCCCGGUAUCGUAUCACCAUCACUUCUAUCUUUACCGUUUUCCUUAGUUCGAUCCUUUUGAUAAUAUUUUGAUCUAGUAGAAUAAAACUUCUUAGUAUGAUCUAGUUGUGAGUUUUGCUUUAUGAUCCUUCUAUGUAAUCGAGUCCGUGAGCUAUAUAUAAUAAAGAUUAGUGUUGAGUCAAGGACUUGAUUAUUUUGCCAUAAUCUUGAGUGAAUAAAAGAAAAGAGAAGAAAUAAAAAGAAACAAAGAGAUCAUAUGGAUCUUAUGGAGAGUAAUGAGCUCACAUAGAAAGAGUAUGAUGAAUAAAAGUUGUUGAGAGUUGACAAACAUAGUUUUGGUCAUCGUUGCAAUUAAUAGGAAGUAAUAAAGAAAGAGAGGUCUUCACAUAUAAAUACACUAUCUUGGACAUCUUUUAUGAUUGUGAGCACUCAUUAAAAUAUGACAUGCUAAAGAGUUGACGUUGGACAAGGAAGACAAUGUAAUGGGUUAUGUUUUCUUACAUCUGAGAUAAAUUAUAUUGUCAUGGAUCAUCCAACAUGAUUGAGCUUGCUUUUCCCCCUCAUGCUAGCCAAAUUCUUUGCACCAAGUAGAGAUACUACUUGUGCUUCCAAACACCCCUAAACCAAUUUUUCCAUGAGUGUCCACCAUACCUACCUAUGGAUUGAGUAAGAUCCCUCAAGUAAGUUGUCAUCAGUGCAAGUAAUAAAAAUUGCCCUCUAAAUAUGUAUGACUUAUUAGUGUGGGAGAAAAUAAGCUUUAUAUGAUCGUAUGAUAUGGAAUAAAUAAAAGCGGCGGACUGCAUAAUAAAGGUCCAUAUCACAAGUGGCAAUAUAAAGUGACGUUCUUUCGCAUUAAGAUUUUGUGCAUCCAACCAUAAAAAUGCAUGACAACCUCUACAUCCCUCUGUGAAGGGCCUAUCUUUUUCUUUUAUCUCCUACCUUGCAUAAGAGUCAUGGUGAUCUUCACCCUUCCUUUGUACAUUUUAUCUUUUGGCAAGCACAACAUGUUGGAAAGAUCCUGGUAUAUCUGGCUAAUUGGAUGUGAAUUUUCAUGAACUAUUAUUGUUGACAUUACCCUUGAGGUAAAACGUUGGGAGGCAAAACUAUAAGCCCCUAUCUUUCUCUGUGUCCGAUUAAAACUCCAUACCCAUAAGUAUUGCGUGAGUGUUAGCAAUUGUGGAAGACUAUAUGAUAGUUGAGUAUGUGUACUUGCUGAAAAGCUCUUAUAUUGACUCUUUCCUAUGUUAUGAUAAAUUGCAAUUGCUCCAAUGACUGAGAUUAUAGUUUGUUAGUUUUCAAUGAAGUUUGUGAUUCAUACUUGAAAUUGUGAUUGAAUUGUUACUCUAGCAUAAGAGAUCAUAUGACAAGAAUUAUAUAAGUUGUUGUUUUAAGAAUGAUCAUAAUGCCCUCAUGUACGUAUUUUAUUUUUAUCGACACCUCUAUCUCUAAACAUGUGGACAUAUUUUUCGAUUUCGGCUUUCGCUUGAGGACAAGCGAGGUCUAAGCUUGGGGGAGUUGAUAUGUCCAUUUUGCAUCAUGCUUUUAUAUCCAUAUUUAUUGCAUUAUGGGCUGUUAUUACACAUUAUGUCACAAUACUUAUGCCUAUUCUCUCUUAUUUUACAUGGUUUACAUAAAGAGGGAGAAUGUCGGCAGCUGGGAUUCUGGGCUGGAAAAGGAGCAAAUAUUAGAGACCUAUAGUACACAGCUCCAAAAGUCCUGAAACUUCACGGAAGUCAUUUUUAGAAUAUAUAAAAAAUAUUGAGCGCAAGAAGUUCCAGAGGGGGCCCACACCCUGGCCACGAGGGUGGGGGCCAGCCCUACCCCCCUGGGUGCGCCCCCUGCCUCGUGGGCCACCUGGUGGCCCUCCGAUGCCCAUCUUCUGCUAUAUGGAGUCCUUCGAUGAGAAAAAAAUGAUAAGCAAGCUUUCGGGAUGAGACUCCGCCACCACUAGGCGGAACCUUGGCGGAACCAAUCUAGGGCUCUGGCGUAGCUAUUCUGCCGGGGAAACUUCCCUCUGGGAGGGGGAAAUCAUCGCCAUCGUCAUCACCAAUGAUCUUCUCAUUGGGAGGGGGUCAAUCUCUAAGUCUGGGAUUGGUACCCGUGGGUUGCUAGUAGUGUUGAUUACUCCUUGUAGUUUAUGCUAGUUGGUUUAUUUGGUGGAAGAUCAUAUGUUCAGAUCCUAUAUGCAUAUUAAUAUCCCUCUGGUUAUGAACAUGAAUAUGCUUUGUGAGUAGUUACGUUUGUUCCUGAGGACAUAGGAGAAGUCCUGCUAUUAGUAGUCAUGUGAAUUUGGUAUUCGUUCGAUAUUUUGAUGAGAUGUAUGUUAUCUCUCCUCUAGUGGUGUUAUCACUACAAAAAAAGACACAUCCGUGACAUUUUGGGCCGAACGAUAUUUUUUCUGUCAUACAUAUGACACUUCUAUGACGAUAAUUGUGACAAAACCCGGUAUCAUCAUAGAUGUGAUGGGAUCCUACGUCUAUGACAAAAAAUCAUGACAGAAAAUGGGCUUUUCGUCCGGGGCGGGCCAGAGACGCAGCUGCAUGACAUUCUUUGGGCCAUCCAUGAUGGAAAAAACCGUGGUAGAAGCGAGGGGGAGGAAAAUUUCGGGGAGUUCCCGGUUACGGUGGGAGGUCGGGGGCCGAGCGAUGCGCGUUUCUCUCGUACACGUACGCACGUGUGUGCGAGGCGUUGGCUCUAACUGAACCCGAGCGAUUGCACUGCAGGCUACGCAUUAUUGAACCCGAGCGAUCGAUCGAUGGAUGUUAACUGAACCCGAUCGAGCGAUUCCUUCGCUACUGCUGCUAAUUNNNNNNNNNNNNNNNNNNNNNNNNNNNNNNNNNNNNNNNNNNNNNNNNNNNNNNNNNNNNNNNNNNNNNNNNNNNNNNNNNNNNNNNNNNNNNNNNNNNNNNNNNNNNNNNNNNNNNNNNNNNNNNNNNNNNNNNNNNNNNNNNNNNNNNNNNNNNNNNNNNNNNNNNNNNNNNNNNNNNNNNNNNNNNNNNNNNNNNNNNNNNNNNNNNNNNNNNNNNNNNNNNNNNNNNNNNNNNNNNNNNNNNNNNNNNNNNNNNNNNNNNNNNNNNNNNNNNNNNNNNNNNNNNNNNNNNNNNNNNNNNNNNNNNNNNNNNNNNNNNNNNNNNNNNNNNNNNNNNNNNNNNNNNNNNNNNNNNNNNNNNNNNNNNNNNNNNNNNNNNNNNNNNNNNNNNNNNNNNNNNNNNNNNNNNNNNNNNNNNNNNNNNNNNNNNNNNNNNNNNNNNNNNNNNNNNNNNNNNNNNNNNNNNNNNNNNNNNNNNNNNNNNNNNNNNNNNNNNNNNNNNNNNNNNNNNNNNNNNNNNNNNNNNNNNNNNNNNNNNNNNNNNNNNNNNNNNNNNNNNNNNNNNNNNNNNNNNNNNNNNNNNNNNNNNNNNNNNNNNNNNNNNNNNNNNNNGUGGAGGGGUGCCCGUGGAGGGGUGGUUGAACUGGACCCCGUGGUGUGGAGGGCUGGAUGAACAGUAGACGGUGGAGGGGUGGUUGAACAGUAGCCGGUGGAGUAACGCGCGGUGGAGGCUGGAUGAACAGGAGCCCGUGGAGGCUGGAGGAGGUCGACGGUGGAGAUGAACAGUAUCCCGUGGAGUCCCGUUUUGCGGUACGCCACACCCCUCCCAGUAAACAGGACCCCCGUUUCGACCGUAGCGCUCCAACACAAGUCAGUUUCCUCCAUUUUGCGGUACGCCACACCCCUCCCGAUCAACAGGACCCCCGUUUCAACCGUAGGAGGUCCGUUUCCUCCGUUUUGCGGUACGCCACACCCCUCCCGAUGAACAUGAUCCCGUUUCGAACAUGGCCAGUCGAACACAAGGCCGUUUCCUCCAUUCUGCGGUACGCCAGGCCUCGUUUCCAUCGCCUAUUCCGUCCAAGCCCUCCCGAUGAACACAACGCAUUCCGUUGCCUCCCCAUGAACACGACGCAUUUUGUUGCCUCCCCAUGAACACGACACAUUUCGUUGCCUCCCCAUGAACACGACGACGACGCUGUUUCUCAGUUCCGACCCAGCCUUGUACAUGAGCCCUCGUCGUACGUAUGCGCGAGUAGGCAUUCGAGACCCCGCCCGUAUGUACACAUACGUGGCCGUAUUUUCUUUCUUGCACCCUGACCGCUGUACAUACGUGUACAUGCUACGUGCGCGCCUCUACUACGACACAUGCGCGCCUCGACAUCGACCAGUAUAUAUGUACGUACACGUUCGCGACCAGAAUGACAACGCUACGUACGCUUCGACCAGGUAGGUCCCGACUGCCAGGCACUUCCUUGCAUGCGAAGAUGUAGCUGGUGGGUCCCAGCAGUCAAGGCACUACUAGGGACAAGCCUAUACACAGAAUCUUACCAGCAGCGCGCUUUAAAAUCAGGCGCUGCUGCUAAGUAGCAGUAGCGCAGGUUUUUAACCCUCGCUACUACUAAGUUGAUAGCAGUAGCGCUGGUUUUUUAGCCUCGCUACUACUAAGCGGUCACUACCGUGCCCCUCGGGACAUGCCAUAGUAGUAGCGCGGGUUUUUAACCCUCGCUACUCCUAAGUUGAUAGCAAUAGCGUUGGUUUUUACCCCUCGCUACUACUAAGCUGUCUCUACCGUGCCCCUGGGCCAUGCCAUAGUAGUAGCGAGGGUUAUAAAACCGUGCUACUACUAAGUUUUUACCCCUCACUACUACUAAGAGGUCUCAACCGUGCCCCUCCGGGACAUGCCAUAGUAGUAGCGAGGGGUAAAAUCCCUCGCUACUACUAAAGGUGCCAUUUUGAAACUCUACCCCCCUGGAUCGCCUUUUGGGUUUUGUAAAAAGCAAAAGAAAAUGAUAAAAACUUCAAAAAUUAAAAUCCUUCUAGAUUUAGUUAUGUUACUACAUCUACUAGUUAGGAAAAUUUAAAAACUUAAAUUUGGACAUGUUUUGCAAAAAGUGUCGGGAAAAUGUAAAACGGCUAUAACUUUUGCAUACGAUGUUAGAAAAAAACGUAUAAUAUAUCAAAAUGUUUCAAAAAUUAAAAUCCUUUGAGAUGUAGUUAUGUUACUACAUCUACUAGUUAGGAAAAUUUAAAAACUUAAAUUUGGACAUGUUUUGCAAAAAGUGUAGGGGAAAUGUAAAACGGCUAUAACUUUUGCAUACAAUGUCAGAAAAAAACGUAUAAUAUAUCAAAAUGUUUAGCACGAAAAUCUGCAUACGAUGUAGACAGCUACGGCCUAUUUGCAAAUUUUUAGAAUCCUCAAAUUCUAAAAGGAAAAAAAAUUAUGCUCAAAUUUCAGUUUUUUUAAUUUUGGUCAAAUCUGGUCAAACUGUGGUCAAACUAAUUCAAGAAGUAUUAGUGUUACUAAAUAAUUAUUUCAGUUUUUGGAAUUUUGGUCAAAUCUGGUCAAACUGUGGUCAAACUUUGGUCAAAAUGUGGUCAAACUCCUUAUUCAAGAAAUAUUAGUGUUACUAAAUAAUUAUUGUUUUUUAGAACAAUUGUUUUAAACUCAAACAGCAAAAUGUGUGACUUCAUGCUCAAGCUAAACUCCCGAGGGUUAAUAGGAUUGACAUCUUACUAUUGUCAGGAAAGCAACAAGUGCAGACCUGGAAUCGAGGGAGAAUAGAACCCGGAAGUUAAGCGUGCUCAGGCUGGAGUGGUGAGAGGAUGGGUGACCGUCCGGGAAGUUAGAUGAUUUGGAAUGAUGAGGGGUGAUUAGAGAUAAAAUUGAGCAGCGAUGAGGGUGAUUAGAUAUUAGAGGUUAAAAUAAUUCAGAAAUUUGAAAAUUCGCGCAAAAAAUUCGAAAAAAAAUUCUGCGGGUUAGUAGUAGCAUGGGUUUUUAACCACACUACUACUAACGGACGUAGUAGUAGCGCGGGUGGCACCCGCGCUGCUGCUAUACGUUAGCUGUAGCGCCUUAUUAGUAGCGCCGGCCCACGCGCUGCUAAUAGGCCCAAAACCCGCGCUGCUGCUAGGCUCUUCCCUAGUAGUGAGGAGGGGAAUUGUUUUAUUUUGUUUUGCCCGGACGCACUUCCUUCCGUCCGAAGGUGUAGCUAGUGGGUCCCAGCAGUCAGGGGGGAAACGUUUUUUUCGUGAAAUACGGUGGCCCGUCUGGUGGUCCCCGCUGUUAGGUGGAGGAAUAAUUAUUUUGCACAUAAUAAGGAGGCACUUCCUUGCUGCGGCCGUGGACCCAGGUGUCAGCCACUCCACGUACAGUCCACGUCCGAUGGAAGUCGUUCCUUGACCACGUUGACCACGCUGCACCGAGAGCACCAGGGCAGUGGACGACGGCGAGGCCUAGGAAGGGGACGACGAGGAGCUAGGGAAGACGCGGCAGUGGAAGCCUGUGCGGAGAGGAGUACGAGGGUUCACUGGUUCGGCUACGGUGUGAGGCUGCCGUCACCGCAGGGCCUGGCCAGCGGUGGGAAUAGUAGGGGGCGGUGAGGCGUCCGCAGCAGCACAGCCGACCAUGGGAGGCAGGAGCAUGCGGCACGACCGGCGCAACUUUGGGCGGCUGGAGCAAGAAGACCAGAGGUUGAAGAAGCACUACGGCUGUUGGAUGGACAUCGUACAGUCACUGGAGCUAGAAUCGUUCAUAUUGAUUAAAGUUGACAAAGGCCCCCGUCCCAGUCAACUUAGUAGGCCCACAAGUCAGCCUCCCACCAUGGUGGGUCCCAGCUAGCAGGGGGGUAUUCAUUUUUUUGUGCGUAAUAAGGAGGCACUUCCGGUGGGUCCGAGCUGAUAGCGGGGGGGACGUUUUUUUCGCGAAAUACGCUGGCCCGUACGGUGGGUCUGAGCAGUCAGGGGGGAAACGUUUUUUCGCAAAAUAAGGUGGCCCGUCCGGUCAGUCCCUGUUGUAAGGUGGAGGAAUAAUUAUUUUGCGCGUAAUAAGAAGGCACUUCCUUGCGGCUGCAUGGACCCAGCUGUCAGCCUCUCCACGUACAGUACUCUUCCGAUGGAAGUCGGUCGUUAACCACGUUGACCACGCCGCGCCGAGAGCACUAGGGCGGUGGUCUGGACGAUGGCGAGGCCUAGGAAGGGGACGACGCGGAGCCGGGGAAGACGCAGCAGCGGAAGCCCGCGCGGAGAGGAGUACGAGGGUUCACUGGUUCGGCUGCGGUGUGAGGCUGCCGUCGCCGCAGAAUAACAGGGGGUGUGCGUGAGUGGAGGGAUGGCCUGGCCAGCGGUGGGGGUUGUAUGGGGGCGGUGAGGCCUCCGCGGCAGCACAGCCGGCCACGGGAGGCAGGAGCAGGUGGCACGACCGGCACUGCUUUAGGCGGCUGGACCAAGAAGACCAGAGGUUGAAGAAGCACUAAGGCCGUUGGAUGGACAUCGUACGGUCAUUGAAGCUAGAAACGUUUAUUAUUGACUAAGUUGACAAAGCCCUUGGUACGCUCCAACUUAGUAGGCCCACAGGUCAGCCUCCGAAACAGUGUGCCCCAGAUGUCAAGGAGAGGAAUCAUUUUUUGGGCGGCCGAAGCUAAGAAUAUCCGAGAUUGAAGAAGAAGCACGACAUCCGUUGGAUAGACAUCCAACGUCCACUGCUGCUAGAACCGUGUGUUGACUAUAAUAAGUUGGCAAAGCCUUGCAUACGCGUCAACUUAUUUUUUUAGGGGACACGUCACUUAGUAGGCCCACAAGUGUGUGGCAGAGAACUUAUAGCCCAUUUGCGUUUUUGUAAGAAUGUACAGCCCAUUUUGGAAUUCUAAUGGAAUUUACAACAGCCCAUUUACAGUUUGUUAAAAGUACAGCCCAUUUUCUAGCUAGGAAAAUGAUUAAUAAUUUCAACCAACCGUUGAAGACCGAAUUCAACAAAAUUUCCCACAUUUUGAUGGGCUCCAAAAUAUUUUUAUCCUGAAAUUUUUAGUCAGAUUAAAUAUAAAUUUGUAUUAGGUAAAAAUCCAAUGAAACAUUGCGCGCGCAACAAUGAAAAUUUAAGAUUUUCAAAAUCCAUAAAUAAUAUUUUAUAAACUAAUUUCGUGUUUGGUGCAUUUUUUAUAGUUACUGCCUAGUUUUUAUAAUUACAUCCCAUUUAUUAUUUUUUAAAGCCCAUUUUCCUGUUAAGCCUAAUGUAUCCCUCCUAGGAAAGAUUUGCAGCCCAGCGGGGUGGAGAAUAACAAGUUCACUUUGCCUCGGUAUUCCUCAAAAAGACGUAUAGCUGGGCUAGCCAUUUUCAUCUUGAAAAAAUUAGUAUCUGGGCUGGAUGUCUGGCCUGGGCUAGACGGGCCACAACCCGCCUAGUUAAUACCCUGCUCUCCUCUGAAAAACAACGAAAUCAUCGCCAAGAAAAACUCUGCAGUGCUCACGCUUCAAAAAGACAAAUACUGCUUGAGCUGCUUGGUCCCAGCUGUCGGCCGCACCUUGUGCAAUUCUCUCGUUUAUAUUGACUACAUAGGUUGACAAUGGUGUGGGACCGUGAUGUCAGGAAACCAGGAGAAAGCAAAAAACAUAUAGUUGUACAUAAUAAGGAGGCACUUGCGUACGUACGGCUAUGGCCCUAGUGGGUCCCUAGUGUCAUCCAGUCAAAAUAAAGUCAUCUCCUGAAUCCUCAUGUUCGUUGACGAUGUUAACAAUGCUCGGCGCCACGGCGAGCGCAACAACUCGAAGGACAACGGAGAGGGCCUCGCGGGCCCUACGGAUGGUCUGAUACAGCGCCCGCUACUCAUUCAGGAAGCCAGGAUCAUCGGACACCUAUGAGCACCUUCGAGAAACUGAGACGGCAUGAAACGGUAAGGCCGCGCUUGGGAGCUCUGGUUUAUUUCAAACCUGUAUUAACAUACAAGUGUAAUUUACUCAUCAUCGAAAACAACGCGUAAAAUAUAGGCGUAAUGAAACCGAGGGCCCGAGGUCCAUAAGUAAAACCGGCGGGUUACGCGUGUAAUUUGAGAGACCAGUGUAUUUUAUGAGCACUGCUAUAUGGACGACAUUACCAGACGAGUGUCACCUCCAGAAGGACCAACUCUACGACCUCGCCAACUCCAGCACGUACGCACCUAUCCCCUGCGGCUCCCCUGCCUGCACGGAGCUCGGUAGCAGCCACAGCAGUGGUUGCUCCGCCGGCUCCGACCAAUGCAAGUAUAUCCUCGACUACGGCGACGACAGGGUCACCGCCGGGACAUACAUCAGCGACACGCUGAACUUGUCGCCCACCAUCGCGGUCAAGGGCUUCCGGAUCGGGUGCAGCCACGCCGUGAGGGGCACCUUCAGUGACCAGACCGCCGGCGUCCUGGCCCUCGGCGGCGGCGCCGGGUCCCUCCUUGCACAGACCGCGGAGACCUUCGGCAACGCCUUCUCCUACUGUGUCCCGCACCCGAGCUCCGAUGGAUUCCUCUCGCUGGGCGGGCCGGUGGGGAAAUCGUCGCAGUUCGCGAGCACGCCUCUGAUCAAGAACCAACACGC